UGAAAGAUUUGAAGGUAAACCAUCAAGGUCAAAUCUUACAAUCAUCUUAGGAGUAUAAGCCCACAAUCGAUUCUCAUGCGUAAACCAGAUCUUCCCUUCCUUUGUGAAUUUCAAUAUAUCAGUAACACAAAACUUAGAAGAGUAUGUGAACUCAUGCUCUUUAGUCCAAGACUCCUUCAUCACCCAAAUCUCAAUCAUACUAGGUGUUGAUCUAAGAAUUAGGAAGAGACUACCUUUGAGGACUCCGAGCUUGAGCUGAGCAACUGUCAGAUGCAAACAGCAAGGCGGUAGUGGUAACUGUUGGAAGCACUCUCUUUCGACGUCAAAUGCACAUAGAAAGGGAGCACCUGCACUUGGAGAAACAGGGAUGCCAUAUGCAUAUAGAACGGGACGGUCCCUGUUAUGACUUUGAGCAAUCCAAUAAAGAAAUCCAUUGAGAUAAACCCCAAGAGAAUUUCCAUGGAAACUGUCGAAGGAUUCUCCAGUUUUUCUCCAAAUCCCAGAGCCAACUUUCAAAACCAUUACAUCACAAGAUCCUUCAAACGGACUCAUAAUCCGGACUACUUUAUAGAGGUUGCUAAUGGGACUAAACCCAAACCCUAAACAAUCUCUCUUUGCAGGUUCGGUAGGUGUUGGAAGAGUUAAAGACUCACCGGUGACAGGAUUAGACAAGUAAAAACGAUGGACCUCUGUCAUCGCAGGGUACACGAGAGAUUCGCGGUAGCAGAGGAAGCCGUUGCACGAACCCACAAGGGAAUAUUCAAGUACUUUAGCUUUGACAUUUGGGUAGAUGAUUUUACUGAAGCGCUUGAGCACGACCUGGUUUCGGUUUGAAGCCCUGUCGAAGUCGACCAGAAACUGGCCUUUCCAUUUGGGGUGAUUCAGUUCGUUGAACAAAAGGCAAUCCGGCGUUCGUGAAAAUAGGUCUUCUGUGAACUGAGGGUCCGAUAGCAAACGACGCCAGGACUUGCAUGUACGGUUGCACUCGACGAGCGUUUUGAUUGGGAGUUUGCAGAAGAUCUGCACUGUUACAUCGUCUGGUAACUGAAGGAUGUAGGGUUUAUGAUCGUGCUCUUCUUCUUCAUUAACUUCUAGUUUCAGGGAUCCGUCGCUGCUGCUUGGUGGGUGCCUGCAGCACGCUUUAGUUUUCUUCAUCGUCGAGAGAGAGGGAGGGAGAAGUGUUUAUUAGUAUGACCUCCCCACUUAGGGUUGGUUGUGUCGUUGAGUUGCGGAGACCGUAGAUUGUUUUGGAGCGAGGAGAGGAAGAAGAAAGUAUGGAGAAAAUUGUUGUUUUCUCAGUGAUUCAGGCCAUAUAUAUAUGUAUUAGAAUGGAUUUAAAACUACAAACGAAAAAGAGUCCGUUUUUGCUACGGAUGAGGAUUCUCUGCUUAUUUUAGCUCCACCAGUUAACCUGUAGAGAUUAUUUAGCAUACUCGAAACACAAGAUGAUACAAUAUAUAUCAUCAUAUAAGUAGAACGACACUUAAAAUAUAAAAUUUUCAUCCACUUAUAUAAUAACAUCUAGUGUACCAUCUCAUGCAUAAAAAUUUUCUCUUAACCGUGAUGUGGCACUACUCCUAAUCCUUAUAUAAUUAAUUGGGCCACGUCACCGUGUCUAUUAACCAUAUGUUAUCUAGUCAUUUAAUUAAAUAUUUAUGAAAAUAAAAGCAAUUAAAUUAGGGUUUUUUUUACUAUGGUAGUAUUUCUUUUCAUUUGUAAAUGAGAGAUCAUCUGAGGAGAAACUCAUUUCGAAACGAGAAAUGCAACUCUUACACUCUUGACUCUCAGGAAGAGAAUUUUUAGUGUGAUCGGAACAUAGGGGGAUACACCACGUAUCACUAUGCAAAUGGUAAGAUAUGUGUGUUAAAAAGUUAAUAGCGUAAAAAAAUAAAAUUUCCAUCACCUAUAUAAAAGCACGCGAUGUACCACCUGUGUUCCGAUUACAAAGAAAAAUUUCUUACUCUCAGGAGACAAUGCACUAAGAAGCUGCUCAUCUCAAGGCCUCCUGAAAACCCUUUCUUUGAGAAAAGCCGUCUUGCUCUCCCACUCUGUUUUCCAAGUGGGUUGGAUUACAUCGAGCAGCUUCUGGGAAAAAAAUUGAGGCUUGUCUUUUUUAUAUGCACGAGUGCUUCAUUAACAUGGUCCAAUACAUAGUACUUGCAACUAAGGUAUAAAAUAUCGAUGAUAUCGAAAAUAUUGGUAGUCCAAAAAUACGGAAAUUUUGAUGGAAAUAUUGGGAUAUUAUCGAUAUCGAUAAAAAUUGAAUAAAAACCAUGGAAAUUGUAAGAAAAACUUGAAAAUUUUUAUUGAAACUUUACAGGAUGUUUAUUUAGUCAAUUAUCUAUUAGUUUAUCAAAAAAAAUUGGAAGGAAAUGCAUUGCAUGAUAGAUAUAACUGAUUUAAGUUGAUUAUAUAGCGAGCUGGCAAACAGUGUGAGUGUAGAAUAUAUGUAGUAAUUAAUGAAAGAAGUUUAAACACACCAUAAUCAUUUAUAUAUAAUGAAUUAGUACAAUAUUUUACACUUUAUACAUUGCAUGGUAAGAUACAUGAGUGACUUAGCAAGGUCUAAAAUAUCGAUGAUAUCAGAAAUAUCGAUAGUCCAAAAAUACGGAAAUUUCGAUGGAAAUAUCGAGAUAUUAUGGAUAUUGUAGACCAUGCUUGCAACAACCCAAAUUUAUUGUCAUCAUUUUUUACAACACCCCACAUAUUCAAACACCAAAAUUUCCCAAAAUUAAGCAGGUUUUUUAAUCAACUUGAACGAAACCAGGAUGAAAUUGUUGGCAAAUUUUCAGAAACGGAUGAUUAGAAUAACCCAAAAACCAAAGUGGUGAGAGAAAUAUGAAUUAGGGCAUAUAAGUCAUUUCAUUUUAGAACAUACAAGGCAUUUGAUAUUUAAAUUUUAUCUGAGGUGCAUUCAUCAAUAGGGGGGUGCCAAUAAAACAACCUUUAAAUUAAGGCUUAUUAGUUGAAUUCCCCUAAAACCGUAAUUUAGUCUCCACAUAUCAAGUUAUCAUUUGAAACUAAUUUUGUCUCACUCUAUCCUCUGAAACUGCCAAUUCCAAUUUCAAUUCUUUUGGUCUCACUUCACCUAAUGUUAAAUUCAAGGGAACUUUAACGAAAAGCACCUAGUACUGUUCACUUUAACGAAAAACCACAUUUUUACACUAAAAAGUCAAUCCUGGUACUAUUCACUUUACCCUUUAUUUUGUCCUUAUCAUUAAAACUCAAAGUUUUCAAGCUCUUUUCAUUAGUUUUCCUUAAAUUCAAAGGUAUUUUAGACAUUUCACUUUUUAAACCACUCUUUGUUUUGUCUCCAUCUGAUGCUUGGGUUUAGUUGACUAAUCUUCUUGACAAAACAAAUUAGGGUUCAAGAAAGAAAAGAAAGGAAUUUAAUGAUUUAUUGGGUUUGAAUUUUACAUUUUCAACAAGAUGAGGUGAAGUGAGACCAAAUGAGUUUAAAAUGGGUUUCAACGGAUAAAGUGAGACAAAACCAAUUUUAAGAGGUAAAUUGAGACAUAGUGGCAGUUUCAGAUACAAUUCAACUAAUAAGCCUUAAACUAAAGAAACACACUAUAUAGUUGUAAUUUUCCCAGCGCAUGCAGAGUGGGAGCUUCUAUAACGAGUAAGUUUUGUGCGAGUCUGUGGUUCAGUUUAGCACAGUACGUAAUUACCGAUUAAAGUGAUAAUCUCCAGGGUUUUUAUGAUGAUUGUUUUUUUUUAACUCUCAUCCCCUUCAAUAUUAGGUUUUUAAAUGAAGCGUGUUCAACAAAAUAUGGAGGUGCCAAUAAAAAAAUAAACCGUGCUAGUUCGAACCCCCUUAAUUUCCCUUCUCAUAACAACUACUUAUUGUUCUACUAAAAAAAAAGAUUAUGAAUUAUACAUAUGUAUCACAGUAGAUCUUAUAACGACAAAUUUACAUAAACCAAAAUCGAAAAAAAAUUAUUAAGUAGAGUAGAAUCUAACGAACUUGAAGAUUUAGGCUUGCAUGCAGAUCAAUAAUUUCAUAUUAUGGCAUUAUAUUUCCAGCGUAACGUAGAAGGCUCUGGUGGCAGGUCAAGAUACUCUUCUUUCGGAUACAACAUGCAAAUAUACAAACUUUAUAGUGUUGUGUUUCAAGAGAUAGCAAGGAACUUAACUUACAUUACAGAGACUCGAAAAAGUAUUGGACUGGCUACACACAAGGCCUUGCAAUUCUUAUUUCCUAUAAAUUACAUGCACUUUAAACUGCUUCUGUGAAUUUCGGGAUAAGAUGUUUACUUGUACAGGUUAUUUAUUUGCUCCUUGAACUGAGCUACGACUCGGUCCCUUCGAAUUUUCAUAGUUGGAGUCAUUAGUCCACUAUCAAUCUGCACAAUAGAAGGUAUUACUAACCAGACAAUUACCAGUCACAUCUGCAACUUGAAUGACGACGCAGGCAAAGAUACUUUACCGUGAAGGGUUCAUCCACAAUCAAAAUCGGUCCAAUUUGAAACGAACACCCUGUAGUCCUGCAUGAAAUAGAUAGGGAACUAUAAGAAAAAGAAAACAUUAGAUUGUAAUGGCCUCUGAUGUUGUCCUCAUAGGCUGUAUUCCUUUUAUGUUUCUUGAAGUUUUCAACGGCAUGUCAUUACGAUGAUAUUAUGACAAUUUCUUUCAUGAGUUUUUAUUUCGGUGGUAACUAAUUCAUAUCCGCUAUGUAAAAGAUAGUUUACAAAGAAAUCUUACCAUCUUCUUAAAUCUUCAUAUACCAAGUUUUUCAUUUUAUCCAUACUGAGCUCAGAGGCAUUAACAUCUACAAUGGACAACUUUUUGGCUGCAAGUAAAACCUCUUCUUUGUUUGGAACAAUUAUUGCCCCAAGUCGUCGUUGAUCCUACAUACAGAUAUGCCAUACGACUCACAAAAUCAGUACAUGUCCUCUUAAAUGUAGCAGAAUAUAGAUAACUAUAGUUCUGGAAAGUCCAAUGCAGAAAAAGAAAAAAGAACAAAAGAAAGCUGCUGAAACUCGACCUGGCCGACCACAACAAUUUGUUGAAUUAGACUACUUCUCAUGGCAGCUUCCUCAAGCUCCACUGGUUCAACAUUUUCACCUGAUUUUUCAAGCAAAUAAAAAUUAAAGAACAAAAGAUGGCAAGUAGGGUAUUAAGAGGAGAAAAAGGGGAAAAGGAGAUGAGAAGAAAUUUAUUACAAAGUUCUAAAAUCGGAAUCCACUAUAUUACCUUUCUUUUAUGAUAAAGAGACUUUUUUAACAACAAAUUAGCAUAAAGAUGUUUGUCAAAUUCUCUAGAUUUCAGACAAAGAAGAAUCCCGAAACUCAAUGGAAACUCAAGCCCCCAAGAGCCGACAAACAUUUUCACACAACCCUUACACCGACAUAAUCUUCAAAAAUCCCAUUACUCCUUUUGUUUCUCACUAAAAGACUAGAUUUUAGAAUAUAAAAGCAUAUAGUUCACCUGACCCACAUCCAAACAGCUUACGCUUUAGGGAAUAGUGAUAAGCCAACGAAAUUGAAGAUCAGCAUGAUAAAGUAAACAACUAAAAGCUCUUAAUUUGAAAUGUAAAUGAGAUAAAUAAUAUAAGAGGAGUUCAAACAAUUAUGACUACCACAAGCUGAAGAAGAGAAAUUCCAAAAGUUAAAUCAAAUGGCUGGUAAUUCUAGGUGGGGGAUGGGGAAGCGGAAAUGGACCUGGUUGGCCUCUGAGGGUGUCCCCAUUGGCCAUAGGCCUAAACGAUCUGCUACUAUUCCUUUCACUUCUUAGCAAGAAGAUACAUGGCGGUGUAGUAGAAGAAAAUUAAAAUAUGUUUGUAUACCUGUUGAAAGGACUAUAGUAUCCUUUGCGCGUCCUUCCAGGACAAUAACACCUCCACAACGACGACUUCGCCCUGUUGAGUGGUGAGGAGCAAUCCAACCAAUAUCUCCAGUACUCAGCCAACCAUCCUCAUCUAGUACUUGCUUUGUAGCCGCUGGAUUCUAGUUCAAAAUGUGAAUGCAAAGGUCAAUUGACAUCUUACGCAAGGAAAAAAUAAUAUGAAUUCUGAUUAUUUUGGGUGAAAGCAGCAGCAAAAUGGCACCAAUCUCCAAGAUACAUUAGCAAGUACACUUUCCAAACACUUACACACAUGAACUAGCGGGCACCUCAACAUUUUCACCAAAUUAAUAGAGUAAAACUAUUAAAUACUAUGUUAUGGACUUGGAUAAGUAGUACGAAGAAGUAACGUUUCUACAAGAGUAAAUAUGUUCAGAAAGUCUGCAAGUAUAUGGGGAAAAUUAAGGCUAAUGUGGAAUAUAAACUAAUAUUGGGCUCACAUUAUAAUAACCUAAGCUUUUCUUCUUAAAAGCGUCUGGGACAGUGGUAACCAACAAUUCAAUCAUGAUAUGGAAUCUUGUGUUAAAUCCUGAGCGUAUGAAACACUGUGCUAACCCUGCUUGGACUUAAGAUAUAUCUUGAUGGGGUAGGUUCAAUUUAACGACAGUGGUGCCUCUACACAUACACUCAUAUGAAUGUAAAUAUAUAAGUAAUGUAUGCCUGCAAAUAUUUGGUGCAUUACAGACACCUACCAUGUGAUAAUACUAACCAGUUCAGUACCUCACAAGUUGCAGUUUUAAAACAUUUAACGGGUGGCUCCGUAAUAAAUACUAGAAUAUUUCCGCUAAUAUACAAAGGGAAAGGGCCCGUCAGCUAGAAGUUUUGAGCAUCUUUUCUGUGAGUAUAAAGAUGCUAAGAAGACGGUUCCUGGUUAUAAGGAUCACUAAUCAAUUAAUAAUGCCUAGUUUACAUCUAUUGAAGAUUUCCAUGGUUCUAAAUUACACUCGUGUAAUCUAUUUAUAAGGAAGUCUCGAGAAGAAUGGGAAAAUGAGUUUUAAUAACCCUUUUUUCUUCACCAAUAUUACAGUACCACAAGUUUUAUGUCUUUAGUCAUACCACCUUUUAUCAAAUUUUACUAUUUAAACCCACAAAAUGCCCAUAAAAUUUUAGCAUUAUCUUAUCAGCGACUCAAAAAUUAAAAAGCUCAUUCUGAUCUACAAAAGUUAAAUGUUACCUUAUAGUAUCCUUUCAUCACUUGUGGGCCCCGAACAUUUAUAAUGCCACUUGAUCCUGGUGGGAGAACUUCACCAGUUUCCAAAUCAACAACUUUGAACUCGGUAUGUCGAAUUGGAGGCCCAACUGAACCAAGAACCUUCAAAAAUUUAAAUCUGUGAUGUUAUCAUACAAUGUACCACAUACGGAACUCACAGCCUUGAAUAAAAACAUAUAAAAACCUUGGGCCUUUUAUCACAUAUAAACACUUUACAUUAUCAUCAUAAUUCCUUGAACUUUUUCUUACAUAUAGGUUAUAACUUGAGCUUUGCUCUAACAAAGCAACAAUAAUUUUUCCAAAAUAUCACCUGUUUAUUUUAUUUUCUGCUAUCACAUGCACUGUCAUAGGUUCCAUUAACCAACAAGUACAUAUCAAUUAUUUAUAUGUAAAUUAGAUUGCUGUUCUUACAUUAUUGUUUGGCCGGCGAGCAGCAAUAACUGGAGAAGUCUCUGUUAAACCAUAUCCAUUUUGCACUUUCACACCAAUUGCCUGCAAGCGCACAUCGCUAGAAUGAGAGCUGAUUGUCCAAAACUUCUCUUUGGCAGUAAUAUAUGAGUGAGAGUCUAACCUCAAAAAACUUAUCAACAUGUGAUGGCAAGCUACCUCCUCCGCUAAUACCAGCCUGCAGGAAGCCAGGAAAGAUUUCCUUAGUUCACUUCAUUCCAGUCAAAAGCAUCCAUGAGAUAUACUUAGAAGACCCAAAAAAAUGACAAGACAAUCUAAAUCUUCUUACACACAGGGACUUUUGCAGAUGAGAAAGAAAUGUAGAAAAUAAGUAGUUACAAGAACUCUAAAAGUUUCCUGACUAAAACACCAAUCCUUCAGAUAUAUUAACCAAUGUAUUCAGUUGGCUUGUGAACGAUGAUCUACAAACCAAACCACACAAUACACCAAAGAAAACCACUAAAUACCCACUUUUCACACCGUCAAAUUCUAAUAAAAAGAAGCUGUGACUACAAUAAAUGACUUGAAAAAAGAUGACCUUUGAUAUUCCGACAGCAGAAUGAAUUUUAGUAUAGACAAGCUUCUUUCCCAACAUAUGCAAAGGCCAUAAUAUCGCAGCAACAACUCUUGCCCAUAGCCAAUCAUACAGUGAAGCAAGAUAAGAUGGUUGCUUCUGGUUCCUUGUCAAAUAUGUUCCCUACAAACGAAAUUCAAAUCAAUCAAUCCAAUAAGUUUGGCUGGGAAAUGAGUUGUUAACUAGUAACACCUUAGACAUAAAAAGAUCAAUAACUGAGUGUGAAAUCAGUUGUUAAUAAGUUUGAGAUAAGAAAGGCAAUUAAAACAAGAUGCCUCCAAAAAAAAAUUUUACCAGAAGAUUCUAAUGCAUUCAAUCAAAGAAAAACUCUAUUUUUUAUGGGAUGGUAAACAAAAUUAUGAACAAAUAGUUUAAAUAUAAAAGAAUUAUAUUACUGUUAUGAUCAAUAAUCUAUUUAGACCUUCUAGGGUUAUCAUUAAUGUAUUAGAGCCUCGGUUCUACAACAUCCUCCAAAAGGGCUAUCUCCAGCUGAGAUUUGAAUUCCUAGGCUGUAUUUAAACUACUCUAAAUCUCAACACAUAGCUGAUGUGGGACCCAAAUGAUCAAAUUGCCGUUGAAAAUUUUUCUAUUGAUAUUCCUGUCACUACUAUAAAGGGCGGGGUGUAAGCUCUCUAUCAACAGGGUCUGUUCUCCUUUAUAUGUUCUGUUUUGACAGCAAAAAGUGUUGAGGCCGGUUGCUGUGUCUCAGACACGUGAUGCCUAAUUUGUUAAUAUAGUGAGGCACGUCACGGAACUUAAGUCAUUUAUGAAGAUGUGAUGUCUAUAUUGUGGGUGCACAUGAACUCAUUCAGCUACUGGGCCCAUGGUGCCUAAGUUGUUAAAGUAGGCAGAAGCACAAAUCCAGUUUACGUUUAGGCCUUUUUUUUCAUCAGUAUAUUAUGGCCUGUGCAAAUAGAAAAUAGCAUAAACAAGACAAGGUACUCAGUGGUUGAACCUCGUAAAUCCUCUUUAACUCCAUGUAUGCCAAACUGAUCCUUAUGAAUGUAAGUGCAAUAAACUUACGAGCAGUAGAGCUCAUAGAGAUCUGUUUCUGAAUCCCACUGCAUGAUGAAAAUAUGAAAACUACUUUAGAACCCUGAAUGAACAAUAACGACUAACAGAUAACCCUAAAUGUUGAAAAUAUUUCUGCAAACGAAUACAAAAAGAAGAAGAAAAAAAAGGUUAAAAUUUCAACUAGUUGAUGCAUUGUACAACCAAUUUUACAAUGUUACAAACAAAACAAAGCGAACAAGGAAAAAAAAAAUCGACACAUGUUCAAACAACAAAAAAAGGGAAACUCAUAAGACAGUUGUCUACUUUGUCAUUAAUUAAAACCAGACCUCUGCAGUAGCAUAAUUUCCAAGAAAAAGGACAUACCUGUAAAGUGUCUCAUACACUAAAGGAACAGAAAUUAUGAAAUUUGGUUGAUACUGUAGCAAAUCCUCCUAUAAACCAAUAAUCAUAUCAAUUAGUACAUCAUAAAAGCAAGAAAAGGUAUCGAAUAACUGGAUGUGAAACAAAUAGUAUGUCAUUUUCUGUCACUAACAAUAUUCUUGUAAUUUGUUGAAUCACCGGAGAAGGUUAAGGUAAAGUUAUUCCUUGAGAAAAAAAUAAUGGUUGGAGCAACGUGCAAGCCACAUGCAUGACUUCCCUAUCAUGUACUUUCUCGAGAGAACAUUGUCCAGCUCUGGAAAUAAAUUUCUUCAGAGUAUAGUAUGCUGGAAAGUUGGAAACAGAGCAACUUAACAUCCAUGAAAAUAAACAAUUCAAAACAGUAAUACCUUCAAGUUCCUGACAGUUGUGUAUACUUGCUCGAUUCCGUACGUCAAUGUGAAAUACUCACAAGCUCGUUCAUAGGCAUGCCAAGGUGGAAGCAUGCUGAGAAAUCUGUCCCCAGCUUCAGCAGGCACAACAUCCCAUAGGUUUUUUAUCUGGGAAAAAAGCACAUAGAAAAUAGCCUCAAGUUAACAAUUAUAGACAUCUAUUGGCUCCAUUUAUAACAAAAAGAAACAGGGGAAUGUCAUCCAAAAUGCAAAGGAAGAAGAGGGAACAAAGGAAGAACUAAACUACCUCUAACAAUCAUUUAUAGUUCAAAUUAAACAUAAAAGGAAGGCACCUAAAAUCCAUCUUUGCAACACCCUAGAAGUCUCCAGAGACAAAGGCGUUAUUAGUGCAUCUUGUCAUACAUCAUAAGUUGGACGGCCUCCUGGCCAUGAUAUAAGUUCCAUAUCACUCACAAAGUUUGCAAAUUAUACGUACCCAUUUUAUUAGAGUUUGGGUCUGUAUAUUUUAUUUUAAUGUCAGAUUCUUCAUAUGAUGUAGGGCUCAUCACGUAUUCGAAUUUCUAGAGUUCUAGAGAAGACAAGAUGAGUUGAAAACGAGCUAAAUCUAUGUACUUAGUAGCUUUUCCAACUUCUUCGGUAGUACACCAUAUAUUGCACGUUCAAAUUGAUUAUCAAAUAUGACCUUUUUCUUAUUCUUUAAAUGGCUUUUGCAGUACUUUUGAUAUAACAGGGAGAUGCAUGUUUUCGUCAGUGCAGUUUUACCUAUCAAACAGAAAAGGUUAAAUGACAAUAAAUUUAUCCAGUGAAGUUACAGUCUAGAUACUAUUGCUUUGUUGAUCAUACCAAGAUUAUUCAACAUACAAACCUGAUGCAACAGAUUUCGAUGAGUUAGCAUGACACCUUUCGGGUUCCCAGUUGUUCCGCUUGUAUAUACUAGUGUAGCUACAUCAUCUGAGUUGAUAGUUUCAUAUGUAUACUUUCCCCCUGAAAUUAAGCCAUAUGGGCGUUGCAUUCAUUUACCCAAAGAGAGGUAUAUUAUAUUGGCUAAAGAAGUGCAUCGAAACAAAAAUUAUAAGCAGUGCAAUUUCCAUGUUAAACAAAUACUAUCAAAGAGCAUAUGUAUCCCAAAGUACUAUGAUGCAGGGCAGUGGUAAUGAGCUGCCAUCCAGCCGCUACAUUGAUUGAAAACCAGAAUAGAAGACAAUUCCCAGAAACAAACAACAGAAAUAGAGAAAUAAAAUCAAACUGGGAACAACUAUGAUUGAGUUCAACGGCAAGACACCCAAGAGAAACUCUAUAAUCUGGUUACUGGCAUGAAAUUAGUAAUAGACUGAAUACGAGGUCUCCUAAUAGACUAUUUAAAAUAUGGUUACUGCAGCCCUAGCAUCAUAGAUCUUUGGUACUAUCUUAAAGCAAAAAAAGAAACUGUUAGCAAAGACAGAGGGAUGACAUACGGGCAUCAUUAAAGUCGAGCAUACUCUUACGACUCUCUCGACCCAGAUCCAGAAUCUCCUUGUAGUUAAAAACAGGAGUCUUCUCUUCACUGGCCAGGCUUGACUUCUCCCCCCAAAGCAGAAUUACAAAUUUCGUGACAACCUUGGAAGAGAAUGCUUCUGCGAUCUGAUUGAACAAUUCAGGACUGUCCACGGCAAGUGCGACACUGUAGUCGUGAUGAAACUUAAGAUUAUUUUAUGGAGUCAUCAAGGCAAAAAGAGAAGGAAACAUGUGUUAAAAAUGCUUUAGAUUAUUUGAAAGAACAAAUUUGCACUCAUUAAGGCUCGAAAAGAGAUCGACUGUGAAAUCAUGUUACUAUAAAAAGUUGCAACUGCACAAUUAUGAGAAGAGUAUCAAAUUGAAACCGAUGAGACAAACCAUGUUGAGUGUCAAGAUUGGAAAUGAAUUUUACCGGUGAAUAUAAUGUAAAAUAUACAUCUCAUAAUUCAUAUAUUAAUAUAACAAAGGUGGUGGAAAUUGACUUGAAUAAGCAGAACAGGCAAGUAAGAAGGCACUUUGUCCACACCUUUCAGAGUGAUCAUAUAUUUGUAACAACUCUUCCACUGAAGACCUUGAACCUCUUACCACAUUGAUAGCUCCAGUAGCCAUUAUACCUAAACCAACAUAAAACAUGAGGAUAAUUAAAAUCCAUAAAUCAUACAUAGUGAAGAAUACAAAAUUUAUUUAGCAGCACAUUUGGUAGGCCAAAAAUGGAACUGUACCCUGAUCUGCUACAAGCCAACGACAUGAAUUAUUGGCAAAAAGUGCAAUUUUGUCUUCAGGCUUUACUCCAACAACUCUUAGGCCUUCAGAGAAAUCCAAAAUUUCCUCUUCCAGCUGCAAUUUCAAAAUUGGAAUAAAAACAAAAGUUAUAAACAUAGUACUAUCAUUUCUUCGUAUUAACAUCGGAAGAAGAAAUGAUAAAAUUGAACCAACCGAUAUAGAGGCAAUUGGAUGAAGCACGCAAAAGAAGAUAAAGGAACAAACAGUGAAGGUAAAACAAAUAUGUAAGGGAGAAUUAGAAUCAGAAAAGAAAAUUAACCUGUUUAUAAGUCAUGCUUGAAGGCGGGUCAUGGUAUGGAUCUGUCAAUGCUACACGAUCACCAUAUCUCUCGGCUGAAGAUCUCCAAAUGUCAGGAACUGCCUGCCACUCAUCAGAUACAGAAGCACCAUUCCUGUUUAGGAACGCACUUUCUAGAAAUGGUGAAUACCUUCUUAUCUGCAGUUCCUCUGUCUGUAACUGAAUAUUUCAGAUACAAAUAUAUGUCAGUAUUCAGUACCCUCUAGCUGUGUUUCAAUCCAAAUACUCGGGAACGUUAGACCGCAUUGCAAGGUGAAUUACCUACCGGUGUCUGAUUCCUUAUUUAAAACAUGAAAUUAGGAAUAGUGGUAAGAAUGUCACACAAACGGUGGUGCAACCAGCAACAAAACCAAAACAAUUCAAACUAUUAACUAAUGAGCACAGAACAUGAUUGCCUCCUGAGAUUGUAACGCAUUCAGAACCAGAAUAACCGAAACUAAAAUCCUAAACGCGAUUUCAUGUCUAAGAAUCUCAACACAGCUCCUAUCUCAGAAUACUAUCAAAUGCAGUCACAAGCUCACCAGCACUAAUAGAAUUACAAAAGCAGUAACAUUAUGAACAAAAACAUAUUAAAAAGAGCAGAAAUUGAAUAUAUAAAUUCAACAUAAACCAACCAAAAUUUAAAAAAUUCAUGAAAUUCUCAGAAAAGGGUGUUCAAGAAUCACCUUUGAUUCGCAAAACACUCGAAACCCGCGAUUCGGAAGAAACCCACCUCGCCUUCCAUGCCAUGUUCGAAGAAAAACACAUCUGCUUCUGAAACUGUAGCUAGAAAACAGGAAUUGAAGGGCACCCCCACAAUCAGAAGAGCUUGCCAACAACAAGUUGGGCCUCAAGGAAAAGGUGGCGCCAAUUUGAUUUGCAGAAGCAGCAGAUGAAGAAAGCAUAGCUGAUAUCUGUGUGUUUUGUUAUCGUGCGCCUCUGACUUUCUACAGAUUUUAUGCGUAAUAUGCUGAUAGUGUGAACGAGAGAUGUCACAGCGACAAGAACAACGAUAAGAGCUUCAUAGUGUUUGUCGGAGUGUGGAAGUUGAGAUCUUUAGUCGACCAAAGUAUUAAAAAAGUGGGAGGAUUCGAUGGGAUCUUUGAGGUGUUCACCCUUAACAACACAACUGGUUUUGAUAGUGAGAAGAUCAUUAAUUGCCGUACUUUAUCAAAACCUUGCACCCUUAGAUGGUCGUUUUGUCAUGUACCUUUGUCUACGGUAUUAAACGCAUGUCUUUUUCGUUCUUUAUCCCAAGUCCAAACCAGCCAAAAUUUUAUUUAAAAAAAAUAGAGUAAAUUGUAGCAGUAUCAAUUUUAAUCAAAUUUGAGUAAUGAUCUCUCAAUUAAAAAUUUAUUACCAUUGGUCCCUCAACUUAUCAAAACGUGUAGCUAUAGUCAACUUCAUCAAUUUUUUGCCAAAGUUGGUUAUGUUGGAUGGUCUAUUGCUAUAAUUGGGUUAAAGUUGAAAGACCAUUUCUCCAAUUAAAUUAAAGUCGAGGGACUACUGGUAAUAGAUUUUUAGUUGAGGUACUAUAGCUGUACGUUUUGAUAAGUUGAGGGAUCAAUGCUAAUGGAUUUUUAUUUGAGGGACUAUUGCUCUAAUUGAGUUAAAGUUGAGAGACCAUUGCUACAAUUUACUAAAAAAAGUAACACAACUUUCACGUCCUGUCGCUUAAGCGCUAGGCAGAUGAUCGAUGCCUCAAUUAAUUCUUAAACAUUUAAAAAUUAAAAAAAAAAAGAUGAUUAGACGCUAGCUUAGUCUGCUUAAACACUAGCUGAGUCACAAGCAACUCUCACUUAGAUAGAAAAUAAAUUUUAUUUUGUAUUUAUUUUUUAAGAAAUUGUAAGAGAUUUGUUAAAUACUUAGAUAAACACUUGUUAUAUGCUUGUUUCCCAUAUUUUCAAUAUUUUCUAAUACUUUAUAAUAUUUAUGUCAUUCUAUUUGCAAUUUAUUUACUUCAAUACAAUUAUGUAUUUUUAUUUAAGUAUAAGUAGACAUUUAUUUAUACGGUAUAUAAAUUAAAAAACUGCCUAGUCUCUCGCCUAAACACCUGAGCACUAGGCCUUUGCCAACCACUCGACUAGCACAUUCUGAUUUUCUUUUGGACAAUCGAUACUACACUAAGGAGAGUGGGCUAAAUCUUAUAAUGGUCUAACAAUAAUAUAAUUCAAAUUCAUUAUUGACAAGAAUUGAACUUAAAACUUUUCAUUUACCAGUGAAGAAAAAUACAACGAAACCAUAAUACUAAGUGACAUUAUGCUAUUAUAUAUGGUUUUAUUACUCAUUGAUUGAUUGAUGUUAUUACAAUAAUUGUGGCCACUAAUCCUCCAUUGAUUUUCAUAUAUCAUUAUAUAGUAGACGAGUAGUGGUGGUUGUCCGCAAUAUGCGGCUGGGCCCAAUGUACGUAAUAUGUAAGACUGGUUGUAAUCACAUACUUAAUUUUAUUUUUUACAUAUUUGUUUGAAUAUUUGGUCAUAUAAUGAAAUGAAUUAAAGAAGAGUAAUAGACAAAAACUAAUAAGAGUAUGUGAGAAGUAAAAAAAGAUGUGUGAAUAACACUACCCAUAUCUAAUUUUUUAUUUUUUUUAGGAACACCCAUAUCUAAUUAGUUACGAUCAUUUCCAUGUAAAUUAUAUAUAUAUAUAUAUAUAUAUAUAUAGACAUACUAGUGAGAAGAAAUGACGCUUUUUUUAUUUCUCCUCUCAACAUUUCUCUUGUUUCUCUCUAUUCUCUCUUAUUAUCUUUUUCUUUAUAUUUUAUUUCCAACACGACUGGUAUUAACGUUGGAAAUGAAAAUUUGUUCUAUUGGUCUACCCUCAGCAUAGCGUACUUGUAUGUCCUCGGCAGUCAAAAGAGGCAUAGUGUCGUCAUAGAGACCAAAACUAGAGUGUUUGACACUUGGGGGCUGGGACACUUCCCAUCAGCAUUGAACAAAAACGGAUAAUUGAAGAGUUGCAUUGAACAAAAGCAACAUUUUCUCAGUUAUAUAUAAAUAACAAGCAAAUUAACGUUCAUCUGUUACAGUUAUACUUUCAAGUCUAACAAUUGAGACACCAUCUCUUGCAAUAUUGUUUUAGCCUGAUCAGCUGCUUUUAUUUUUAAGAGAAGCAUUUUCUGAUAAUCUUCAAAAAAUCACACUUGGGAACUUGCAAGAUCCAUGACCUGCAAGAAGAAUACUAGUUAAUCAAUCUUAAUUCCCAUGAAAAUAGUGUGAGAAAAAGUUUAGUUGGAAAUCUUAUUUGAACCCGAAUCAAGUAGUCACAGAUGUAGAGUAAUGUAUUAAAAUUGGAAUAAAUUCAUGGUUCAAUUCCCGUCAGCGUAAAUAAAAAAUAAAAAACAAAAAACUCUUGUAUUAAUAGGCAUUCCCUUUGGAGAAGAGCAAAAAAAAAACUUACUUGGGUCCAGAGAUGUUUGCUCAGCCAGCCCAUUGAAAUGGCAAGUAGCUCCCUGACUCCUAAACUUGGCCCAGUACGAGCUGAAAGCAAAGCUCGCAUGCCAAGUCAACGAAACCGGUUCAUAACACUCCUUUCCUGGUGAAAGAGCGUCACACGUCCCACUGGCAUUCCCUGCAAUGCACGCAUUGUUUACAGCCGACCCCAGUUCUUCGUCAUUCACACUCACACCCUUCGCCACCACGCACCACACCGCGCCCUUGUAUGGCCUGUUGUUUUGCUCCUCCGGCAAGGGCUCGUAGUCCUCCAACACCCGCUUCCCUACAAUAUAUAUACACAUAUUAAUCAAGUCGUUAAAGAGAAAUAUCAAAAAGUUUGAAAAUGUAGUACCUUAUCAGCUAAACAAUCUAAAAAUUUCAUCUAUUCCACCUUUAUUAGAGAAAGGGUAUACACUAGACAUGCGAUUGAAAGUUUCAUUUAAGAAAGUAUGUAAAAUAGAACCAAAAAAAUGAAAGUACGUCAAACUUUUGAGUGAAAUGUAAAGAUGGUUUCAUUUUGCACGUCAAUAUUUAUUUCUUUCUCUUCAUUCUCGUUUGAUUUAUUUAAUCUAAAUGCAAGAAAUAAACAAGAGUGUUGGUGUAUGGAAAUCACUUCUUUAAAACAUAUAUAAAAAUUGGUUUACUAGAGGAAUUUGAGGACCAUGCCUGUCAAGUCAACGUCAUAAAUGGGAGUUCCAUCAGCAUGCAACAAGCCCCAGUGCCUCUCCGUCCCUGGUCCUGUCUUUUGAUUUUCAUCAAACAAUGAAAAUAUGAAUGUAGGUAUGACAACACCAGGCCUAGCUGGUGUUCCAAGAGGUGGUUUUGCAACCAUUCUGUGUAUCAAAUUGCGGUUAUAUGUGGCGGCAUUGUGUAUAUUAGCACCGGGUUGUUCAAUGUCCCCAGAACUAGGCCAGCCGGUUUCCGUGAUCAGGAGCCGGAUGUUGGGGUACCCAAGCUUGGUCAUGGCAAAGAUCAAUGAAUCAAGCAUUUGGUCUAGGAGGUUAGUGUAGACCAACCCAGUUCCCGGGUCAGUGUACUCCAUGGUACUGUUUCCUUUAAAUAAUGCGAAGUCUAGGCUAAUGUUGCCAGGGUUUGAAGACCAUGGGAAAAAAGGGUACACAUCAAUGAAAAAAAAGGACCUGGUCCGGUUCAAGAAUCUCAGCAUCGGGGCCAUGACCGUAUCGGAUAUAUCAGCCCGAAACGUGGCUUUUGAUGGUGGAAAUGUUGAUUGCAACGCAUCCAUGGCCAAUGGGGUACCUACUUUGAUGUUUGUGAUGUUUUGUGAUUUGAGGGAGGACUUAAUUUUACUCAUGGCAGGGACUAGAUCGUACCACAUUUGGCGAUCUUGGUCCGAGGAGUUGUAACUAAGGACUUCAUUGCCUAUGAGGAGGUACCGGAUCAUGGUUUCGGGGUAAUAGGGGAGGACAUUGUUUCGGACCCAUUCAUCGGCUUUGGUUUGAUCUGAUGCAAUGGUUGAGAUUUCAUUGUUUGGGACCAUAAUUGAGACUUGGAGAUUCGUUCCAGAUAAGAGUUUUAGGAUUUCCAGGUCUGCGUCAUAGAGUUUCACACGCCCUGCGUUCAUGGCCUUGAGGAGCUCGAUAGACCGGUUUGCAGACGGCAAAUUGUUGCCUAGCCGCCCAUAGUUUAUGCCAAUUUUGCUUGAGAUCUCUGCAACUGUACUCAAGUACAGAAAAAAAAUGUUAGUGAAACAUGAAAUUUAGGGUUAUUAACUUAUUACUAUAUAGCAAGGUGAUGAUCUAAUUACGUGCAUGGUUUCGUAUACUUACAUGAAAGACCAAGGAGAGGGAAGAGAAAGAAAAGGAAAGGUGCCAUUUCAGUUGUUGAUGUUACGAUCAAUGCAAUUGCAGGGAUAUAUGCUGUUUUGCAGCAUGAUCUCUCUUAUAUAUAUCUUGGAGAAUGGAGAAUGUGAAGAGAAUGGAGUUAAGAAUAUUGGAUAGUUUAAAGGUCCAUGCAAGAUAUUCUGGGUUGCUAUAUUUGCUGAGUGAUCUUUGUGAGGGUUUGGAAAAGAAAUCUUAGUACUCUUGUUUAAUAUGUGGUCAAAGAUGGGGGCAAACCAUAGAAAUAAGUAGUCAAGUAAUACUGAUUGAUAAAGUAAAAGGCAAAGGUUAUGAUAUAAAAGAUUAUAUAGACGACAUGGAGCCUUCUUGCCUACCCUUGGUUCCAUUGAUUUGUUUACUAGUUAUUUCUUUAUAAAUACAAAAUCAUCUCUAAUAAGUAGGCCCCACCAUAUUAAUAAAUUCUUGUGUAUCUGAUACACCACGUUAUAUUAGGAUAUCGUCCGAAUAAUUGUGGAUUAUUGGGUGAUUUAGGUUGGAGAUCAAUGAUAAGAUAACAUGACUAGCAAAAAAAAGGGAAAAUUAGGAUUAUUGAGUUAUAAGGGUUAGUUUGUAUAAUAGAGCAUUAUUAUAGUGGUAUAAAUUGCAUGGUAGGAGACACACAGAUCCGUUUGUGAAGUUGAGCUACAUUUAUGAAAUAUAAUAUGUAUCCUUGAUGAUUGAUAACAUGCUAUAAUUGAAUUACAUGACUGUGACACUGAGCUUAGCUUUGGCAAUGAUCUUUGAUAAGACUUAUGUCCCUAUUGAAUUGUGGUUUCGCUCACUUUACAGAUUUGGAACGAGAAUGGCUAAGAGCUAGACGAGCUGAGGUUGGAUUAGAGGAGAGAAUUAGGAGUUUUAUUUUUAUAUACUUUAAAGAUUUCCAAGUCGUUUUGAUAAAAGAGAAAUUUAUUUUUGAUGCUGUAUUUCAUUUCUCCUUUUAUUUUGAUUAACUUUCUCGCUGGUUUAAUCUUUAGGAAAAUUAAUAAAAAAGGUUUCAAAACUUUGCAUUUUAACAAAAACCAUCUAUAAUUGCAAGAGUAUAAGGUUAUCAUAGUAUUGCAGCUCAAGUAAGAUCUUUUUCCACAGGGAUUGAAUGAAUAAUUAUGUUAAACCCAAUUCUUAAUUAAUUAUUUGAAAACAAAGUUUGGAAAAAUGUGAUUUUAUGACUUAAAAUAUUAAAAAAAAAUUUAAUUAAAAAUAAAUAAAUAAAUUGGGAAAGAAAACAAAAGAAAAUAAUUUUGAAAAUCUAUUUAAACACUAGGGUUCCAUCGUCACCUUAGCAAUUCUACGUAGUUCUUCCAAUUACUUAUAAAUUUCCCAUGCAUAUUUUGAAGGUUAGGUUUUCCUAAAGUAUGCCCUACGUGGAAACUCCAACAUAGAACGUAUAUCUAACAUGCCACUUGUGACAACCCGUCCCUAAAUUUACGUUUUUAUUUAUUUUAACCGAGGAAAUUGACGAAAAUACCCUAGAGGCAAGGACUUUGACUUGCAUUGACCAUCAUCUAGAGAAACGUAAGACUUAUUAUUUUAGCGUAUUUGUGUAGUACUCGUUGGUACGAACACAUAAGCGAAAACCGGUUGCGAGUCCGGAUUAUAACGGUAUAGUUACGGAUGUUUGAAAUUGUUUACUCAAAUUUUUGUUUAGGAAAUAAUUAAACUCCCACUUUGUGGGAAAGAAGCCCAAUCAGGUUGUGUUAUUGUGGCCAAUCAGAAAUAAAGGUUGGAGUGAGAGGACCAAUUAGGGGAGGAGAGAGAGACUGAUUUCCCUUCUCCCAUUCCCGUCGACCAUCCAUGACACACCCUGAUCCUAGAAUCAAAGCGUGCUGGCCGUCACGUGAGCGUGACGUAACCAAAAUUGCGAUGCGGAAGCAAAAGAUAUGAGAAAUACGAAGGAAUAAAAAAAACCAACUACUAGCAAUAAUAACCAACUAGCAUGCUAGAGUGAGUUUAAGUGUGCAGUACAAAAUUUCAGAGCAUAAAUACUAGGUGCAGUCAAGUAGGACUAUAAUUAAAUUACAACACCCGCAGGUGAGUCAUACAUGCAGGAAGUCUGUCAGAAAGUCGAAGAAAACCUCGUGAGCCACCAACUGCUAACUAGAACCUGGAGGGGCGCAAAACAAAAUUGAGUGGGUCAGUAAAACCAAAGUUUUCCAAAACAUUUCAUUUAAAGCAAUUCUAACCCCUCACUGUAAAACUUGUAUACUUUCCCAUAAAAUAACAUAAUAGCAUAAUAUUUGUUCAAAUCUCUCAAAAACAUUAAUCUUUACUAAAAUCCAGCAAGUAUGCUAUGCAAUAAUGUCAAUGACAGAAUAUGGAUGCAUCAAUAUAACAGGUGAUAUAAUGAAUCAACCGGAGACCCUGUAGUUGGUCAUGUACGGUUAAUUCUAUAGCUCACUAUCCAAUCCAGCCGGAGUCACCACGGUGACCUGUACGACGCUACUCUGCACAUAAGUCGGAACUACCUGAAGUAGUCUGUACGACAAGAAUGGUGAAAUAAUACGCUAUAGUGCUUCUCUCAUCAAUCAUCUGCGCGCAUAAUCUAAGGUCACAUACCAGUCGGAACCACCUCUAGUGAUCUGUACGACUAGCAUGUCGGAACCCUCUCAUGGUCUGUACGACAUGCACCUACUUGGAUCCAAGGUGAGCGUGCGGUGCGGUGCGGUGAAUACUAUAAGCACUAUCACCAAGGGUGCAUGUUAUGAGCUCUCAACACAAUUCACAUCAUCAAUAAUUCACAUGAAUAACAGAAAACUCACCUGAUACUCACUUGUGCACCCACAACACCAAUUCAUAUAUAUAUAUAUAUAUAUAUAUAUAUGCAUCAAAUAUCAAUUCAUAUAAUUCACAAUGUGCAUGCAUGGCAUUUUAAAACAUACUAUCAUUUAAAUUCAAUUUUUGGGAAAAUCAAUAGUAUAUAGGUAUAAACAGAAAAUACUGCCCACUCACUGGUAAGUCGAUGGGUCGUAACCUCCGUGACGUCCCUGGAUGCGCUCGUCCUCAGGAUAGGUGUCACCUAUAUGCGAAACAACUAUAAAAACGUUAAUUAAAGCACAUAACCGACAAUUUGAAAUAACUUCUCAUACGGUGCUCAAUUUGGGUAUAUGAAUAUACCAUAGUGACCUACUCGACGUCACGAAUGUCGACAUAUUUUUAGAAAAAAUUUUGGGCUUGUCACGCGCCCCCACACGCUUGGACAGGCACGGGUCCACACGCCCCCACGCGCGUCUCCUACCUUGGGCUCGCCGGACUGGUUUUUCCGGUGGCUGGAAAACUGGAGAUUUUUCAAUCUCCUUGUUCUCCGUCAUUUCUCAACCAAUUUCUUCGUAUUUUAUAUCAAUUUGAAGCCCUCAACAUGUAGAAUCACGUUAGACUAAUUUAAGGCUCUAAAAAUAACGAAAUCUCACCGGAAAAAUUCCAAGAAAACUGGCCAACUUUGAACUCAAUGAUCCCGAUGUCCAAAACCUUCAAACUAAGCACUCCGAGCUUCCUUAGGACCUCACUAAGCUCACUAUAAGCUUAAAAUUUCCUAAAAUUCAACAAUUCACAUGUGCAUGAACAGUGAACUCAAAAUGGGUUUCGGAUUUCACGUGAUAUCGAGGGUUCCAAGUUCUAAAAAUUGCACCAAUGAACUCACAAGCUUCCAAGGAUUCACAAACUUACCUUUUUGACGUUGAUUCGUGAAGGUUGGAGGGUUUUGGUGCCUCGUCCGUACGAGUCGAGAGGGAGAGAGGAAGAACUGAGAAGGGGAGAGAGAUAGAGGGCAUGGGGAAAGAGACAUAAUGUCUUGUGUGUGUGUGUGUGUGUGUGGUCCCUCAAAAAAUUCCACUCUUUAAUUCCCUAACCACACAAAUAUACACAUAUCCUUUAAUCAAAUUCCAAUUUUUCCAAAACUUAGGGAAGAAUAUAUAUUAUUCAUAAUAUGUCACACCCAUACCUUAGUAACUGCCAGGGCAGUUUCGUCGUUUCACAACCUAGAGAAUAGAAUCUCGGGACGAGAUGUGACAAUCUCCCCUCCUUAUAGAAUUUCGUCCCCGAAAUUCAUUCAACCAAAUUAUCCAUUAAUAUUCAUAAAACAGCCUCGGAUACAUCUAUCUUAUUCGAUCUUCUGUCUCCCAAGUAGCUUCUUCCACUGAAUGGUUCCUCCACAAUACUUUUACUAAGCUCGCUGUCUUAUUCCUUAAAACCUUGUCUUUCCAAUCCAAGAUAGUCACUGGUUCCUCAUCAUACGUCAAAUCCGGAUUAAUCUCCAAUGGUUGAGGAGAAUCACAUGUGAAUGAUCUGCAACAUAAUGUCAAAGCAUCGAAACAUGAAAUACAUUAUGUACCUUAGAUAACUUCGGAGGCAACUCCAAUCUAUAAGCAACUUCACCAAUCUUCUCAGUGAUCUUAUAUGGUCUUAUGUACCUAGGACUUAGCUUGCCCUUCUUUCCAAAUCGCACUACACCUUUCCAAGGUUACAAUUUCAAGAAUACCAAAUUACCCACAUCAUAUACUCGAUCAGUAGCAUGUCUAUCAGUUAAACUCCUUUGUCGAUCUUGGGCCGCUUUCAGGUUAGACUUAAUCACCUGAAUAUUUUGAGUAGUCUCAUCCACAAUCUUUGGGCCUUCUAACACUCUUUCGCCAACCUCUGACCAACACAAUGGUGUCCGACAAGCUCUACCAUAAAGUGCCUCAAAUGGUGACAUACCAAUGCUCGAAUGAAAACUAUUAUUGUAGGCAAAUUCCAUCAAAUCUAGGCGAUCAUGCCAAGAAUCACCAAACUGUAACACUGAAGAUUUCAACAUAUCAUCCAAUGUCUAAAUAGUCAUUUUUUAUUGUCCAUCAGUUUGAGGAUGAUAAGCAGUGUUGUAAAGCAAUUUCGUAUCAAAAGCUUCCUGAAAAGCUACCCAAAACUUAGAAGUAAAUCUUGGAUCUUGAUUAGAAAUAAUAUUCACUGGAACUCCGUGAUACUUCACAAUCUUCGUGAUGAACAAUUUAGCCAAUUUAUUCAGAGGAUACUUUUCCCUCACUGGAAUGAAGUGUGAUGAAUUGGUAAGCCGAUCUACAAUCACCCAAACACCAUCAAAUCCAUUUCGUGUACGAGGGAGCUUAUACACGAAAUCCAUAGUUAUAUUUUCCCAUUUCCACUGAGGAACAGGAAGUGGUUGCAUCCGACCAAAAGACUUCUUUCUUUCAACUUUAACUUGCUGACAAACAAUACACCUACUUACAUAUUCUGCAAUUUCUCUCUUCAUACUCGGCCAAUAAUAAAAUGGUUGAAUGGUAUCGUACAUCUUAGUCCCUCCUGGAUGCAUCGCAUAAGCCGAACAAUGUGCUUUAUCCAAAAUUUCCUUCUUUAAUUCCUCAUUAUUCGGCACAUACAUUCUGUUAUCUUGCAUAAGCAUGCCAUCUGAUUCUCGAAUCCUGAGGUAUUUCUUUUUCCCUUCAUUUCUCAAUUGGAUCAUUUUUUGAAUUUCUUCAUCAACCAUCUGAGCUUCAAGUACACGAUCAACCAAAACUGGCCUAACUUGAAAACUAGCAAGAAAAGCUUCUCUUCGUUCUUCUAACUCCAACUUUACUCCAGUAGCUCUCAAUUUUGCAAGAAGAGGAACACGACAAGCAUACAAAGCAUUGAGUCGACCUUGAGAUUUCCUACUCAGUGCAUCAGCUACCACAUUUGCACGACCCGGAUGAUACUCAAUAGUGCAGUCAUAAUCACUUAGUAAUUCCAUCCACCUUCGCUGACGAAGGUUAAGAUCAUACUGAGUGAAAAGAUACUGAAGACUCUUAUGAUCUAUGAAGAUCUUACACUUCUCACCAUAGAGAUAAUGCCUCCAAAUUUUCAAAGCAAAGACAAUGACUGCCAACUCAAGAUCGUGAGUAGGGUAAUUCCUUUCAUGAAUCUUCAACUGUCGAGAAGCAUAGGCGAUCACUCUAUUAUGCUGCAUCAAAACACAUUCCAAACCAUUCAAAGAAGCAUCACUGUAAAUCUCAAAGUUACCGCUAUUAUCAGGAAGUACUAAUACUGGAGCAUGAGUGAGGCAAUAUUUCAACUGCUGGAAGCUUUGCUCACAAUUCUCGUCCCACUCGAACUUAACAUCCUUCCUGGUUAACUUCGUUAAUGGCAAAGCAAUCAUAGAAAAUCUUGAACAAAUCGUCGAUAAUAACCUGCUAGACCGAGAAAACUCCGUACCUCAGUGACGGUUCGUGGUUGUUCCCAAUUCUCCACUGCUGCUAUGUUUUGAGGAUCUACUUGAAUUCGUUGUGCCGAUACUACAUGCCCCCAAAAUGCCACUUCAUUCAACAAAAACUGACAUUUACUGAACUUGGCAUACAACCGGUGCUCCCUCAAUUUCUUUAAUACAAAGUUAAGAUGUCGAAUAUGAUCUGCGUUAGACUUAGAGUAUACCAGAAUAUCAUCGAUAAAAACAAUGACAGAUCUAUCAAGAUAUUGCUGGAAUACCUCAUUCAUUAGCCUCAUGAAAGCCGCAGGUGCAUUAGUCAAUCCAAAUGGCAUUACUAAAAAUUCAUAAUGUCCAGAACGGGUCCUGAAAGCCGUCUUAGGUACAUCAUCAUCUUUAAUCUUCAACUGAUAAUAACCAGAUUUCAAAUCAAUCUUAGAGAACACACACGCACCUUUAAGCUGAUCAAACAAAUCAUCAAUACAAGGCAAGGGAUAACGGUUCUUAAUCGUUACCCGGUUCAAUUUCCUGUAAUCAAUACAUAAUCUCAAAGUUCCAUCUUUCUUUCUCACAAACAACACCGGAGCUCCCCAAGGUGAAGUACUAGGUUGAAUGAAACCCUUAUCAAUUAAUUCCUUUAACUGAAUUUUCAAUUCUCUCUAUUCAACUGGAGCCAUUCUAUAUGGAGUCAACGAUAUAGGAUCCGUACCUAUAAGCAAAUCAAUAGAAAACUCCACAUCUCUAUCUGGCGGCAAUCCAGGCAAAUCGUCUGGAAAUACAUCAGGAUAGUGCCUGACUACUCUAACUUCUUCCACACUGCUAGGAACAACAUCAUUUAACACCACAUGUGCCAAGUAUCCUUGACAACCUUUCGAUAACAACUUCUUUGCUUUCAUGGCAGAAAUAACACCAUGUCUCACCCCAUUGCUUUCACCCACAAAAGUAACCUCUGGAAAUCCAGGAUGAUGAAAAGUAACAGAUUUCCCGUAACAAUCUAUAUGGGCACGAUUAAAAUGCAACCAAUCUGCCCCUAGAAUCACAUCAAAAUCCACAAUAUCUAACGAGAUAAGAUUAGCUGGCAUAGCUACACCAUCUACCAUCACUGGACACCUUGGAUAAACACUAUCAACAUAACAUUUGUCCCCUCUAGGCAUAGCAAACUCUAAAUCAAAUCCUAUAGGUGUCGGGUGAGGUUGAGUCAUUUGAGCAAACGUAUGAGAAAUCACAGAAUGUGUAGCACCAUAAUCAAUCAAGACUCUAGCAAAAUGACCAAGAAUAUUUAACGUACCCAUAAUCAAAUCUGGAUGGUUCUGAGCAUCUUGCAGUGAUACGUGAUUAACACGUCCCUAAGCUUGCUGUCGUCCACCAUGACCUCUAUUGCCUUGGUUACCUCACCCCUGAGAAGUACGUCCAUGUCCUGACUGACUAGACUGCUUAGCACGACCUGCACUGCUAGCAGCCACAUCUCCCUAUCGGGGUUGAUCCCCCUGAUACCACUGAGAUCCACUAGAUCCACUAGCUGGCAUAGAAGGAUAUGAAGUAUAACCUCCAGGAUCUUGAGAAUACCCAGUCUGAAAAUAAGGAUCCCGGGAAUACUGAUAUUGUCUAGGUGCAUAGGGAGCAACAUCACCCUGAUAGUGGUAAGCACCAUCACGACCCGUCUAACCAUAACUGCCUGAUCCAAAGUUCUACUGAAUCGGCGCUGGAGAUGGCAUAGUAGACCGCUGAGAUCUCUGUUGACUCUGGGGACACUGGGCAACCCUAUGUCCCAUCUUUCCACAAGUGUAGCAAGCACCACCACCACCACUUCUCCUACACUCUCCAUGAUGUCUGAAAUUACAACGAUGGCACAACGGAGCACCAGAACCACCAGCACCACCAAAAUUUCUCUGCCUCUAAAACCUGGGUCCACCAAUAAAUCUUCCACCUCUCAUCUGGCCUGUGACACUAAAUCUUCCACUGGAAGAACUCGAACUCGCUCCACUUUUCUUGAAAUUCUGUGUCUUACGGAGUCCCUGAAUGGAGAUACCUUUGCCCUUAUCGUCUUUCUUCUGAUUAUCAUUCUUGUCCUCAUCAUCCUCACGGUCACUAGGAAGGUUGUCGGAAUCCUCCAUCCGAACCAAAAUCUCAAAAAACUCAUGAUAAUCGGUGUAAUGAAGUGCACUAGCAAAAGUCCACUAUUUCCUCUUAGUUCCCAGCUUAAAACGGCGAGACAUCUCUACCUGAUUACCAGCUGUAUCAGGGUCAUAACGAGACAAAUAUGUAAACUUCCAGUAAUACUCAUUCGCCAACAUAUUCUUUUGCUUCAAUCGAGUGAACUCCUACUUCUUGCAAUCAAUGUACUCCGGAGGGACAAAUCUUUUCUUAAAAUUCUCUUUGAAUACUUCCCAAUCAGCUGCCAUCUCAGGGGACAUAAACUCAGCCUGAUUUACCCACCAAGCUGCUAGCUCCCACCCCAAAAACCAAGUAGUGGCCUCCACCCAUCUACUAGCAGGAAAAUUCCCUUGACUCUGCAUCACCUGGAAAGUCUUCUCAAUAUGGUCUAACCACUUUUCUGCCCCUUCAUGACCCUCAUUACCCAUGAAACGGUCCAGUUUCAAAUUAUACAUAGUCUCCAGGGGUGUCCUUUGAAAAGGAGGAUGAUGGAUUGCAUUCUGAAAGGCAUGGACCAUCGCUUCCCUUAAUUGAGUUAUAUCAGGGAAAUUAGGCUCAGAAGCACGACGUGAUUCCCUACGAAGCGGCAUAAUUCUGACAGAAAACAUCAAAAGAUCAUUAGAGCAUUAACAAUUUAUAUAGGAUUGCAACCUAGACUCUGAUAUCAAACUGACACACCCCGAUCCUAGAAUCAAGGCGUGUUGGCCGUCACGUGAGCGUGAUGUAACCAAAAGUACGAUGCGGAAGCAAAAGAUAUGAGAAAUACGAAGGAAUAAAAAAAACCAAUUACUAGCAAUAAUAUCCAACUAGCAUGCUAGAGUGAGUUUAAGUGUGCAGUACACAAUUUCAGAGCAUAAAUACUAGGUGCAGUCAAGUAGGACUAUAAUUAAAUUACAACACCCGCAGGUGAGUCCUACAUCCAGGAAGUCUGUCAGAACGCUGAAGAAAACCUCGUGAGCCACCAACUGCUAACUAGAACCUGGAGGGGCGCAAAACAAAAUUGAGUAGGUCAGUAAAACCAAAGUUUUCCAAAACAUUUCAUUUAAAACAAUUAUAACCCCUCACUGUAAAACCUGUAUACUUUCCCAUAAAAUAACAUAAUAGCAUAAUAUUUGUUCAAAUCUCUCAAAAACAUUAAUCUUUACCAAAAUCCAGCAAGUAUGCUAUGCAAUAAUGUUAAUGACAGAAUAUGGAUGCAUCAAUAUAACAGGUGACAUAAUGAAUCAACCGGAGACCCUGUAGUUGGUCCUGUACGAUUAAUUCUAUAGCUCACUAUCCAAUCCAGCCGGAGUCACCAUGGUGACCUGUACGGCGCUACUCUGCACAUAAGUCAGAACUACCUGAAGUAGUUUGUAAGACAAGAAUGGUGAAAUAAUACGCUUUAGUGCUUCUCUCAUCAAUCAUCUACACGCAUAAUCUAAGGUCACCUACCAGUCGGAACCACCUCUAGUGAUCUGUACGACUAGCAUGUCGGAACCCUCUCAUGGUCUGUACGACAUGCACCUACUUGGAUCCAAGGUGAGCGUGCGGUGCGGUGAAUACUAUAAGCACUAUCACCAAGGGUGCAGGUUAUGAGCUCUCAACACAAUUCACAUCAUCAAUAAUUCACAUGAAUAACAGAAAACUCACUUGAUACUCAUUUGUGCGCCCACAACACCAAUUCAUAUAUAUAUAUAUGCAUCAAAUAUCAAUUCAUAUAAUUCACAAUAUGCAUGCAUGGCAUUUUAAAACAUACUAUCAUUUAAAUUCAAUUUUUGGGAAAAUCAAUAGUAUAUAGGUAUAAACAGAAAAUACUGCCCACUCACUGGUAAGUCGAUGGGUUGUAACCUCCGUGAUGUCCCUGGAUGCGCUCGUCCUCGGGAUAGGUGUCACCUAUAUGCGAAACAACUAUAAAAACGUUAAUUAAAGCACAUAACCGACAAUUUGAAAUAACUUCUCAUACGGUGCUCAAUUUGGGUAUAUGAAUAUACCAUAGUGACCUACUCGACGUUACGAACGUCGACAUAUUUUUAGAAAAAAUUUUGGGCUUGUCACGCACCCCCACGCGCUUGGACAGGAACGGGUCCACGCGCCCCCACGCGCGUCUCCUACCUUGGGCUCGCCGGACUGGUUUUUCCGAUGGCUGGAAAACUGGAGAUUUUUCAAUCUCCUUGUUCUCUGUCAUUUCUCAACCAAUUUCUUCGUAUUUUAUAUCAAUUUGAAGCCCUCAACAUGUAGAAUCACGUUAGACUAAUUUAAGGCUCUAAAAAUAACGAAAUCUCACCGGAAAAAUUCCAAGAAAACCGGCCAACUUUGAACUCAAUGAUCCCGAUGUCCAAAACCUUCAAACUAAGCACUCCGAGCUUCCUUAGGACCUCACUAAGCUCACCAUAAGCUUAAAAUUUCCUGAAAUCCAACAAUUCACGUGUGCAUGAAUAGUGAACUCAAAAUGGGUUUCAGAUUUCACGUGAUAUCGAGGGUUCCAAGUUCUAAAAUUGCACCAAUGAACUCACAAGCUUGCAAGGAUUCACAAACUUACCUUUUUGCCGUCGAUCCGUGAAGGUUGGAGGGUUUUGGUGCCUCGUCCGUACGAGUCGAGAGGGAGAGAGGAAGAACUGAGAGGGGGAGAGAGAUAGAGGGCACGGGGAAAGGGACAGGGUGUCCCGUGUGUGUGUGUGUGGUCCCUAAAAAAAUUCCACUCUUUAAUUCCCUAACCACACAAAUAUACACAUAUCCUUUAAUCAAAUUCCAAUUUUUCCAAAAUUUAGGGAAGAAUAUAUAUUAUUCAUAAUAUGUCACACCCAUACCUUAGUAACCGCCAGGGCAGUUUCGUCAUUUCACAACCUAGAGAAUAGAAUCUCGAGAUGGGCUGUGACAAUCCAUAUACACACAACCUGGUUUCGACCUAAGAUGUUUUCCGACGGUUCUCAACCGUUUUUCAAGCGAUUUUCACCUAUCCAUCACCUGUAACCUCACCCACAACCUCCUCUCUACCAUUCUCCAUCCAAAAUCAGAAGAAAAACGAUUGUAGUUUGGUGAAAAACCCACCACGGGUGCGGCGGUAAACCUUGUUGAAAUCCAUCAAUUGUGAAACGUUUUCCUCCAAUUACCACAACCAUUAGACUUCCCUUGAGAACUAGAGCAAAGCCCAAACAGCCUUAGGUGCAUUGGCACAUCAAGGAAGGAGAAUAGAAGUUCACUCAUUUUAAGGUUCCGACGGGUUUGAGUGAAAUUGGAGCCUUUUCCGGCCAAAUUGGACUUGGUCACAGGCGACGAUGGUUCGUGAUGUCUUGAUAUUCGUGCUAGGGAGUCAUAGCACGGACCUCAGGUAAGUGGGUCUUUUCCUUUUUAUCGUGUGUGUGUGUAUAUAUAUAUUAUAUGAUUGAUAAUUCCACAAACGUUUAUAAGUUGAUUAUUGCUUACGAUUACUGUGAAUGCUUUGAAAUAAUUAUUGUGAACUACGAAUGACUUGAUCCUUGUUUAGGGUACGUAGGUAGUAUAAUGAGACGUUAGAUGCAUCCAUGCAAUAAAUGAGACUAAUUAAUUGAGACAAUAGCCUUGUUCAGGGAAUUGAGUAAUGUGAGGGACAUUGGUGGAAAAUGUGAGAUUUAACCUUAUGAUUUGGUGGUUAAAUGUUAGUCAUAAAUCAAUGUGUGAAGAAUCAAGAAUUUGAAGUAAGGAAACGUAAGUAAUGAUAGUUAAUUAAACUAGUGUCUAGUUGGGUUUAUCACCGAUAAUUAUUCCUGAAAAUAAAUAGUUCGGGAAUAGGGCGUUACAACUUAUGCAUUUUUAUGCCAUAUUAUAUAUAUGUAUAUAAUUGAAAAUGCUAUAACAUGGUUGAGUAUUAAAUUGCAUCAUGGUUUAUCUAUAAGUAUAUUACCUGCACAUAAUUAUUGUAACGCUUUGAAGUGCAAAGGUGAACGCAGGACACCUAGGUAAGUUCAUGUGAGUUAUGGUAUUAGUUGAAAUGAUUGGAGUUAUGGCAUGACUACAUGUAUGUUUUAGGCAAAUCUGACCUUGUCGUACACGUUGCAAUAGAGGCAACUCCGACAUUGUCGUACAGGUUGUCUAUAAAUCGUACAUGCCAUAUUAGAUGCAUUUAGAGCUCAUAACCCUGCACCCCGGUGUUCGUGCUCUCGCCUAAGGACAGGGCCUAGCCUUCACGUGAUCGUUCAUCUCCCACACCACACACUCACCUUGGAUUCAAGGUAGGUACCAACCUAUCGUACAGACUACAUUAGGUGGUUCCGACUCGUAGGUAACUUGCAAUACUUCACACAGUCUUCACGUGAUUGUAGCACUUGAGCGUAAUUAUUUACACACAGCCUGUCGUACGGAUCACUAAAGGUAGUUCCGACUUGUGUGUAGGGAUAUGUGAUGAGCUAUGAGUUUAGCCGUAUAGGCCACAAGAGGUGGAUCCGGCUGACAUAUUACUGGGAUAUUGAUUAAUGAGAUAUGGAUAAGUCGUACAAGUCACUAUAGGUGACUCCGACUUAUAUGCUAGCAUUGAUUGAUGCGUUAUGGGUGCAGUCGUAUAUGUCACUAUAUGUGACUCUGACUUAUGUGCUAGCAUUGAUUGAUGAGCUAUGGGUGCAGUCGUACAGGUCACAUUAGGUGACUCCGACUUGCGUGCUAAUAUAGAUUAUUGAGCACAUGAUUAUUUAUAUUGCUAAUGAGAUGCUGUGUCGUGGUUUAAUUAUGGAUUUACUAUUGAUAUACUGUUGACUUCAAAUUGAUACGUAGUAUGAUUUUUUGGAAACUAUACAAGUGUUGCAGCGAGGGGUUAUAACGAUUUAGAAGGUUUUUAUUAAAAUUUUAUCUAUAGGGCCACUCAACCUUGUUUUGUUUUCACCCUCCAGGUUUUAUUAGCUGAGCUUUCUUAUCGUCGAUGAUUCGUGGCAAAUCUUAGUAUUAGAGAUUUCUUUUGAGCGUAUGAUUCUUAAUCCACUAUACUGUACUUACUUAUGCUUUAACGUCACGUGUGAAGUGAGUUCAUUCUCACUCACCAACGCACUCUUAGGUUAAAUUUAUUCAUAUUUUUCCACAUCAUCAUACUUUAUGGCUUCGUCACCUUCUAGGUGUCGGCCAGCACAACUCGAUUCGAAGUUAUAGUGGACAUCCCGGAUCGGGGUGUGUCAGUUCAUCCGUGGUGUCCAGAUUGAAUAUGAACAUGCAAGACUCAUUAAGUUUUGUGAAAUCCUUUUGAAAAACCAUAUAAUCCUUAAGACUUGUCAUCCAUCCUAAGAAGUUACACAUAUUAACCACAAGAAGCCUUAGUCAAUUUCUAGGACAGUCAUUCGCCAAAAUUGCAUCAAAUUACUUUUCUAAAUAGGGAGUUUUAACGAAACACUCCUGGUACUGUUCACGUUUUAAUGAAAAAUCACAUUUUUACCUUUUCCUAUUACUAUUCAUUACACCUUUAUUUGUCAUUUUUCAUUAAAACUAAAGUCUUUUUUGGACUUUUCGUUAGUUUUUUUUUCUAAAUACCCUAAUGAUGGCCAAUCAUCAAGACAAUUAGAUAGGUUCAAAUACGGUGAUUAAUAAUUCAAAACUUACAUGCAUAAUAUCAUAAGCAAAUUGAAAAAAAACUACAUAUUAUUGCUAAGGCUCGUGGCCUCACCCUAGCAAACGAAAUUAGUUAUGAACAAUCAUAAAACAAAAUAUUAUUAAGAACAAGGACAUAAAACACCUUGAAAAUAAACUUGAAUCGUCAAAAGCUCUAAAGUAGUGCGCUCUCUAAAGUAAUGCGUUCUUUCCCCCUAAUGGCUAAUAAGCCUUAUUUAUACUACUAGAAAAAUAAAAUUCUGCCUAAAAAAUGUCUUCUAAAAACUAGGAAACAUAAUAGAAUAAGAUAACUAGAAAAUACAUUCAUAUUUAAACUGAAAUUCGGACUUCUUAGAAAAUCAGACUUUUGACCGACCAAAUCAACUCGGAUUUGGUCCCAAAAUGAUUAUUUUUAAAGCUUGAGACGUCCCUAACAAAUCAUCAGAAGGAAUCUUCCUUAAAAUAUGCCAUCUUGACUUUCUAAAUACCCAAAACAUCCAUAAACGUUAAUCUGGGAAAUUUGCACGCUGGGGUUGUAUUUCAUUGCCAUAGUCAAACGGCUUGGUAGAAAAAUCUAGAAUUUUGAAACACUCAUGAAAUCCUCCAAUUGGAAUCACUCAAAAAUUCAUCUGUUUGAUCACUUUUUGCUUAAGAGGAAGUCGAAUGUCCUACAUUGAAAAUACAUAACAAAGUAUCAAAGUUUUACCAAAAUAACCAUUAAAUUAUAACUAAGAUGAGGGUAAAAUAUAAAGUAUAAUAUCGACUCAUCAAUACACAUACAUUUUAUAUUAUGUAUGAAUUAGCUAACUAUAACAAUGAUGACUCCUAUUUUUUGGCCUUUGACAAAGCAAGACAACACAAACACAUGUCUGAUACUAUAAUCUCUUAAGGUGUAUUUUCAUGUAUAUAAUAAAUAAUAUAUAUGAGUGAUAUAUGUAGAUUUCACUUGUACCUACUUAAGGCAAAAGAAAUAAUAUACAUAUAUACACAGUGUAGUACCGUUACAUUUCAUAAACAGUGUAGUACCAUUAAAUUUCAUAAAUAGUAUAGUAAGUUUCAUAAACAAUAUGUGUGAUGACGCGCGGGACAUAUAUAUACAGUGUAAUACUGUUAAGUUUCAUAAACAGUAUGUGUGAGGACGCUCUGGACAUAUAUAUACAAUGUAAUACUGUUAAGUUUCAUAAACAGUGUAAUACUGUUAAGUUUCAUAAACAAUGUAGUACUGUUAAGUUUCAUAAAUAGUGUAGUACCGUCAGUUUUUUUUUAAAUUUUUUUAAUAUUAAAAUUAUGUCUUUUUCAUUAAAAUUUAAGUUUUUUUUCCUUUUUUAUUAAAAUUUAAGAGUUUUUCCAUAAAAUUUAAAUCUUUUUCAUUAAAUAAAGUUAUACAUGAUUUUUUGUUAAAAUAAACUUAGCCCAAGCCAUUUUCAUGAAAGUUCUCAACUUUAUGAUAAAUCAACCAUAAAUCAACAAUCUAACAACAAAUAAACCAUAAAGAACAAAGUUAUGGUAAAAGUUAUUGGGUGACUAAUAAUAACAUUAUAAUUCGUUUAAAAAAAAAUAAUAAUAAUAACAUUAUAAUACAUAGUUGCUUACUAGUGAGUAUCUUAUAUACUUACUUUUUAGAUUUGACCUAAAAAUAUUUUAACAUAUGUUUUAUUGUUUUAAAAAAUAGUUCACGUGUUAUUUAAUUUUUCUUACAUUUUUAAAACAAGAAACACGUGUUAUAUUUUGAUCAAGUUAAAUAAAAAAUGUGUAUAUAUGGUACUCACGAGUGAGUACUUAAGUAUUAUCCAUAAUAACAUGUCUGUGGUUAGGAUGUUGAUUUAGAAUUCUUUUGGAAGUCUUUCUAAAAUGAUUGAAAUUACUUUUACCAAAAAUAUUUUUAGGUUCUAAAAAGCACUUGAAGUGCUUCUUGCAAGAAACAUCAGUAAAAAAAAAAAAAAGGGGUAAAAAGCAAUUUAAGUGUUUUUUUUUCCCCUAGAAUUCACUUGUAUUUUACUAAGAAUUGAUUUCAAAAACAUUUUCACGAGAAACGCUUUUAGCUAUUCUAAAAGCAUCCCAAAAUGAGCUCUUAUUGUUAGAUUUGUAUCUAAUCCAACAUCAAUUAUAAGGUUAGUAAAUGAAACAAUUAUUAUGUAUUAUUAUAAAAGAAAGGCUUUAUAGUCAAAAUGGUCCUUGUGAUUUGCAUAACAGAUCACUUUGAUCCCUAAUAUUGAAAAUCAAUAGAAAUGGUACCUGAUAUUGUCCACCAUCCAUUAUUUCGGUCAUUCCGUUAAAAACUCCGUUGAGUGUCCUGGAGCUUUUGGCCGGAAGUUUGAGCAGUUUUCAAAGUUUCGUAACUCAAUCGUUUCUUAACUAAAUUCAACUCAUAAUAUAUCAAAAUGAAGAUAGUAAAGUGUAGAAUAAGAUUAUACCUAUUUGUAAGCCCAGUGGUUGCCAAAGAUGGUCGAAAAAUAGCCUGAAAGGUGACUGAUCCGUGGGAAAACUGGAAAACUCACCAGAAACUGGGUAAACUUUAAACGUUCACAACUUCUUCAAUACUCAACGAAAUCGAGUAAUUCAAAAUCGAAAAUCAUACUUCUCAACGAGACAAAGAGAAUGGUACCUUUCUCAAUGUCUAAUUCAUUGUGGCUUGGCCAGAAAACAGCUCCAAAAUGGCUAACUCGAUUUCGUUGAGUAUUGAAGAAGUUAUGAACGUUUAAAGUUUACUCAGUUUCCGACGAGUUUUCCAGUUUUCUCACGGAAUAGUCACUUUUCAGGUUAUUAAUCUUGUUCUACACUUUCUUAUCUUCAUUUUGAUAUAUUAUGGGCCGAAUUUGGUUAAGAAACGAUUGAGUUACGAAACUUUGAAAAUUGCCAAAACUUUCGGCCAAGAACUCCGGGACACUUAACAGAGUUUUCAACGGAAUGACCAAAAUAAUGGAUGGUGGACAAUCUUAGGGACCAUUUCUAUUGAUUUUUAAUCUCAGGAACCAAAGUGAUGUGUUAUACAAAUCUUAAAAAACAUUUUAACUAAAAAGCCUAAAAGAAAACACAGAUGUUUACAUUUUUCACCAAGUACUAAUUAAUUGUGACAGCUUAUCAACUUAGCUUACCAAUCUAACCAAUAAAUCAACAAUCCUAACUACCGAAUAAACUAACUCUAUGAGCUGUUAUCCGCUGUUGUACAAAUUUUCUUCAAUACAUGUCCACACUAGUAUCCUCUGUAUAACGGAAAUUAAGUCUUGCAUUAUAGUUUUAAAAACAUGUUAGGAUGAUCACGUUAUAAUAUGCUAUUUACGUAUUGAGGGACCACACCGUACGUGCUUCAACAUCACCUAAUGAAGCAUGCUAUUAUGCAUGGGUUGCUUAAUUAUAUAUAUUUUUAAAGAACUAGCUGGUGACUUCGCCACAGCGGUCCACUCUUUAGGGAGUUGGAAAGACUCACAGAGGCAUUUCAUUCUUUAGCCACCAUCGUGUGCUUCACCAGCACAAAAAAUCAAGCCCAGAAUAUGGCCGUAAAUUCAUCGCAAACCACAGAGUCACCCGUGGUGGUUGCUUAAUUAUGUAUUUGACUUAGAGAGAUGUUAGUCGUGAAGGGACAUGUUUAAGAGCACGAACCUACUUGUAGUAGUGUUUGAAGUGAUUUUUCGCAUCUCUCUGUUUGCUCAUCAACUGAUACUACACAACAGCCGGUUUUUCUUCAGUAUGUGUGCACUUUUUUCACAUCGUCAAAGUGGUUACGUUUUUCGAGGGGGCCAUUACACUCAAAGACAACACUACCACUCGAAGCACCUAACACUAGUUAUUACAACUUGAGCAAGAACAUAGAAGAUGGCACCUUGCCCGGCCUAUCAUCUAGCUGUAACAACUGCAAUUUGAAUUACAUGACCUCCUAAUGCGGCUUUGACAUUCAACCGUAUAUAAAAUCGUUCACUAUCUUUCCACGUAAACAAUCAAUCAGAUUGGUUUUAUGGUCUCCGUCUCCUCCUUACGUUUCUAAAUUAUUAACAAUUGGUAAACAUGAAAGAAUAUAUAUAUAUAUAUAUAUAUAUAUGUAUAUAGAUGUAUGUAUGUAUAUAGAUGUAUGUUUUGUAUGUACACAAGCCUUUUAGGGGAGGGAUCUACAAUUUUGAAAAAAGAAAGAACGAGGAUUAAUUGCGGGACCCAUUUCAUAUCAAAUUCCAACUAUUCAAACUAUCUAUAUUAUAAAUCUCAAUUCAUAGGUCAUCUUUGCAAAAAUCAAUUCAAUUCGAAACAAUUUACUCAUUCAAUUGUCACGAUGAAAUUUUAAUAUUUCUUAGAUCAUAGUGAUUGUCAAUUUCUUUGAACUCAAUUAGAUGCCUCAAAUAUUUACAAUUUAGCUAAUAUUUUGCAAGAAUCAUGUAAGAGGUGCAAUUUGAAAAAUAGAUAGUUUAAAUAGAUGAAGUUAGAUGUAGCGUGGACUCCACUACUCAUCCCCGUCACUUUCCUAAUACAUGUGCAGCACUACAAAAGUCACUUUCAAACAAAAGGUCCACCCUUACAACCAACCUAACAUGUUUCCAUCUAACUUGCUCUCUUCCAUGUGCAAUUGUCUCUAUCAAGAUCUCUCUCUCUCUCUCUUCCAGCUUUAAAUCCAAUCAUAUCAACCUACCCCAUUAAUAACCAAAAUCUUUGUUUCUUUUUUUUUUAUUUUAUUUUGAUUAAAUCUUGCAAGCAUAAUGACCAGAAUCCUAAGCAGCCAUGUUGUUCUACAGCCUAGGGCAUCAACUAAACAGAUAUACCCAACACACUGAAUAUAACAUCAACAAAGUCUUAUCCCACUAAAUAGGGUCGGAUUUAUGAAUCCCAGAACGCCAACAAACGCCAACAAAGCCUUAUACCAAACACAAUGAAUGAAUUGUCAAAAGAAGAAAGCAAAACGGAAAGAGGAAUAUCAUUAAACAAUCACUAAUGAGUAUGUGAAAUAUCAUACAACAAACAUUCUUUAAUUUCUUUAAUUUUUUUCUUUCUCACGAUCGGUAGCAACUCAAUCAAGCUGUUAGCAAUACAAGGAUCAAUAACUGAAGGUUCAGGCACGCAUGAGAUUUAGUGACAUAAAGAUCGCGGAAAGAACGAGAAAAAAAACAAUAAAUACAAUAAAUUUGUGAUACCUGCUGCUUUACUUGAUCAUAUCUUCCCCAUCCCAACUCUUUCAAGUUUCUUUUUCUUGGUUCCAAAAUGUUAUAGUCUAUUUCUUUUUUUAUCAUCGACAAUCCAUUGAAUCAAAUGAGUCAGCAAAUCCGGAAGGUUUUGAAGGGAUGCUUGAUUGAGUUUGAGAGAAGGACAUAUCAUCAAACAUCCUAGAAGUACCUUCAUUGGCUUGCCAUCUUUGCAACGCUUGCGGAAGGCUCAUGUGCAGGUCGAUGCCAGAGUUUUCUUCUUCAUGGGUGGUAGGUUUCCAGUGCUCAACAAGAGGACCCAGGAUGUUGACAGCAUGUCCCAUGUCUGGUCUCUGGUACGGCUCACGAGCAGUGCAGUGUCCUGCCAGCUCAGCAACUUUGUAUAUGCUCUCCAUUGUCUCCUCAUCGGGGUCAAGAGUUUGGUCAAUAGCCUUCGGAAUGUUUUCUUUGUUGACAAGGACUCUGCGGAACCAUGAGACCAAAUGAGUCUAGAGCUUUUCUACCGCUUAUCAACUCCAUCAAAACCACUCCGAACGCAUAAACAUCUACUUUUGUAGUGACUCUGCCAGUAGCUGAUUAUAGGAACACAAAUCACAUCAACGUUCUAGAAUAACGACACAACGACAAUUAAAUCAUAGAGAAAAACGUAAUUUCACAAUUUCAAAGUGAACAACAAAUUUACUAAACCCUUAAAUCGUAGCAUCUGUUCCCAGUGAAUUCAAAAGUCCAGUUCAACAAAUUACGUAAGGGUAUUAUAUUGUCUCUUUUCCUUGCUCUUUUUGAGUUCUAGAAUCUAGUCAAAACAAAACAAAACAAAACAUGCAGUGGAGACAAAUACUAUUUCCUCCUCCAAAGGAAUUGGUUGACAUGUUCAAUGCAAUUCAGUGGCAAUAUUAACUUGCAGGUCUGCAUACAUAUAUAAGUUAGCUUGAUAUGCUGUAAGUCUGGAAUGAUUGAAGCUUAGGUACAUGCAUGAUUGUUCAAUUAAUAGAUGAAUAUCUAAAAAUUAGAGGGUUUCUCUUACCUGCAUAUUCUGGUGCGAGAUACCCGAAUGUCCCUGCCAACCUUGUCUCAACCGAAUACUUCCCGUCAGGCGCGUUUUUAACCAGUCCGAAGUCAGCAACCUUGGCCCUCAUGUCAUCGCCCAGAAGUAUGUUUGAGGGCUUUAAUCUCGGUGAAUGAAACUUUGUUGAGCCAAGCUGUGCAAAUAUUCCACUCCUCGUGCCACAUCCAAUGCUAUUGUUACUCUCUGCUUCCAAGUCAGUGGAGGCACACCAAUCUCGCGCCAUUCAAAUAAAUGCUGUGUUAAAGUCCCUUGUGGCAUGUACUCAUAGACCAAAAGUCUCUCAUUGCCAUUGAUACAGGAUCCCAAAAGCGCAACCAAAUGCCUAUGCCUGACCUUAGUAAGGACCGCAAUUUCUGCCUGAAACUCGUUCAAUCCCUUAGUGCCUACGGCCACAGAUUCCAUCCGUUUGACGGCAAUUUUAGUCCCAUCAUGCAAUUCGCCUUUAUAAACAAUUCCAAAUCCUCCUCUGCCUAAUAUGUUGUCCUCGCUAAAAUUGUUUGUCACUUGUCUUAGAACUUGGAUCGAAAUCGCAACAUUUCCACCCUCAAAAACAUGAAGGUCACCACUGCUCUGGCUUUGCAGUUCACUUGUAACUCCAUUGUACCCAUUUGCGCUACUCAUAACAUCACUCUUAGCAAUUUCUAUCCCAGUUAAUGGAUUAGCCACCCUUCCAAAUUUCUUAUGCUUUUUACCAGCAUAACAUUUGUAGGACACAAACAAUACUACCACAAUGAAAAUGACAACGGCAAUAACUAUACCAGCAAUCAUACCAGGGGAUACCGAAGGACCAUUUGAUGCCUGAGCCGGACUCCCACUAGGAGUAGUUCCAUUAGAACCAGUACCCGACGGAGUACCUCCUCCACCUCCAGUGCUCGGAGUUGUCCCAAUCAACACAUUACCAGUUGUAACUAACUUCACCGUAGAUGGAAAUUUCGGAAUUACCCCACUUAGAUUGUUGUUGGAAACAUCAAGAAGCUGAAGCUGAGUCAAGCUUAACAAGCUAUCCGGUAUCGACCCAACCAAAUUGUUACGACUCAACACCAAAUUUUUCAAAGAUGUCAGAUUGGCAAAAGCAGGCGAAAUGGUCCCAUUGAAAUGCUUGUUGUCAAAAUUCACUGUGAAAACCUUUCCCUGUGGAUCACAAACAAUGAAGCUCCAUCCACUGCAAGGCUUGUUUCCUGUCCAAGAAUCAGCAAGCAAAACCGGAUAUCCGAAAGCCCCUGCAACCUCAAGCAGCGUGGUGACCAGCGGAUCACAAGUCCCUGGAGUCGUUUGACAAAAGCUAUUACCAUCAACUGUGGAUUUCUCCACGGUGGACCUGAAAGCCGGCAUUGGACCCUGCAGCUUGUUGUUGUCCAAAGAAACGUUCUUCAAAGAAGAUAUGGACAUCAAUGUGGCGGGCACAAUGCCCGUAAACUGGUUAUCGCGGAGCUGAAGAUCGAACAAAGUUACACACUUUGAGAGAUCUGGGAUCGGACCAGUGAAUUGGUUGUUUUGAAGCCAAACCUGGGACAACUGGGUCAUGUUUGCUAAGACUUCAAUGGAGCCAGACAACCCAAGUAGCUGAUUGUUAAGCCAGAGGUUCUGAAUCCCAGAUCCAGAAAACGUUUUGGGCAAAGGACCAGUAAAGUUAUUGUAAGAAAGCCUCAGGUUUUGCAAGUUCGGAAACGAAUCGAACACAUCAGGCAACGACCCAUAUAAAUUCACAUUACCUGCAGCGAAAGUGACCAAGCUGGAAGCUUCAGUGAGCUCCGAGGGGAAAACCCAAGAGUCGAGAUUGAUGUUCUGGCUCAUGCUCAAAAUCUGCAAGCUCGAGAGGCCCGUGAAGCAGCCGGCGGGAAUGGAGGUGAAGUUGUUGGUGUCGAGGUAGACUUCUUGGAGGGAAGAGAGGUUGGCCAAAGAAGGAAAGGCGCCGGAGAGAGAGUUGCUCUGGAGAGAGAGAGUGGUGAGCUGGGAGAGAGAGUUGAGAUUUGAAGGGAGAGAGCCGGAGAGACCUUUGGAGGCUAAGUUGAUGGAGGUGACUCUCUUUGAAGUGUCGCAGUUGACACCGUCCCAGCUGCAGUAGGCGGUGCUUGUUGACCAGCCUUUGGGUGCGGGGUUGAGGCUUGCUGUGAGUUUUGACAUGACGUCGGAGUCGUCGGCGGCGGUGGGGGCGGUGGCGAUCAGGCGAAGGAGAGAGAGAGCUAGAAUGAGAGCUUGUAGGAUUUUCUGCUUACCCAUUUCUGGGUUUCUAGAGAGAGAAAGAGAGAGAGAGAGAGAGGGGGUCUGGUUUUUUGGUUUGGUGUUUCUGUUUUUGGUUUAGAGAGGGAGGCGUUUUGUACAGAAAGACGACGAAAGGAAGGAUGCUGCCUCUGUUCGCUACGGCUGUUGAAGCCUUAGGUUUUCUUCUUUUUUAAUUUUUUACUUUUUAUUUCCUUUAUCAAUCUUCUUUUCUUUUUUAAAUUUGUAUUAUAGAAUGUAUAUAAAUACCCAUUUUCAAUUAAUCCCUUCAUGAAUGAGAAAUGUAGCCGCUUAGUAAAAACAAGAGGGGUUAGGUUCAGAUUUCAUGGAUGAUGAAUUUGAAGUUAAAUUAUUCUCUUACUAUAAAGAGCUUGUUUGAAAGCGCAUUGUUUGAAAGCGCGUUGAGAGAUGAAUGAAAGUGUUUUUUGGUAAAAUGUUUUUGAAAUCAAUUAUUAGUAAAAAUUUAAGUAUAUCUCUCUAAGAAGCACAUAUAUGGUAUUUUUUUCUGAAAAUACUUGAAAUGCUUUAAGAACCUAAAAUUAAUUUUUUUUAAAAUACUUUCAACAAUUUUAAAAAUAAAGUCAAAACGAGUCUACAAGAAGAAUAAGAAAUAUUAUUGUAUAUUAGAGAGCAAUUUUCGAUCUUCCAUAAUAAUAAGCUCUAAAAAAAUUGAAGCUUUUUGCUUUUAGAAAGAAAAAAAAAGGAAAAGAGAAAAAAGGUUGAUGUGGGUCAUAUAUAUGUACAUGUAGAUUGUAGAUGAGAGGCCCACAGACGCAAACUGAUACACUCUGGACUUGAAGUGGUAGUGGGUCCCCCACGUGAGAAUGAGCUGGUGCUUCACUGAUAACGCGUGGACCUCCCACCGUUUCAAGUUCACCAAAACGGCAGAAAAUACGAUCCCUCCGUCAUCACACCGAUGGUUUAUUAUUUCCGAAGUUUCGCGUUAAUUAACGCCAUUUGCGGAUUGCUCGUUUGAACUUCACGUAAAGCCCAAGCUUCUCAUUUUUUGAGAAUUCUUUUAGUGAGCUGAAAGUACGAUCCUGUAUAAAAACAGAGCGGUGGAGUCAUGAUUUUCAAAUAAUAGGUCAUAAUACUAACCAAAAAUACUUCAUUGAGUAAUUUCGUUGAGCACCUACUAGACACUUGUCAAUUCAUGCUAAUAUAUGUCGAAAACUUAUGCUAACAUAUGUCGACAACUACUAUUAUUUAUAAAGGCUUGUCAAGGGUGAAUGCAGAAUACUAUAAAGUAAUGUUAAAGAUUGUCAAGACUUGUCAAAUAAGGCAUUUUAUCGAGCAUAUGAUGCACUUAAUAAAGUCACACACAAUAAAAGAGAAAAGAAAGCCAAAUAUGAUAGAAUAAAAUAUAAGAAAUAGGAGGAAGUUGUAAUUUAAUUUGUCUUAGUUAUUUAUAGAAGUCAAACAUAAUACACAAAUAAAAUACAUGGGGCAUUUGAAGUGUUGGGGUCAAGAAUAACCAUAGACUCCAUGCUAGCUCUGCCAUUGAUAGAAAGUGUAGGAAUUUUAUUGAACCUUUUUCUAUGCCAACUUAUUCUCAACACUCAUAUCUAAACUACAUAUUAUUGAAACUCUAUUUGUCAACCAAAAGAGAGUCAAAAGACAUUUUUGUCUUCUAUCACGACAAAAAUGUUAAGGACAGUAACGUAAUUUUAAAGAAUAAAAUGUUGGUUUUUUUUUAAACCUCGCCUACAAUUGAUUUGAUCAUCUCUAUUUAAAAAUAAUGAAUAAAAUAAUAAAUAAAUAAAACCUCUGUUUGGGCCCAAAAUGACGUUUUUGGGUUGAGCCCAUAAUCACUUUCGGUCCAAUAAGAAAGGUGUUAUGAAUUUCAGGAUAUUCUCACCAAAGGCCCCGCCCAAUAGGGAUACGGUCGAGUUCUAUUAGGAAAUGGUUUCAUUUGGAUAAGGGUGAGUGGCCGAGUCCUAGUAUAAUAAAGAAUCCUUAUAGACCAGUUAUGCUCUAAAUAGGAAAAGAUGUCAAGAAUCAAGGGUUCAAUUUGGGUGAUAAUAAAGCUAGAUUUAGAAUCCCACAUGAACCAGGACUGACCGAAGCCCAUUUGGAUUUAAUCAAGGAAUUGAGGUCCGAGUAGGGUUCUACUUCGACUGUGAGGAAUCACUACUAUAAAUAGAUAGAAGAGUACAUCAUUCAAGUCUCCCCAAAUCAACACACAGAAUUACCCUGCUCAAACUCUCGCUCUACGUGAAACCUCUCAAACAUCUUGAGAUUUUUAUUGCCUUUUUUCCCACCAACAUACCUUCUGUUUAGAUAAACAUUACUGUGUUGGCAACCGGUAACACCUUUGGUUUGGGUAAAUAGCAUUGGAGCCAUAAAAUCAGCAUGUCACACCCCAAUCCCGACAUACGUCUAGGAUCGACACGUGAUGUCACCUAAUACCCGUAUCUAUCAUACCCCGCCUUCGAGAUAUGGGCAGAGCACAAUUCGAUAAUCGAAUCACACAGUAAUUUUUCGUAUGCUUUAUGGCUGCAUCUAACCUCCUCGUUAGACUGCCUACGUACCUUAAAUAGGGAUAAAGUCAUUCAUAGUUCGUCAUGCACUAUAAUUGACAUAUGUCACAGUCCAUUUAAGCCGAAAGGCAUAAUGUUUCUCAAUCAAUAUCAUGAAAUUACUAGACCCAGGGUUACAUAACAAACCCAUAUGAAAAUCAUGAUUUCCCUUCCAUCUUCUAUAUAAGUCAUUAUGUCGCAACAAGAUACCGCAAUUCACAACAUAUAUCAUAUCAAGGAACCGACAAAGCACAAUACAAUUCUCUAGCCACAUUAAUUAACUAAUUUGCCCAAAAUAAUAACAACUAUAACCAUAUCUUCUAAAUUCAUACUUUAUGAAAUCAUAAUCGAAUCAUAGAAAAUCCUGAAGGAGUCACCCAAACGUCCAACAUCUUUUCUAAUUCAAUUCACAAGAUUCUUAAAACCAUUGCUCACAAAUAUUCUAAAACUAAGGCUAGAGUGACACAGUUAAGCCAAGCUUACAUCUCUGAAGCUGAUAUCAAAUCUAAGAAACCAACAAGUCAAGUGAUGCAACUUUGGACCACUUAACAGAAUCUAAACCAGGAAACGAUUUCAGACCAUCACUCAAUGGAAUCGCGAAAUAGAAGGGAUUCCGAACCAUCACUCAACGGAAUCCAAACAAGGACACGAUUCUGGACCAUCACUCAAUGGAAUCACUUGCACUAUCAACUUCUCAAGACCACUAACUAUCUUAUCAUACAAGCAUGAAAGUUAUACAUAAUACUUCUCAUAAGAUUUUGGGUUCACAUCAUCCUAAAAACAAUCAUACACAUCAUACUGAUCAUACAUAUCUAACCACAUUUCAUAAACGUUCCCAAGCUACAGUUGAAUCACAAUUAAUAAACAUAAAUCAAUGCUAAAAAUAAAAUAACACUUCAAUAGAAAGCACAUUUAAUUAACAAGUAUAACUCAAUAUGAUGCCACUAAUACAUAUAUCGAGACACAUGUCAACCGAGAAUGACACGUCAUCGUGAUGAGCCAACUAAGUUCCAUCAAGCCUCAACAACAAACUAGAGAUAAACGACACUCUAGAGUAUAGCACGUUGAUUAGAACGUCAACCAUCGAUAAGGUAGGUCCAUUAAGAUCAACAAUUUAAGGUUAUUCAAAUGGGAAGAUCCGCACAUAGGAUUUCUGAUCCGUAAGUUCUUAAAGGUCCAACAACUGAUAACUAAGGUGCUCACAAAAUUGUUCGACCAUCCAAUGAUCGGAUUAUCAUCAAUCAUACAAACAAGUGGUGGUCCAAUUUGAUCACCACAUCAAACAAUUGAAUUUCGGGAAACCGAGAUAGACAUAGCUUCAUAGGGUCACUAGAAGGUAUUUAGUACUUAGACAACACUCGUGGACGGUCCCACGCACCGCCACACGCGGUGGUAGCCAAGAUGGAGGGUUUUGAAAACCCGAAUUUUCAAUAUUAACUAAAUGAGCUCAAACUUACGUGGUAGCUAGAGCUUAACAAGGGAAACAUUUUUCACAACUAGGCCGACGAUAAAUUCUAACCGGAAACCGUCCAAAUUCACCGGAGAAAACCGGAUUUCUACGAUUCUAAACACUUAACACUAAAAUGAAUACGAAAGCACGAACCAAGCAUACCAACUUGAAGAUUAUGAAGAGUAGAUGAAGUUUCAUAAUUGUGACUCAGGUCAAUUUGGCCGAGAAACACCUCAAUUCACAACGAACCCGCCAGAACCUUAAAAAUUGAAUGUGCUUCAAUUUGACCUCCUUGAUGUUUCGUUGCCCCUACAACUGAUUCUUUGUUCCAAGGCUCAAGGGAAGUCCAAUGGCGGUGGAGAUCGAAGGAAAUUGUUUCCAAAAUGGCGGAUUGAAGACAAGGAAUCCUUGCACCCACCGGUGCGAGUUUCACCAAAUUUAACCCAAUUUUCGUCCAAUCUUGAAUGAAUAUCAAAUGAGAAGGAGUGUGGUGGUGAUUUCAGGUGAUGAUUAGGUGAAAUUCAUUUGACAAUAGCUAGAAAUCCACCGGAAUUAACCGGUUCGACGGAAUGGGUAUGUGUGUGCGGAGAGGGGGUCCGUUCCCUUUUUUUUUCUUCUUUUCUCUCACCACCUAUGUGGCUUUCUUUCCUUCCUUUCUUUUUUCAGCCACUCCUGUGGCUUUUUCUUCUCUUUUCUUUUCUUCAUUUUUUAGCAACAACUUCAAACGUCCGUAACUAUAUUGUUAUAAUCCAGACUCGCAAACGGCUUUCGCCUAUGCGUUCAUGAUCUCGAUAUCUAUUCAACAAUAUAAAUGGUGACCUCGAAUGGUCUACAGAAUUUAAAUAAUUAAUUUCCCGAAAAAUAAUAUAAAAUCUCUAUAAUACCAAUACGUAGAUUAUAAUAAUGAAAUCCAGGAACGGGGAUUUCACACAACCAACUGAGGAGCAUUUUCAAUUUGGAUAAGUAGCACUGCUUCGAGACCAAUUGGUUAUCUAUCAAAGUUUUGGCCAGCAAGGAAUCUUUGAAUCCUUGUUAGAAGAGGUCAUCUCAUCAACCUUCUUGGUGAAGUGAGGUGUUACUAAAUUAUGACAUUUGACACACUAAAAGCCAAAUUUGAUAUUGAACUUCUUAGAACUAGCAGUCUUGUCUUUAGACUCUAAAACCCUAAGGCCAAGACGUGUUCCUUUCUCGGCUACAAUCACAAGAUUCAGAAGACAUCAACGCGUUCAAUGCCAUAUCAACAUUCAUUCACUCCUUGACCAAGCUUGGCCAACGAGUUAGCACACCCAGCAUUCAGCCGAAGGACAUUGUUAGCUUAUUAGUUAUUCAGCCUGUGCGCCACGUAGGCUAAGUAGUUUUUAGGGGCAACAACCUCUCUCCCUACUCCCACGUUCUCUCUCACUCUCUUCCUCUCUCCUUCAAUUUUAAAACCAAAAGAAAAAACUUUCACAUACUUUAUGUGUAGGCAUAUACUAGUAAUUUUUAAUUAAACUACCAAUAUCUUUUUAAACCUAACUUUACUACCUAAACUGCCAUCACAAAUCAAUUCAAUAUGUAAGUUUAUAAUUAUCAAUCUGUUAUACAUUUUUAAACACUUUGAUUGUUUUAUCUAUUGGUCGAAAUUAUUCAUCUUUUGACUUCUAAAAAUUUGUGAAAUUGUUUUGAUUUUGAAAUUUUUCAAAACCAUAAUAAGAUAUAAAUUAAGAGAAUAUAUUGCAGCAACCUCCCAAAUCGAAGAGGAGAAACUGAAAAAUCUCCCGUAUAACUUUAAAAAUUUAUGUGUUGCUAGUACAUGUGGUUGUGUAAAUUCCUGAUAGAUUUGAUUCCAGUAAAGAUCGGAACUCGAAGCUCAACUCCAGACCAACCAUUUCUUCCUUCAAUUCAACUGAGUUCUUCGUUGAAAACCCAUAAAACAAAAUCACAUAUCCACGCCCUUGAUUAAAAUCGAACCAAGCUCUGAAACCAUGUUAGUGUAUUUGAGUCUGUGUAUUUAAAAUUUGAGUGGUUGUUAGCUAAAGAAAAUCAAAGAGAAUUUGAUCUUCAAGUUGCAGAAGAUGGGUUGAAGAAGAAAGGAGAAAGCAAAAUCGAAAACGAUUAUCUGAAUCUUCGUUAGAUUAUCUUGCAUUUAGUUAAACAAACACAAGAAAUGUGUGUGAAAUAAGCGUUGCUAGCUCACACCUUAGCUAAGGCUAGAGAAGUGAGUUGAACAUGGAUAACUUAGGCCAUCUCUAAUCGACCCGACCAAAGGGCUAGUGGGCCCCACCAGGCCAAAACCACCAAAUCAGGCCAGCGGGCUGGCCAUUUCUAGCCAGUCGCCAGCCCGAUGAGCCCAGCCCACUUGCACUCCAACAGUAACCUGACGUCAGCUAGUUGUUGAUAGCUGGCAUCAUGCUGACGCUAAGUAGCCGUUGGAAUUUGAAUUUUUUUUUUGGACGGAUUUAAAAAAAAAAAAAAUUCUAAUAUUUUUUUCUAUAAAUACCUAAGUCAUUCCUACACCAUUUCUCACAUACUUUUCACCAUUCCAUACUAUCUUACCUCAUUUUAUUUCAAUUCUUCACAUUCUAUUCUCUUACCUCUUCCAAUAAUCUUUCCUUUAAUUUUUUUCAAUAAUUUUUAGAUGGUCACAUCUGCAAUGAAAGCAAGGGUUUGGACCUGAAAAGAAGAUGAGGCUCUUUGUAAGGCUUAUAAAUGGGUCUCGGAAGAUAGUGUCAAGGGUAGUUCUCAAACAAGUGAAGGUGCUACGACGAAGUAAGUGUUUUCACAAGUUAUUUUAAAUAUUUAAUUAUAUUACAUUUAAUUUCAUAAAUUAAUUUCCUUUAAUUUUUGUAAUUAUAUUUUCUAGGUACGCCAAGUGGUGAAAUUGUAUAUGGAGGACAUGAAAAAACCCUUUACUCAUCACGGUUGUUGGGAAAUUUGUAAAGGGUGAGUGUUAUUUCAAGAUCCACCUUAAGAAAGAUUUGGUCCUACGCCGGUGUUCAGAAUGUUUCCAUAAAUGCAGUUGGGGAUGAACAAGGAUCUCCUAUCAUUCAAGAAACAAGGGUAGAAAAUAUGUCUCUAGGUCAAUCUUCCAUACCUAGAACUACGGGACAAAACAAGGCCCGAAAAUUGAAGGAAAAGGGCAAGGCAAAGGAGGAUUUAGCCUUUCGAGAGGAAAUGGCGUCCUCAUUGCGAUUAAUGACAGAGCAAAAUGUCAUUGUCAUGGAAGAAAGGAAGCGUAGGCACGAAGAACGGGCAAAACAAAUACAAGAAGAGAUGGAUGAUAGGAACAUGCAAAGGAACAUUUUGGAGUACACUCCAAUGAGUAAGGCAUAUUUUGAUAGGAAAAAGAGAGAAAUUAUGGCUCGACGGGAGUUGUUUACAUCCGACUAUGCUCCUACAAUGGGGGAUGAAGAUGAUGAUUAUGGUCUUUAAAUUUAAGUUGUUGUAGUCUUUAAUAUUUAAGUUGUAGUUUUUAAAUUUAAGUUGUUGUAGUCUUUAAAUUGAAGUUCUAGUCUUUAAAUUUAAGUUGUAGUUUUUAAAUUUAAGUUGUUGAAUCUUUAAAUUUAAGUUGUUGAAUCUUUAAAUUGAAGUUGUUGAAUCUUUAACUUGAAGUUGUUGAAUCUUUAAAUUUAAGUUGUACUCUUUAAUAUUUAAGUUGUUGUACUUUUUAAUAUUUGAGUCAUUAAAUUGAAGUUAAAAAAUAUUUAACAAUAUCAAACUUAAACAACAUUAAACAACACAAUCUCCACCCUAGUACUACUUGAGGGAGUUAUUCAAACUUAAACAACAUUAAACAAAACAUUUAACAACGUAAAACUUAAACGCCUACUCCAUUGUUCUUUUGGCCCAAAGAUGUGCAACAAGAUCCUGUUGUAGGUACUUGUUUGUGGCACACGAACGUAUCAUCCUAUGAGGCCUAUGUACUUGUUUAAAGAGAUAUUACCAGUUAUUGGAUCCAAAGACAAAUUAGACCCAUCAUAUAUUUACGCACGAGCCCUCCUUGACCUAUUUGGAUCUUCUUGGUCGUCAUCAGACUCUCCAUCAAUAUAGCCAUCUCACUCAUCAUCCACAAUCAUGUUGUGUGAUAUGAUGCACGACAUCAUGAUGAAAGUUCAAUUUAUCUCGACUCUACCUUCUUGUUGGUUCCUUAAUGAUCUUCCACUGUGCUUGUAGAAUACCGAAAGCUCUCUCAACAUCUUUCCGGUACGCAUCUUGGUGUAUGGUAAACCAUAUUUAGGCGUCAUCCACAAGGUUUGCAAUUGCUUGGACAAGUGUCGCCCACUUUGGGUAGAUGUCAUCUACCAGGUAAUACCCCAUAUUGUACUGACGCUCGUUGAUGUAGUAGUCAAGUUGAGGUGAUUUACCCUUCAUCGGGUUAUUAAAGAAGGGUGAACGCCCGAGUACUGUAAUGUCAUUUUGGGAUCUUGAGACUCCAAAGAAAGCAUGUCAGAUCCAUGUGUCAAACGAGGAAACCGUCUCUAACAUAAUAGUUGGCUUUCUCAAUCUUCCGCUAAAUCCUUAUUGCCAUCCGGUGGGACAGUUCUUCCACUACCAACGCAUGCAAUCUAAAGACCUUAUCAUGCUUGGAAAGCCACGAUCUUUAGCUUUGCAAAAGAGCCGAGCCAAAUCUGCUUAAUUUGGUUCAUGGAGAUACUCCUCUUUGUAAAUUUGAACAACUGUGUAACAGUGUGUGACAGAAUUCAACAAGAUUAUCAAGGAAUGUAAACUCAGACAUACCAUAUGUAUCAUCCAUCGCAUCAGCUGGGAAGGAUCAGUCCGGCAUUCAGAGUGCAAUAGUAACCUUUUGGUGAGGUGAGACACCAGGGCGGCCUGCUCUAUCCAUCUUAUGUCGAAAGUAUGGAUUGACAUGUUGGACAUCAUGAAGUAAACGCUUGAAGACAUGAUGCCUCAUUUGGAAGCGACGUCUGAAAUUCUCUUAUGUGUACACCGAGUUGGAGUUGAAGUAGUUGUUCAUCAGAGUCUGAUGAGCAAUCUCUCUAUUUCGUGGUUUAUAAGAGCGACCAGCAAUAGAGCCACCCCAUUGAGGUUGUUCUUCAGUUUCCUCACACACCAUGACCCUAGCCAUUACUGUCAUAUAUGUUGUGUUGCCCCAUGCUUCAUCUUCUUCAUCGAACUCCUCAUCUUCUCGUCUAAUUUACGCCCAUUUAUCUUCCAAUUUAGAAUUGGAUGAGGCCCCCAUUUGGAAUGCGAAGAGAAUCCAAAGUUAGAAUUCAUUGCAAACUUGAAUUGAAAGAGAUAUUGGAGAGGGCAAAGAUGAAGGUGUGAAUUCUAUCCCAAUAUCCAACAAAUUUAUUAACAUUGGAAGCUGAAGAUAAGAAGUGCCACGUAGAUAAGAAUCAUAUCUAAAAUUUGCACAACCAAUUACAUCUCGACACGUGGCACUCAAAAUCCUAUCUGAAAAAUGAUUAAGAUUACAUAAAAAUAAGAAAUUUGGAGAGUUACUCACUUUAACGACAUGUGUCACUUGAAGUCUUAUCCGAAAAAUUAUUGAGAUUACAUAAAGAUAAGAAAUCUGAAGAGUUACUCAUGUUAUCGACAUGUGUGACCCGAAAUCCUAUUUGAAAAAUUAUUGAGAUUAUAUAAAUAUAAGAAAUCCAGAGGCUUAUUCAUUUAGUAACAAGUGACACUCAAAAUAUGUUCGAAAACCUUAUUUUAAUAUGGUAGUUUAAUUUAAUUAACCAUAUUAAUUCAAUUAAAAUAAUAAAAUGUAUAUUAAUUAUGUUUGGCCUAUGUCCCUUAGGCCCUCUCGGUUGGAGAUGCUUUUUUUGCGAAAGAGCUAUAUUUGGCCUAUGGCCCUUUGGCCCCCGCAGUUGGAGAUAGUAAAAAAUAUGAUCUGAUACUAUUCAUUAAAAUAUAAUUUCUUGUAAGGCUAUAACGCUAAAUAUGACCAUUUGGCCCUUCUUAGGUUGGAGAUGGCCUUAAACACUUCAGCUGCUAUGAUAACGAUCGUACAUCUAACGAUUACAAUUGUUUUAAUCCUAGCCGUCUAUUACAACUAAGAACAAUUACAAAGUAUGAACAACUUGAGCUAAGAAAUCCAGAAAACCAAAAUUCUUCGGCCUUCGAUUCUUCAUUCCAUCUGCAACAAUGCUUACACUUCAACAAUGAUGAUGUUGUUGUUGUCAGACAUGGUUGAAGGCGAUGGGCUGAGAAAAAAUUGUAGGAUCGUUAUGUUGUUAGACAAAGGGCUCUAAUACCAUGUAAAACUUAGAACACUCGGGAAAUAUUUCACUUGAUGUAUUUAUACUGUAUAGAUUACAUCAGCAUUACAACAGGUUUUCAAAACUCUAUUUACACGUUGGGUAUCAACACAUUUGAAUUUCAAACACCACAGGUAACAAACAUUUGAAUUUAAACAAGACCUAACAGACUUCAUCUUGGAUAAGGACUGAUAACAAACUGGAGAGUUUGUUUUCAACUGGAAGUCUGACUUGGUCACAUGUCUGUGUUAUGAAAGUUGAUCAGCCAAACAUGAUUUCGUAUACUUCUUGCUUCUCUGGUGGCAUUAUAUAUACUAAUAACAACAAUCAUUAACCUUCUGCAUCUCCCAGAUUUAUUUCUGCAUGUGUUCCUAAAUCACUAGAGAUAUAUGUAAGAGUGCAUGUGAGUCGAAUGGGUUGGUUUGUGAGUUCGACUUCCUAUAGUAUAUAUACUUUGAGUUAUAGUGUUGUUUUGUUGGUUAGAAAGGGUUGUAGGUUUACAUAUGUUCUUGUGUUUUAUUACGUCCAAAACUAAGAGCUUUGAGCCAGAUAGGAAGCAUUUGAGAAUUUUCUUCAAGUGUGAGUUCUUGAUCAGGUGUUGCUAUAUGCAUUUGGCAUCAUUAUUUAAAGGCUUUGCUAAUUUUCUUGGUAUAUUAGGUCGUGUUUUCGGCACACUUUAAAAUUUCUCCACAACUGGAUUUUCAUAAAGAAAAUUCUCUUACAUAAAUGUGGGUUUCGAGUCAUUCCUAGCAUUUUUAUUGCAAGUUACAUUAAAACAAAGUUACACCAUAAUUUUUUUUUUUAAUAAAAAUUUGAACUUGAGUGUAGAAGGGAGUACACAUUAUUCUGACUAAUAUUCUUAUUUGCAAUAACAAAGGAGACAACUGCUCAUUUUAAAAGAAAAAUAAAAAAAAGUCAAGUGCAUGCAAUAUACAUGACAAACAAUACUUGGAUACUCAAAGAUGAGUAGAAACUCCUACUCAAAAUUCUUAGUGUUUUAAUCGCGGAGCUUUGUGCUUAUGAUCAAAACCGUUCAUGUGACAGCCCGUCCCAAAAAAUAAUCUAUUUUAUCUUCAAUAGCAUGGAAUGACGAUUUUACCCUUAAGCGUUGUGUGGGGUUGUGUGGUUUGAGUUUUGGAUGUGGACCAAAUAUGUUAAAUCCUAAAUGUUUGGACCCAAUUAGAACUAAGUUUUCCUUGUUUUUGGUUGGUUGCAACCUGGACCACACACUCACACACACACCUCAAACCGUUGACCCUCUCUCUUCCUCUCCCUCUUGGAUUUUUCCCUUAUCUGUACAAUUGUACGGUCAAACUCUCAACGAGCUUCAUCACUCACAGAUCAAGGCUGUGGAGGGUGUUUUCAUGUUCCUUGCAUGCCCAGGAGUUGAUUCCUACCCUUGGUUGGACGUGAGGACUUCGGAAACCUUUGAAGCUAAAAGCUCCGGUGAGGUGCACUAUUCACUCGACGUGAUCACGAAGAUUUCAUGUAGUUUUGAGACUUAAGAAGGUUCUAUUCUUGCUUUUCUAGCAAUUUGGAUUAAUUUUGGAAGAGUUUUGACGUAGAAAUACUCGGGUUAAGUAAGUUGCAGGGUUGGCCGGUUCCUUGAUUUUUUCUGGCGAGAUUUCGUUGGAUUUAGGACCCCAAAGUGAUAAGAAUGUGUUCUUCUCAUCCUAAGAUUCAUUUUGGUACAAAUUUCAUGAAAUUUGGUGUUGAAAUGAAGAAGAUAUUAAGAUUUGAAAAUUUUCCAGAAUCUGACAGUCGCAGAGGUGACCGGCACCAGACUUUGGUGAACCAAGGAAGAAGGAGGAGAAUAUUCUGUCAAAGUUGACGAAAUAUUCUAAUGGCGUCAGGUAUCUUUAAUGGUAUAUGUUGAUUUUUAACGGAAUAUUCCCUAACGCCGUUAGGGAUUCCGUUUGGUGUGCCAGGCACGUGCCUGCGCGUGAUGGCGCGUGGGACAUCGGAAAUUUUUUCUACAAAUAUGGGGAUGUUCGUGGGGUUAAGUAGAUCAUGUUGGUAUAUUCAAACACCCUAAUUGAGCAAUGUGUGAGAAGUUAUUACUUAGUUUUGGUUAUGUGCUUAAAAUAACGUUUAAAUAAUUGUUUCGCAUAUAGGUGAGACCUAUCCAGAGGACAAGCGCAAUCAAGCGAGACUUGGGCUACGACCCUUCCACAUAUCAGUGAGUGGGCUUUUGGUUUUCAGUAUAUACUUAUAUACUUAGUAUUUUUUCCAGAAAGCGUGUUUAAAUGAAAUUAUGUUUUGAAGUGCCAUGCCUAUUGAUUUAUACUUAGAUUAUGAAUUAGUAUUGUAAUUGCAUAUAUCUAUGUUCGAAGCGGUGGAUGCUCAGGUAAGUGCUAGGUGAGUUGUAGAUUGUUAAUGUGAGUUGAUGAUUAUUUAGAGAUGCAUUGAGAGCUCAUAAACCUGCACCCCGGUGUUAGUGCUCUAGCCCGUGGUUAGGGCACAGUUCUUCACGUGAUGUUCACCUCCCGCACCAUAUGCUCAUCAUGGAUCCAAGUUAGGUGCACAGACUUGUCGUACAUACCACUUUAGGUGGUUCCGACUCGUAGGUAACCCGCGAUUAUUCGCACAGUCUUCACGUGAUCGUAGCACUUGAGCGUAUCUAUUUACACCUAGUCUUGUCGUACAGACCACUAUAGGUAGUUCAGACUCGUGUGCAUGCAUACUUGUUGAUCUAUAGAUUCAGCCGUACAUGCACUUUAGGUGGAUCCGGCUGAUAUAUUAUUUCUCAUGAAUUUAUUUCACCUGAGUUACUUACCCUGUUGUUUUGAGAUAUUUGACAUGGCAUAUUUAUGAAUAUAGUUUUCUGAGCAUGGUAUUGAGUUAUGUUUAUAUAUUUUAUUUUCUGGGAAAUUAUACGGGUUUUACUGCGAGGGGUUACUACCUUUGAUAAUUGAAAUGGUUUAGAAAAGCUUUGUUUUUGCCCACUCACACUUUCUGAUUUGCGCCCCUCUAGGUUUUAGGUAAGAGUGCGUGUUGGUGGCUUACGAGGAUUUGACGGAGGUUCUGACAGAUUAUCACCAAUGUAGGAUCACCUUUGGGUAUUAUAUAAUUAGUACUUGUCUUGUCGGACUGCACUUAGGCUACUUAUGCUCUGAUUAUGUGUAAUUACGCUAAAUCUCGUCACUUGCACUUUAUCUUACCUAGUACUCUUAGUCAGUUUGGUUUUAUUUAUUCGUAUUUCACUAUAUCAAUUUCAUUUCACAUUGUGAAAAUCAUCUCUGCAAAAAAUAACUUAAAAUUAAGAUCGUUUAGUCAAUUUAUUGUAGCAAAUACAUAGACGGUUCAUAAUGCUUUUACCAAUACCGUUCAUUUGUUUUUAAACAAUUUGAUGACUAAACGACCUUAGUUUUAAUUGAUUUUUUGCAGACAAUCUUUAUAUAGUGAUUUAUAAUAUGAACGGUUAUGAUUAUAAAUACAAAGUUCUAUAAAUUGACAAUGAAUAAUUUUGAGAAAUUUUAAGUAGGAGUUUCUACUUAUCUUUGAGUAGCCAAGUAUUGUUCAUAUAUGACAUUACAAUUCCAAAAGUUGAGCAGUUGUGUUUACGUAUCUGUCUAAAAUUCUACAUACUAGCCUUCAUGCACAUACUCAUGCUUGUGCAUAAAACAUUUUUUUGAAUUACGACGUGCUACACGUUACUUAUAAAUUUUAAAUGUAUUUAUAUGUGUGAAUUGACAAAAGGAAAGUCAAAUAUCUGAAGUAAAUGAAUAAUCUUAUAUCAUGCUAGAAAAAAUCCCUACAAACCAAUUAAAAUAGUUGAAUUCACAUAAUAGAAAAUAAUAUUUAAUAAACAAUUGAUUGAAUCAUAUUAUUGCUAGCCCAUUGUGAGGCUAAGCCAACCGACUUAGUGUAGAUAAUAUCGUUUGUUAAAAAAAAAAUCAUUUGACAACUAAUUUAAUCACAUUAUUAUGCGUGUGCGAAAAACCUUUUUUAUAACCAACAUUACCCCUUACAAACCAAUCAAAGCAGCUGAAUUCACAUAAUAAAAUCGGUCUUUCAAUUUCCAUCUACAUUCUAUUAAAUUUACAUUAAGAAUAGAGAAAAUAAUAUUUAAAAAAUAACUGAUUGAAUCACAUUAUUGCUAGCUCAUUGUGAGGCUAAGCUCAUCCCUUUAGUGUAGAUAAUAUUGUUUGUUCAAAAAAAAAAAUCAUCUAACAACUAAUUUAAUCACAUUAUUAUGCACGUGCGAAAGACAUUUUUUAUAACUGUAUUACAUGCCUCUUAAAUGGUUUGAAUGGAACAUCUCACAUCGCCCAGGGAAAUGGAUCCUGUAAGUCUUAUAUGUAUAUUCUCAUCUCUACCUAGCACGAGACCUUUUGGGAGCUCACUGGCUUUGGGUUCCAUCGAAACUCCGAAGUUAAGCGAGUUCGCGCGAGAGCAAUCCCAUAAUGGGCGACCCACUGGGAAGUUCUCGUGGGCAUGGUCGGGACCCAAAAUGGACAAUAUCAUGCUACGGCGGAGUCGAGCCAGGGAUGAGGUGGGGGCCAGCGCCAGGAUGUGACAUUGAACAUGUUUAAAAAUAAAGAAAAUAAUAUUUAAUGAACAACUGAUUGAAUUACAUUAAAAAUAAAGAAAAUAAUCUUAGAUCAUGCUCCACCUCAUAAUCCAAUUAAAACAGCUGAAUCCACAUAAUAAAAUCGGCCUCUACGAAUUUAGAUUAAGAAUAGAGAAAAUAAUAUUUAAUAAAUAACUGAUUGAAUCAUAUUAUUGCUUGAUCAUUGUGAGGCUAAGCUCACCCCCUUCCUCUUAUUGUAGAUAAUAUCGUUUGUUAAAAAAAAUCAUUUGAUAACUAAUUUAAUCACAUUAUUAUCCGUGUGAGAAAACACUUUUUAUAACCGGCAUUACACUCCUCUUAAGAUGUUUUGAACAUGUUUAAAAAUAGAGAAAAUAAUAUUUAAUGAACAACUGAUUGAAUCACAUUAUUGCUAGUAUAUUGUGAGGUACUAAUUAUUAAAAAAAAAAUUAUACAAAAAAAUAAUUAUUAAAAAAAUACUGCUAAAAUGACAUAAUACCUCUUCAACAUUUAAUGCAUUAUUUUGGGUUGUUUUUGAAGUUUUUUUGUUUGAGGGGCAUUUCUAUCCAAUUAAUUUUUAUGAAUCUUGUGAUACCAAAAAAAAUCCUAUUCAUCGAGCCAUUGGCUUUAUAUAUAAAGAUAUAAAAGCUACUACCAAACCAAGAAACAGAAAAAAGAAUAGCCAUUCGUUAGGAUAACGUCAAUCUAUCCGAUCCAAGAAAGCCCUUAGAUUCUUGUCCGAAGACCCACCUUCACUCACAGCCUCUCUUGCCAAAUCUUUCCAUUUCUUAGCAUUCCUUCUCAUCUCUUCACCAAUCUCCCCACUUCCCAUGACCAACUCCAAACACCUUUUGAGCUCCUCACCCGUAACAAUCCCCUUCUCAUUUGGUGUCACCCUCACUCCUGUCUUCCAAGCGUCCUCUAUCAACUUGGCAUUCGUUCCUUGGUCCGUCCACUGAGGAAACGCCACGACUGGCACCCCCGAAGCCAUGCUUUCCAAACUUGAAUUCCACCCACAAUGUGUCACAAAGCAACCCAACGAAGGACUUGACAGAACCUCCACUUGACUACACCACGGCACUAUCCUCCCUAGCUUUUCCAAUUCCUCUCUGCAACUCAACAUCUCUUCUUCUUCCUUCGACUCAUUAUCGUCUCCCUUCUUAUCGACUUUUUCUCUAAUAACCCACAAGAACGGACGGCCGCAAUCCAACAACCCUUUGGCGAUUUCCUCCAUUUGGGCCUUUUCCAACACAGAAAUGCUUCCGAAGGACACAUAAAUCACCGACCCUUCCGGCUUCAAGUUCAGCCACUCCAGGUACGGAGAGUCCUUUGAUUUUUGGAAAAGAUCGCCUCCAGAUGACUUGUCCGAUGGAUCCUUGCCGUCCAAGAAAGUGGUCGGAAUCAAUGGCCCGACUCCAAUCAAAUUGUACUUUUCAAUUGCUUUUAAGGCUUCCGGCUCUAGUGCAUCGAACGUGUUCACUAGAAUGGUCGGGUGGGUUUCUCUCUCCAGCAGAUCCAUAUGUUCUUGAAGCAACGGGAGGACGAAAGUGUACGGAUUUGUAUCCACCAUGAAGGAGGGAAGGUCUUGGCUUGUAAGAGAUAAUGGCAAACCUGGUAACUCUAUUGCACAUGGAAGGGCAUCGUUCGUACCAGAACUAGUAUUAUCCCGGAUGAGAUCUUUGUACCCGUUAAAGUAAUAGUAGUAGAUGUCGAAAACCGUGGCUGGUUGAAUCCAAAGCAGCACAUUUGGGAGGUGAAGUUCAUGUGCCACGUCCGCGGCCCAAGGGAGAAGUAUUGUGUAGACUAGGCAAGUAUAAGGGUGACCCUCGUUUGCACUUGAGACUACAAGGUCGGUGAUGGCUUGUGCUCCGCGGCGCCGCAACUCCGACCAGUAGUGGUCGAUGUUGUCGCCGGGCUUAAACCCGUCGUCGUACCCAUCAGAGAAGGGCGCAUAAGUCAAUCCAUCUGGAAUUGAGCCAUUGCCUAUGCGAUGAUGGGCUGAGAAACUGGUAACGAAGGUGACGUGCGCACCUGUAGUGUUGAUAAGGCGCUUGGCGAAUUGGAGGGAAGGGUUGAUGUGGCCUUGAGCCGGAUAUGUGACAAGUAGAAAGCGGUGUUGCACCAUGGCAGCGUAUGCGAUUGCGGAGGUGCGCGGUGGAGCGUGGAGUUGUUGGAAGUAGAAUAAGUAGGUACCUAGUUUACUGGUGGAAAAUUUGGUGCUGUGGGCUUAUUAGCUUAGUGAAGUAGAAAUUCUUGUGGGAGUACGUAUUCAAGGUGGGGAAUGCGGUGAGAGGAUGGUAAGGCUUAAAUAGGGGCUUGGGGGCAGAAAUGUUACGUUUGUGCUGACGAAUUGAAGGCGCUGGAGAAGGACAAUUGUAAUUUGUGGUCAUCUCGAUGCAUGCAUAUAAUAUUAUGGGUAAUAAUACUCUCACUACAUAUUUAUACCAUCAUUUGUAUUAUUUUUAUAAUAAUGAUGAGAUCCACAUGUUCUUGUGGAUCCUAUCUUUUGAGAGAUUAUACCAAAUGUGGUAAGUGUAGCAUUAUUCUUAUUUAUAUCAUAUUUUGUAAAUCAUAUGAUGUAAUUGUUGAUGAUUUGAUUAUUACUUAAGCGUUAAUUUUCGUGAUUAUUUUUUAUAAUUACACCUCACAUAAUGUACAAAUUUAGUCUAAAAAAUUAGUUUACCUAACAUUACUUUUUUAAAAUUGGUUUCAUUAAACUUCAUAGCACAUCACAUGGACUAAAUCCAAUCUAAUGUGGUAUAAUAUACAUAUUAAUCUAUCACCGAAAAACUGAUAAAUACACAUGUGAGUAACUUGACCAUGAAUAAUGUUAGGCCUCGUUAAGUUAGGCUUCGUAAUCGUCAGCGAGGCCAUGAAUAAUUGGGUUCCUACAAAGGAGCCUAUGCGGUUCAUCAUAGAUGUGAGCAACUUCACCUUGAGGUCUUGUCCUCAAUACUAGAAAAAAACUCAGGACCAAGACACGAUCUGAUGGUGGCACGCUUCCGCACCCUAAAACUAAAGUCCUAAAACUAAAAGGACCAAUUUUUUUUUUUUGUGGUCCUAAGCCGAAAGGAGGCGUGUUGAAAUAUGUUAUUACAUCGACACAAUGAAGGAGAAAAUAAGAGUUCAAAUAUCAUAAUUUUACUCCAAUUAAUAUUGAGGUUUUUUUGUGAUAAAAACCUCACACAUUAAACUGUGCAAGUGCUAAUUAACAAGUUUGAGACAAUAUCGAUAUUGCUGGAAGUUGAUCUUCAUCCCCUAUUUUUUAUAAUUUGACAAGGCGAUAUGAAGCGCAAAAUAAUAAGCAACCAAAUAGUUUUGGUGAAAUGGAAUAUGAAAUACCUCAACCGUGGGACUCAUACUCUAUUUUAUAUAAUCUAUUGCUUUAGAUAUCUUUCAUCUUAUAAGUACAUUAUCCUAAAUUCUUAAUCCUGGUAAGAUUCCUAGUCAGACUAACUUCCCUAAUUAAGCUAGAUGGUUGUAGUAUUGACUUCAGUCAAGCAUGCAUGAUGAGUGCAUGAAUUCACUUUCUAUUUCUCAUAAAGUUCAUAGUACAUAACCUGGACUAGUAGGUUUGACGUGGUCAGAGAGACGAGCGAAUUUGGUAACCACAAACUGAUUAAUACACACAUACAAAUUUGUGAUUUCUCCAGUUAAGGGCCUAGGGCCCCGUUUAUCAUAUGCCGAGUUUGAUUGGUCUAGCUGCAUCACACUAAAAUUGAUUGGUCUAGCUGCAUCACACUAACUUUCGUUUGAUAACAACGAUUGAUGACGUAUUUAUAGGAGAGGUGAGCAUGCCAAAAAGUACAAAAAGUGUGGCAUGACCGUUGUCACGAUUUUAGUAAUAGCUACUCUAGCAACAACACGCUUGCUUUGUGGCUAUUGCUCCCUUUUCUUGUAUUGCUGUUGAUUCUAAAAAUUAUCAAACUUACGUGACGUGCAUGCCAAGUAACUAAGAAUUAACUACGUCCUUUUUGUGGUUGAUGCGGGUGUGCCACCUCGCCGCCGAGGCACUAUUCUAAAAAUCCCCGUCUAGCGCCGCCUAGAUGCUAGGCGGCUAGUCACCGUCCCGAUUAAUACUUAGGCAUUUGAAAAUUAAGAAAGGAUGCCUGGACCUGCUAAGGUGCCCGCCCAAACCACCUAGGCACCUGCCUAACUUGCCUAGACCAUCCUAGGUUGCGAUUCACUUAGAUAGAAAAUAGAUGACUUUCAUUUUGUAUUUUAUUUUUUUAAUAAAUUGUAAGAAACUUGUUGAAUACACACAUUAUGUGCGUUGUUGAUGCACAAAAUCAGUGGGGACUUUGGUACAACAGAAAAUGUUAAGUUUGUGACCUUCACUAGAUUGCUCCGAUCACUAGUGUAGAUAAGUAUGUAAAUGGAUAGAGACAGAGAAGCAAACACAAGAUGUACGCGGUUCACCCAGAUUGGCUACAUCCACGGAGUAGAGGAGUUCUCAUUAAUUGUGAAGGGUUUACACAAGUACAUAGGUUCAAGCUCUCAUUUAGUGACUAGUGAAUGAUUUAGUACAAAUGACAUUAGGAAAUAUUGUGGGAGAAUGAUCUCCUUUUAUAGAAGAGAGUUUCUAGCUUUGUUUUGACAUUGACACGUGUCGUGUUGUGAUUGGCUUCUGAUGUUGACACGUGUUGCGCUAUGAUUGGCUUCGGAUGUGUCUCCUGGUUGGAGGGAAACUCUUCUGGGUCGUUGACGGUAUAACGUUGACCGGUACUCGGUAGUUUCGGGAUUGGUCAAGUAUGGUACAAACAGUGCUCCCCUAAGUUCUCGAGUGAGGGAAACUCCUCGGUUGGGGACUUGCAAGAUCCAAGCCGCUGAGUAAUCACGAAACUUCUAAGCACUGAAGUGUGGUAUCGUUUUCAUUUGCCUUAUUUGUCUCAUAGAUAGAUGUGGCAUCUUCUCUGGAAGUAUUUUUCCUCCAUCUAAGGGUGGUAUCUUUAACAGGUGGAGAUGCACAAGGUAAUGUAUUAAUUUCACUUGAAGCUUACUUGUAGUUUCAGACUUGGUCAAGCGCGAUACAAACCAUGUAGUAGGAGUUCCCCAAGUCGCCGAGCUAGGAGAUCUGCCUAAAGAGGUGACAGACAAGGUAAGCAAUUAGAGUUCUAAGCAAUCAGUCCCAGAUCAGGAGUUUGAUUUUGAGUUCUGGCUGAUUGUUCUCAUUCUCCCUAUCUUGCAGGCAGUAAAAAGGAUAAAGAGAAGAAAAAGGAGAAGAAAUAAUAUGAGAUACUUUUGCUUUUGAAGAAGUAACUUUCCACAUGCUUAUUCUUGAACUGGUUAGAGGGUUUUCUGGUUUCCUCUAGAGUAUAAGGCCGACUCAAGAAUUUGAGGGUCAAAACAAGUUUAUCAAAUCUAGAGUACAUUCAACCCUGAUGAUAUGGGAUACCCUUACUGUUGACAAAGUAGUGGAUGUGGCAUGGCGAGGCUUUGCUCUUUGGCGACGGUGUCAGCGAAAGGCUGUUGAAGCUUCUUGAGCUAUUCGGAUAGGGCAACGAUAUCGAGCUUAGAUUUGACUUAAACUCCUCCGUCUGGAUUAUGCGGUUCUGCAGGGGGUCGUGCUAUAGUGAUCUAUUCUAGCUCAUCAUUGAACCUUCUACUCCAAUCUUUUGCAUCGCAAAAGUGGUAUGCAACCUUUGCAUUUGAAUGGUCCUUCAGAGUACUACUUCUCAGCGACUCAUCCAUGCUUGGCAGCUUUAGUGUAAAGAGCCAAUAUUGUAUCAACUGUUCUAAGGUAUUUUCUGAAAAAAUUCGCGACCUUGACAACAGUUGAGGAUGAGUACUCAAGAGCAAUGCUAGGUGAGCAACUAGGCAAAGGUUCCGAGCAAUCAGUUCUAGAUCGGAAGUUUGAUUUCAGGUUCCAACUGAUUGCUUUCUUUCUCCUUGUCUUGCAGGUAAGAGCAAAGGCAAAUGGAAAGGCAGGGAAAAAGCAUGAUAUGAGAUACUCUUGCUUUUAACUCUGAUGAUAUGAGAUACUCUUGCUCUGGUGUAGCUUAUUUGCAGAGGUAUUAUCAGGGGGAAAUGAAGCUGAGUAUAUCGAGAGACUCUGCUGAGAGUGCCCUCUCGGAUGUGAAGAAAAGUUGAGCAUUUUUUUUAUUUGCAGGUCUGCCUGGCUGUGGAUGAUGAAGGUCGGCAUAUAUAGGGAUUGUCCCAACAGCGAGUAGUAACGUUGUUCAUUUAUCCUUCUCGGUUAUAGCAAUGUAGUGGGAGUUGCAAGAUUCACAUGUUUUAACUUUGUCAGAGCACUUUGAAAAAGUGGUCUGUGGUAUCUGAAAAUCUGAUGUUGAGUGUGAAGAUUGCAGAUAAAUUUUAUCCAAGGAAAUCUGGCUCUCGAAGUUUGAAGAGUGGUGUCUUUUCGAUUUUCGAACAAGCAAUCAUGUUGGGGAUCUGACUUUCGAGAUUCAGAGAGUGUUGUCUCUUUGAUUUUUGAACAAGCAAUCAUAUUAGGGAUCUGGCUCUCGAGAUUUAGAGAGCGGUGCCUCUUCAAUUUUUGAGAAAGCAAUCCUGUUAUGAGUCUGGCUUUCGAGAUUCGGAUAACGGUGACUUUUUUAUUUUUGAGAAAGCAAUCCUAGUGGGAGUCUGGCUCUCGAGAUUCGGAGAGCGGUGAGCCAGAGAUUCGAAGAGCGGUGCCUUUUCGAUUUUUGAGAAAGUAAUCCUGGUGGGAGUUUGGCUCUCGAGAUUCGGAGAGCGGUGCCUCUUCGAUUUUAGAGCAAGCAAUCCUAUUGGGAGUGUUUUCUCGAUGUGGGUAAAUGUUAGGCAUUUUUGCCAGUCUGCCUUGCCACGGAGCACAGAGGUUGACACAUAUAGGGACUACCCAUUUAUCAAGCAGUGGUGUUGUUCUUUUACCCUUGUGGGUAAUGGUAGGGUAGCUGGACCUUCAAAAUUUAUGUGUCUAAACUUUGUCAGAGAUCUUUGGCAAAGUUAUAUUUGGUACCUAAGGAGUUGAUGUUGCGUGUGGGGAUUGUCGACAUAUUUUACCUAGGAAAAUCUGCUUCUCGAAAUCCGGAGAGUAGUGCCUCUUCAAUUUUUGAACAAACAGCCCUGCUGCCCUUUCGUUUAUAGGGGCACCAAUUGUGUGCAAGAAGUAUGUUCAGAGAGUUAUUGCUUGUAGGAAUUUUUCCCUUAUUUUCGUACUUCAGAGAUUUAUUGGACCUCAUUUCUCCUUCAUCAUUUCUGAAAAUGUCUGGCCCAUCUGACCGUCGUUUUGACUUGAACUUUGGUGAAGAGGCAGCCAUGCCUCCUCAAGACAAUAAAUGGCGCUUAUCCUUCUUAUCCCCUACUGGUCCUCUUACCGUUGGGGACUCUGUGAUGAAGAAUGAUAUGAAAGCUGUGGUGAUGGCCAAGAACCUUCUCACUCCCAAAGAUAACAUAGUACUUUCCAAACGGUCUAAUGAGUUGGCUGUUAAGGAUUCUCUGGCUUUCUGUGUUCAGUGUGCAGGUUCUGUGUCUAAUAUGACUUAACGCCUAUUUGCUCAAACCCGCCAAGUUGAAUCAUUGGCGGUUGAAGUGAUAAGUCUCAAACAGGAGAUUAGAGGGCUCAAUCAUGAGAAUAAACAGUAGCAUAGGCUCACACAUGACUAUGCUACAAACAUGAAGAGGAAGCUUGACUAGCUGCAGGAAUAUGAUGGUCAGAUUUUACUUGAUCAUCAGAGGUUUGUGGGUUUGUUCCAAAGACAUUUAGUGCUUCCGUCUUAUGGGGCUGUACCGCUUAAUGAAGCUCCAAAUGAUCAACCUCCCAUGCCUCCCACUUCUGGGGUUCUGCCCAGUACUGAGUCUCCGAAUGAUCACCCUCUGGUACCUUCUCUUUCAGGGGCUCUGCCGACUGCUGAGACUUCUCUUGAGCAACUUUUGUGAAGGCUCCCUCUUGUUUGUUUAUUUUGAUUCAUGUAUAUGUACAUAUUUGUAACUUAUCGGAGAUAACAGUAAAUAAACUUUGCUUCUUUUCAACGUAUUGUGUUAAAUACACCAAAGCCUUCUUAACUAAGUUCUUUGAAUUUUUUCUUUUGUUGAAGCUUGUAUGUUGAAGCUUGUAUGUUGAAGCUUGUAUGUUGAAGCUUUGUGAGUGAAGCAUGUAGGUUGAAGUAGUACUCCCUUAAUUUCUCGAGUGAGGAAAACUUCUUGGUUGGAGACAUGAAAGAUCCAAGUUACUGAGUAGUCGUGAACCUUCUAAGUACCAAGGUGUAGUAGCAUAUGGUAGGAGUCCCCCAAGUCUCCGGUCGAGGGAGUUGACGUAGAAGGUGUCUUGCUAGUAGUCAAGUUUCCAAAGUAACAAAACUUCACUGUUUUCCUUUCUAAGUGGUAGCCCAAAACUCCUCAUUCAUAUAUAUUUGUUAUGAAAGUUGUUAGGCCCAAAGAAGAUGAGGCCUAGGCCCUUUUUUUUUUUUGAAUUUUUGAAUUUACAAAUUUCUGAAUAUAUAUAUAUAAGCUUUUUAGGUGAUGCUUUGUAGGUGAAGCUUUGAGGUUGAAGCUUUGUUGGGUAUCAUAAAUUGAUUUUGCUUCACAUUAUCUAGAUCAAAAGUGUGUGAAGCUUUUGGCAUUUGUAGUUGAAGCUUUGUAGGUGAAGUUUGUGUGUUGAAGCUUUGUAGGUGAAGCUUUGAAGUUGAAGCUUUUAUAGGUGAAGCUUUGGACUUGAAGCUUUGUGGGUGAAGCUUUGGAGUUGAAGCUUUUGUAGGUGAAGCUUUGGAGUUAAAGCUUUAUAGGUGAAGCUUUUGCGUUGAAGCUUUGUAGGUGAAGCUUUGGAGUUGAAGCUUUUGUAGGUGAAGCUUUGGAGUUGAAGCUUUGGAGUUGAAGCUUUGUAGUUCAAGCUUUUGCGUUGAAGCUUUGUAGGUGAAGCUUUUAUGUUUAAGCUUUGGAGUUGAAGCUUUGGAGUUGAAGCUUUUGUAGGUGAAGCUUUGGAGUUGAAGCUUUGUAGGUGAAGCUUUUGUGUUAAAGCUUUGUAGGUGAAGCUUUUGUGUUGAAGCUUUGUAGGUGAAGCUUUGGAGUUGAAGCUUUUGUAGGUGAAGCUUUUGUUGGCAUCAUAAAUUGGUUUUGCUUCACAUUGUCUUAAUCAAGAGUGUGUGAAGCUUUUGAGAAUUAUGGUUGAACUCCAUUGAUGAAGCUUUUGUUGGCACCAUAAAUUGGUUUUGCUUCACACUAUCUUGAUCAAGAGUGUGUAAAGCUUUUGAGAAUUAUGGUUGAAAUCCUUUGAUGAAGCUUUUGUUGGCACCAUAAAUUGGUUUUGCUUCACACUGUCUUGAUCAAUAGUGUGUGAAGCUUUUGAGAAUUGUAGUUGCCCUCCAUUGAUGAAGCUUUUGUUGGCACCAUAAAUUGGUUUUGCUUCACACUGUCUUGAUCAAGAGUGUGUGAAACUUUUGAGAAUUGUAGUUGCCCUUCAUUGAUGAAGCUCUUGUUGGCACCAUAAAUUGGUUUUGCUUCACACUGUCUUGAUCAAGAGUGUGAAACUUUUGAGAAUUGUAGUUACCCUUCAUUGAUGAAGCUCUUGUUGGCAUCAUAAAUUGGUUUUGCUUCACACUGUCUUGAUAAAGAGUGUGUGAAGCUUUUGAGAAUUAUGGUUGAACUCCUUUGAUGAAGCUCUUGUUGGCACCAUAAAUUGGUUUUGCUUCACACUGUCUUGAUCAAGAGUGUAUGAAGCUUUUGAGAAUUGUGGUUGCCCUCCAUUGAUGAAGCUCUUGUUGGCACCAUAAAUUGGUUUUGCUUCACACUGUCUUGAUCAAGAGUGUGAAGCUUUUGAGAAUUGUGGUUGAACUCCUUUGAUGAAGCUAAUGUGUUCACCUCAUCCCCCUCCAUUUUUUUUCUUUUUCUUUUUUUUUUGAGGGGGAGAGAGGGUGCUGUAAGUUUGAAAUUUGAAAACUCCCUAGCUUGUGUGGAAGUUUGAAGAUUUUCCAUGUGGGGUUUUCUCAUGGUUUGAAUUUUGAAUUUUGAAUUUCUUUGGCCAUGUUGAACCCUAUAAGAAUGAUAAGUUUCCACUCUUUUCAUUGUCUUCAUUUGCUCAUUUUGUAGUGAUUUUUAGAGACAGUGUGCUCUUAUAGUUGAGAGGGAUUCCGCAAUUGCUUUGCACCAUCUUCAGGUUGGUAGUCUUCUCCAGUAGAUCACAUGCUUUCAUUCUUGUUGAAUUGUUUGACUGUUCAUGUAUUUGGUUGAGAAUAUAAUGAACUGAUUGAGCUUUUCUCCAUGCCCUAGGAACUUCCUUAUAUUUUGAUUUUUCAUGUGGUGAUAGAGUUUGUUUCUGUUUGUUGCAGAUGUCAGAGUCUGGAAGUCCUAGUGAUAAGGGCUCCCUUAACUCUAACUCUAGGUUUGAGCUUGCAAUGUUGGAGUCUUCAGGGCCUUUGUUAGAGUCAUGUACAAAAAAUUCGAGAUUGGGUGAUCUUCACAGUUAUCAAGCCUUCUUCAUGUCAGUGGGUGAAGGGGUUGUUUGUAAUGCCAUACCUAUAUUUCGUCUGAGUUCACAACAGACCAUUUAGUGCAAAAAUUGUUAGAUAGCGAAAAGCAGCUUAAGGCCCUAAGGCAGUCAUGUAGUAUCCCCCGUAGUGUAGGAAUGCGUUUGGUGCAUUAUGAAGAAUUAUCCUCUGAACCUCCCAAGGGUCAUGUUAUGUUCUAUACCCAGAUAUUAUUGACUUUAAGGGUGAAGCUGCCUUUGCACCCGUGGUAGCAAUGGAUGCUGUCUUUCAUUGGAUAUGCGCUUGGGCAACUCUACCUUGGUUUUUGGGAUACCUUAAUCGAGUUUUAUAUUAUUUGGAUGGAAUGUGGAUUAGGUGAGCCUUCCUUUCAUCAGUGGUGCUACUGCUAUAAGAUGAGCCCGGUGAAAGCAUGCACCGGGUAUGCCGAGUAUGCAUGUCGGAGUGAGAGAGAGCAUAUUGUCUUUGGUAAGAAAAAGGCGUACUGCACUUGUUAAAUUGUUGGUGCUUUCUUUAUAAUGAUUGGGAGUAUGCUAAGGGUGUCACACCUGAGCGACGUGUUCCUACUCACUUCCAGACUGUAGGUUGUACUGUAUCCAUUGUUUGCAUUAUUUGCUGUUUGUUGUGAUUUUCUCUUGCUUCUAACAUUUUUUUUCGUGUAGUGACGCGAAUGACCAUCAAGCUGUUCGAACGGAAGCUAACUGACGUAGAGAAUGUGUUGAGGGUGCCCAAAGAGGAUAGACAUUUAGGCAAACUACGACCCUUAUUUCGAAAGUACGGUUUCCAAACCCUAGUGUCGGAGUGCCAGAGACGAGCAAGUAAGUUGUAUCUUUUAUUUCACUCCUUUUUUCUUUACAAAGUUGCAUUCCUUACUUUGAUUGUUCUUAUUCAGUGAAGAAAGUGGGCAAGAAAGGGAAAACUGGCGCCAAGAAAGGGAAAACACCAAUGUUAAUUCUCGUAAACGACAUUUUGUUUCACAAGGGAGCUCGUAAGCAUCGGGUGAGGCCAGCCCCUAAACCUAAGUCGCAAGAGGAGGUCAUCAAGAUUGCUACCUCAAAGAAGGCUGAAGCUGAGGUCAUCGGGUGUGCUACUGCCAUAGUUGUAGAGGAGAAGAGACAAUUGUUGCCUCUUCUUCCUACCAUCAAUCCUAUCUUUCCUCCAACCAUGGAGUCUGCUGACCAAGAAGGUGACCCUAACUUCAGCCGUAAGAGGAAGUACAAGCAAGAGGUUGGCAGCAUUCAUUGGAAGGACUUGAAGGUUGCCAUGCAGCCAAGUAGUUUUAGGUAUAUUAAUAAUUGCCUGGUAGGAAGUUCAUCCACUGUUAAUGAGCUUGGCGAGCCGCUAAAUGCGAAUGAAUCAGAUCGUGACCGGAUGAUGAAGCUAUCUUCUUAUGUAAGUGUUACUCUGUCAUUUCUUUACUUUCUCCCCUCGUUUUCCUGAUAGUGACGAUCAUCUUGUCAUAUAGGUCAUGACCGAGUACGAUGACAGAUUACGAGAGGUCGAGCGAUACAAGGCAAAGUUUAAAGAGAAUAAGCAGCUUGUGAAUGACGCCAGAAAAACGUGCAAAGCUUUGGCUGAUGCCAUCCGCCUUAAGGAUCAAAACUUUGAGAGUUUGAAGAGGCGGAAUGGUGAGAACGUGAGGCUCAAGAAACAAUUGGAAGCGACUAAGGAACAGUUGGAGACAACCAUCCUUGAGGUUUCCAAGGUUAAAGGGGAGUUGGAUAGUGCCUUGGUUGAGGUUUCUGGGCUGAAGAGGAGUAUCAUAACUGAGAGGGAUGCUGCCGUGCAUGAGUUCUUAGGUUCCCAGGCCUUUCACGAUACCUUUAGACCUCAUUGCAUCCAGGCGGCUAAUUUUGACAAAAAGGAAAUUGAUGGUCGUCCUUGAGCGUUAUGACAAUGGAAGCAUUAUUCGAAGGUACUGUGAUGAGAUGGAUGAGUAUCGACAAAAAGGUGACGCCUUCGUCCUCGCAGUUGAUCUUAGUAGUGAUGAUGACUCUGAUAAUGAGGCUAGUAUCGGUGAGUAGUCUCAGGAGAGGGAGGAUGGUCAUGGAGAUGCUGAAGAAAGUGGUGAUGGCGAUGGGGUUGAAACGUAGAGUGAUAUUGUCAGGGGUUCGGCCUCAGAUAAGGAUGACUCGUAGUGCCCUCUUUUUAUGCAUGUACUCUGGAUGUACGAGUUUGUUGUUUGUGUGACAUAUGCCAUGUACUCUGGAUGUACUAGUUUGUUGUUUAUGUAGCAUGUGCCAUAUACUCUGGAUAUACUAGUUUGUUGUUUGUGUGGCACGUGCCAUGUACUCUAUAUGUACUAGUUUGUUGCUUGUAUGGCAUGUGCCAUGUUGUAAGCCUGAGAGCUUUUUAUUUAUAGAUGCUUACGACUUUGUGCCAUAUAGUUUGAUGUUAAUUACCAAGUAUUUGUACUAUCAUUGAUGAAUGCCUGGCUAUGUUUGAGCAAAUCCUUUGUUUGGAUAUAAGCCAUAACUUGGGUAAAAUUGAAUGAAUAUACUGUGGAGCUGUUCGUUUAUUUGUAUAGUCUUGUUGAAAUAUACUUAGACUUUAUUUCCUGUUGGGAGCAUUCAUGUUGAAGCUUUGAACCUAAGUGUUUUCAUUGCUAGGAAUGUAAGAGGAUUAGGACUGAGUUGUCUAAAUCACCUAUUUGUUGAAUUCAUGCCAAAUGGUCUUCGUUACAUAGGAUGUCGAACAGCUGAAGCUUAACACUUGUACAAUGUGAGUUUACUUGUAAUAGUACUUCAAGUGAUCAGCGUUCCAUAGAUGGCCAAUGAUCUUGCCAUCGGAGCUUAUAAGCUUGUAGGAGCCAAGGCGACUGAUGCCAACAACUUCAAAUGGUUUAUCCUAGUUUGGACUAAGUGUUCCUUCACUCGAGACUCCGUCUUAGAGUAAUAUUUUCUUCAAUACCCAGUCCCCCACUUUGAAAGAACGAGGUUUGACCCUUGAGUUAUAGUAGUUGGAGAUACGCUGCUUGUAGGCGACAUUCCUCAAGUGAGCCUGGUUUUUGUGUUCCUCGACUAGAUCUAAGUUGAGGGUAAGUUGUUUGUCAUUUUUGCUUUGCACGUAGUUCUGGACUCGGAACAUUCUUGCUCAAGCUCAACUGAGACAACUGCCUCUGCACCAAAGGCAAGUGAGAAUGGGGUUUCUCCUGUUGACAUUCAAUACGAAAUACAGUAUGACUAAAGAACUUGGGGUACAAAUUCUGGCCAACAACCUUUAGCCUUGUCCAAGCUGGUUUUCAAAGUUCGCUUGAUUAUUUUGUUGAUGGCUUCAACUUGUCCAUUAGACUAGGGAUGAGCUGGGGAGGCAAAACAUAAGUUGAUGUUGAACUUAGAGCAGAACAUCAUGAACUUAUUGUUGUCAAACUGUUGCCCGGUGUCAGUGAUUAUCGCAUUAGGAAUGUCGAAUCUGCAAAAGAGGUUAUUCCAUACGAAGUCUUUUAUUUUUGCCUCAGUAAUAGUUACCAAGGGUUCUACUUCGACCCACUUUGUGAAGUAGUUAACUGCAAUGAUUGCAUAUCAGACCUUGCCCUUCCCUGCAGGCAUUAGGCUGAUCAAAUCAAGUCAUCAUUGAGCGAAGGGCCAAGGGCUGAUUAUAGGAGUGAGCGGCUCGGGAGAGGAGUGAGGAAUGGUUGCGUAGCAUUGACACUUAUCACAUGAGCAGAAUAUUUUGAUGGCAUCUUGGUGGAGUGUUGACCAGUAAUAUCCUUGGCGAAAAGCCUUGUGUUUUAGGGAUCGAGAUCCAGCAUGAUCUCCGCAGACUCCUUCAUGUAUUUCCCUAAGGACAAUUUCCGCCUCCGCAGAUGUAAGGCAUCUUAGGUAUAGUAGGUUAAAACCCCGCUUGUAUGAGUUGGUCAUUUAUGAUCAAGUAACGGGUAGCUUUGUAUUGAAUCUGCUUAGCUUGGACUUGAUCAUUUGGGAAGGUGCCAUACGCAAGGAAUUUAUAAAUCGGGGUAAUCCAACUAUCCCUUUAUUGUAAGUUGCACACUUCCGCGGCCAUGGUGCUUGGUGCUGCCAACAAUUCGACCUGAAUUUUUCUCCUAAUUUUGUCUUCCACUGUUGAGGCGAGGCGAGCCAAAGUGUCUGCAUGACUGUUUAUCGCUCAAGGAACUUCGGUGAUCUGGUAGUGGAAGUGCUUAAGCAACAGUUGUGUUUGUUCAAGAUAUGCUGCCAUUGAGCUAUCCUUAACGUCAAAGGUGUUGGUGACUUGGUUAACUACCAAUUGGGAGUCACUGAAGAUAUCAAUUAACCUCGAGGUGUUUGGCCAAACGUAAGCCUGCUAGGAGAGAUUCAUAUUCGGCCUCGUUGUUCGACGCCUUGAAUUUGAAACGAAGAGCAUACUCCAUCGCCACUUUGUCAAGGUAGUAAGGACUAGUCCUGCUCCACAACCAUGUUGGUUGGACAAGCCAUCAACAUAUAGACUCCAUGCUAGGGUUGUUGGUUCUAUUUUAUGAGCUUUCGAGGGUAACAAAGCCACUGCUUUAGGCGUAGAAGCAAUGUCAAUUGGAUAUGUGAAGUCGGCGAUGAAGUCUACCACUGGUUAGCCCUUCUCAGCUGGCUUUGGUUGGUAGGAGAUGUUAAACUCACUCAAUGCUAUCGCCCAUUUGAUCAUUUGCCCCGAAGUGUCAAGACUUUGAAGUAUCUGUCGAAGAUGAUGAUUGGUAAGCACGAUGAUGGAGUUUGCUUGGAAGUAAAGGUGAAGUUUUUUAGUAGACAUGACCAAUGUUAGAGCCAAUUUCUCAAUGUUGAAGUAUCGUGUCUCCGUAUCUUGUAAGGUCUUGCUAGUGUAGUAGACAUACUGUUCGACAUUACCAUCAUUUCAAAUGAGAACAGAACUUACUACUGAAGCCGAUACCGAUAGAUAAAUAAUGAGAGUGUCACUAACCUCUGGUUUGGAGAGCAAAUGAGCUUUACUCAUGUAGUCCUUGAGGUUCUUGAAUGCCUCAGCACAUUCAUCAGUCCAUGUAAUGUGCUUCUUAAUUCCCUUAAGUGCUUUGAAGAAAUGAGCACAUCUGUUUGUGGCCUUAGAGAUGAACCUGGUUAAGGCUAUCACCUUGUUAGUAAGGCUUUAGAUGUAUUUUGAAGUUAUCGGUUCCUUCAUGUUGAGGAUUGCUUUGAUGUUCUUGGGAUAGCUUUAAUGCCUCGUUGGCUAAUCAUGAAGCCUAAGAAUUUGCCAGAGCCUACGCCAAAAGCACAUUCGUUGGGGUUCAACCUCAUUCGAUACCUCUUCAGAAUGGUGAAAGUUUCAAAUAGGUUGGUGAUGUGUUGGUCAGCAUGUUUACUCUUGACUAACAUAUCAUCAAUGUAAACUUCCAUGCUCUUCCCAAUCUGUUCGGCGAACAUCGAAUUGACUAGUCUAUGAAAAGUCUUCCCUGCAUUCUUUAGGCCGAAUGACAUGACUUUAUAGCAAUAUAGUCCCCUGUCAAUAGUGAAAGCUAUGUUCUUGGUCUGAAGGGUUCAUGAGGAUUUGAUUGUAUCCUCAGUAAGCAUCCAUGAAGUUCAGGAGUUCACACCCUACUGUAGAGUCUAUAAGUCUGUCAAUGAGAGGAAGAGGAAAGCUAUCCUUCAAGCAUCCUUUGUUUAGGUCGGUGUAGUCGACACAUAUUCUCCACCAGGCCUUUUGGAGCAGAAGACUUUCUUUGGUUGGAUUUUUUUCUUAACAAAGACCACAUUUGCUACCCAUGUUGGGUAAUUGACUUCGCGGAUAAAGCCUAUGCCUUUGAGUUUUCAACUUCUGCCUUCAUUGCUUCGUAUUGUUCAAUGUCAUAAGAUCUUCGCUUAUGUCUCACCAGCUUGUUCUUAGGGUCAAUACUCAAACGAUGACAUGAUAUUGGGAGAGAUGUCUGGCAUGUCCUCGUAUGACCAGGCGAAGACCUUAGUGUUCUCUUGCAAAAAAGAAAUCAAUGCUAACUAAAUGGGUGGUGACAAAGUGGUGCCAAUCUUCACCAUACGAUCUGGAUAAUCUUUUGAGAUAGAAACCUUCUCCAGCUCUUCAGCAGGUUGUGUUUGCUGGGUGAAAGAGUCAUCUCGAGGAUCGUCGGGGUUGACUGUUGCUAUUGUGAAGAUCCAAGUUGGCUUCAUCCGGCUAGUCUUUAUGACUUGGUCAUGUAUAGAAAAGGUUUCCUUGGGCACAGGCAGGUGAUGUUGCUUGACCGAAGUGUUGUAACAUGACCAUGCACUAAAUUGAUCUCCUCUGAUGUAACCAUUGCCAUAGGAGGUUGGAAAUUUCAUCAACAACAUAUGUGUGGAUACCAUAGCCUUGAGAUCAUUGAUGUUUGUGCGUCCAAAGAUAACAUUGUAUGCCGUUGGGCAAUCAACCACCAAGAAGUUAGUGGUAAUGGUAGCUGUGUGAGGGUCUGUACCAAUGGUGAAAGGUAAGUGUAUGCUCCCUAAAGGUUGCACGAUAUCACCGGAGAAGCUUAUCAGAGGAGAAAUCGAGCGAUCGAGUAAGUGUUUAGCUACAUUAAGUGCCCUGAAAGCUUUAACAAACAUGAUACUGACCGAAACCCCUGUGUCUACCAGGAUUCGUCGUACUUAAAAGUUGGGUAUGUGAGCCUCCACGAUCAAUAAGUCGUUGUGAAGGUAGAUGAUACCUAUUUCUUCCUCAGGGUAGAAACAUAUUGGAUCCCAGUUAGGCUUUUGAUACUUGCCUCCUUUGAUGUCUUCCACGUGAAACACUUGGUGGCCUAGCCUUAAAGCUCAUUUGCUGUUUUUCAUGGCCCUAUUAGAAGAUUCAGAUAUGGGUGUGCCGCCGCUUAUGGAAUAUAUCAUAUUCACUUAGCGUUGGUUACGGUUAUCCCUUGAAGGGUGAAAGAGGAAUUGAUCAAUUUUUUCUUCAUGCGCCAAAGCUUCAAUAUGAUCAAGAAGGGUGAUACACUUCUCGCCGUCAUGGCCGUUAUGCUCGUGGUAGCAGCAAAACGUGCCGUGUUCUUCGUGGGCUUAUAACCUGACUACCUCGGCAUUGGCUUCGGUAUCAGGUGUGUUAUGUUGGGGUAAAUGACAACGCAUGUGGCGUUCAAAUGUGUGUAUGUCUCAUACCUCGGGGUAGGGCCUGUCCUGACACGUGUUUAGCCCACUGUGUUGACUGCUUGAGGGCGGGCAUUAUCGUGGCGAUACCCUUGGUUAUCACGAUAGUGUCCCUUACUUCUUUACUCAAAUGAGACUGGUGAGGAUGGAAAUCUUUCCUUUUGCCCUGAAAUUGAUAUGUCUAUUGACUUAGCGAAGUAUUAUGUAAGGUAAGGGGAGGCACCGCUGCCGUUUGGAAGGUCGAGGUCUUCUCAUUUGGUUGGAUUUGGCUUCUACUCCCUACUUGCUGAUAAAGGGUGGCUGUGGAGGGUUUCCCUUGUUAUGUCUUUGCCUUGGCGGAGGCUUAGUUGUAAGCCUGUGCCAUGACCUUAGAGUAAGUCUUCCAAGUGUUGUCAUUGAUCAUGUACUUGAAGAAACAAUCACGUAGGCCUUGAUGGUAGUCUUGUCAUCUGCCUCAGCGCAGCGAGAAUACUUAUGGCUGAAACGACCGGCAUACUCUCAUAGUGACUCAUCCGACUUCUGUCGAAUAGUGUACAAGUCAUCCGUAGAGUGUAAGCGAUCGGUCUGGAAAAUGUGUUGAGAAACAAAUAGUUUCCUCAAUUCCUCAAAUGAGUCUACCGUCUCAGUUAGAAGACGGCAAUACCAGUUUAAAGCUUCGCCAGAGAGGGUGGAAGGGAAGAGAAGACAUCGUUCUUCGUCGGUGUGCAUCCGAUAUGCCAUGGUAGACUCAAAGAGGUUAAAGUGUUCAAUCAGGUCCUCCUUUCCAGUAUAGGGUUGCAAGCCAAGCUUCUGCUUUGUCUUUGCUUUAAGGGGGUGUCGAGGAUCCUCCUUGUAAGAGGGCCAGGCCUAGGUUGGUUCCAAUCAGGUAUCUCAGCUUGUCGUUCGGCCUUCAACUUGUUUACUUCCUUAAGGAGUUGUAGGACAAAAGGGUCCUGAGUGGAGUCAUGUACCAUUGGAGCUUUCUGUCGUAAAUCUCCAUCUCCUCUUGGAAGUAGGAAGGUUUGAUUAAGAGCAUGUGAUUUUUUCUUGGACUCGCUGUACUGACUUCCAAGGUUUGUCUGUCGAAACAUCUCUAAAUCCCCUAUACCUUCGUGUUUCUCUAGGACUUGUUGCCCCUUCCCCAAAUUGGUAGCUGGCCUGGGACAUGGGAGGGGACCGAGUAUUUCAGAAACCCUUGGGUCAUGGAUCUUUAAGCUUACAUGGAAGAGAUUGUCUCGACGUUGCUUUAGGAAGUCUCGACAAUCGUGAAAGAUGGUUUUCCAUCCUUCCAUUCAUUCUGUAAGGAGGUGCCUUCCUCCACUCCUCCUGCUUCGGGUCGAAAUAGCUGGGUUAAGAGAAGUCUCAUGUUGGUCACCAUUUCGAUGAGUAGCUCGCUCUUCAACAGGAAUACCCAUGUCGAGGGCAAAUGACCCUCCGUGUUGGGAGGCACCCAGUUGAUGGUUGAUUUCCACAGGGGUGAUGAGCUCAUGUGUUUUAGUAUAUCUAGCCUCAUGGAGCAUUUCAAAGACCUUCUUAUACUGCUCUUGGAGGAUCUCAUUCUUCAUCACCAUCUUGGUGUUCUGAGACUCCAGCUUAUCGACUUUAGCCUGUAGAGCAAACUUCUUUUGUUCAUUCUUUCGCUACUUCGCACCAGGUGCGAAAGGGGUGUCGUUCUACGUGUUGUGGCUUCCUUCGCUCCCCAUGUUGGCGAGGGAUGCCUGGUCAAAAGAGAGUGUACGAAUGGUGGAAACCAGCUUGACAAAGCUGAAAAGAGUAGGAAUAAGUGCGAUUCCCACAUACGAUGCCAAAUGUUGAUGCACAAAAUCAGUGGGGACUUUGGUACAACAGAAAGUGCUAAGUUUGUGACCUUCACUAGAUUGCUCCGGUCACUAAUGUGGAUAAGUAUGUAAAUGGAUAGAGAUAGGGAAGCAAACACAAGAUGUAUGUGGUUCACCCAGAUUGGCUACGUCUACAAAGUAGAGGAGUUCUCAUUAAUUGUGAAAGGUUUACAUAAGUAAAUAGGUUCAAACUCUCAUUUAGUGAGUACUAAUGAAUGAUUUAGUACAAAUGACAUUAGGAAAUAUUGUGGCAGAAUGAUCUCCUUUUAUAGAAGAAAGUUUCUAGCUUUGUUCUGACAUUGACACAUGUCGUGUUGUGAUUGGCUUCUGAUGUUGACACGUGUCGUGCUAUGAUUGGCUUCUGAUGUCAACAUGUGUCGCGCUGUAAUUAGCCUUCUAGUUGAAGGGAAACUCUUCUGGAUCCUUGACGGUAUAAGGUUGACCGAUGAUCGGUAGUUUCGGAUUGGUCAAGUAUGAUACAAACAUGCUUGAAUAAAUAAACAACAAGGAUAUGAGAGUUGUUUAACCAAACUAAAGGUCUCCUAAAUUAGGCAUGUUCUACCCCUCCAAUGAUGUUUAACCAACCUAAAGGUGUCGCCAGUUGUUGACACAAUGAUAUUUAACCAAAUUGAAUAUUUGCCAACGGGGAGGGGUUAAUGAGUAAUUAGGAUUUUUUUUAGGUUGUGGAGGGUUUCUCAUAAAAGGGUUGAUUUGUGUGUGAGCGACUACAACUGAGGAAGGAAUGCCUCUAGACCUAGGGCUCUAAAACCUAAACACAAGGUUGCUUAAUUCACUACGAAUUUCAAGAUAUUUUGCCCCAGGUUCGGCAACUUCAACUAUAUCCUUGAAAAUAUAAGUAGCCGAAUCGGUAUUAGGCUAUAAGGACAAAGAUAUUCAAAGGAAAUGAGAUCUUUAUGGUGAAUGUUGUUCAGCAGUCUGAAUGUCGAACUUCCAAAUGCACUUGCAAGUAACUACUCAUAGAACAUCUCACUUCGCUGGGGGAGCUAAUAAAGUGACCGCUUUCAGCGAAAGUAUCAAAGACUCUUCAUUGGUUGAGACUUGGAGGUAGCCAACUAAACCAAAAGUAGUACUAUUUAACCAAAUUGAAGGUACUCCUAGGCCGACUAGUUCAAUGGCUCCAAUGACUUUUACCUGAACUAAAUAUGUUUCCGAUUAGCCAACCCAAUGAUGUUGCAACGAAGUAAACAUGUACCGACGGAGGGAUUAGGAUAAUUGAUAUUUUUUUAGGGUUGUGAGAAAAGUUUCGAACAGAGCAAGGUUAUUUUCGUAGAGCGUUUGAGUUGUUUGUUGAGUUGAAGGAGAAUUUUCACGUUGCAGAGCCUCUCAUAUUUAUAGGACGACAAUACUUUAGCUAACAAGUUCCGAAACCAAUUCGAACUGCAGCACGCUCUUGGAGCUUUAUCCCAUUUUACUUGCUAAAUAUCUGAUGCUUAAGUCCAGAUAACAUCUCAUGAGAAACAAUUCUCAUUUGGGGUCAUGUGCAUGAUGAGGCCUACUUCCCUCCUAAGAUGGGACUCUAUCAUUAGUUACAUGGAAGAUAUCAUAUCCCUUGCCCCUACAUGUUGCAUGCAUAUCCACAUAAGUUACAAAUAACAAACCUAUAUGAUGUGCUUCUCACCGUGCCCAUCUUAAUAGUCAUUUAUCUUCUUUGAAUUUGUAGAAUUGGAAAGCAAUCACAUUGCCCAUAAACCUCAAAUGCAGCUUGUGCUUCAAAAGAAAGUCCAUAUAUUGGAAGUCUUGGACAAGGUUGUCUUUUAUUUUUCUUGUGUUUAGCACUUCUUAUAUAGUGGUCAACUUCUUAAUUCAAGGAGCUGCUGUUAGCUUUCCUAAACCUACUGUUAGCUUUCCUAAAGCUGCUGUCAGCUUUCCUAAAGCUGCUGUCAGCUUUCCUAAAGCCACUCAUUAUGGCAUAAAUUAAGGAAGAAGGGAUAGCCUCCUUAUAUUUGCCUGUAGAGUUACGUUGCAGAUAAGAAAAAUAAAUACAAAACAAUCUUUAAAAAGCAAUAUGGUAUCAGAGCAGGGAAAAUAACCUGCUUCUGCAUUACUAUCAUCCGAUCUUAUUCAACCUUCAAUAUGGCGAAAGAAAAUCCUUCUGGGUCUGAAGCUGAAAGUUCACAGGUCAUUUCCUCCUUGAAUGUGUCUGAGAUGGAUGUCAACCCUAAUCAAAGAUUAAGCUCAGUCUUGUUGAAUGAGUUUAAUUACUUGCCUUGGUCAAGAGAAGUAAGUCUUGCCCUAGGUGGAAGGUCUAAGUUAGGGUUCAUAAAUGGAAGCAUCGAAGUUCCUGAUGCUUCCUCUUCAACUUAUGAAACCUGGCUUUGCAAAGAUCAGCUAGUUAUGUCAUGGCUCUUAAAUUCCAUGAAACGUAAACUAGCUUAAAUAUUCAGUUAUUCUGAAUCAUCAUUCAAGCUAUGGGAGACUGUCAAGGAAAUGUAUAGCAGUGAGAACAAUGCUGCACGUAUGUUUCAAUUAAAGAAUGACAUUUCCAACCUGCAACAAGAAGGAAAGCCCUUUGUACAACUUUUAGGCAGCAUGAAGAGCAUGUGGAUUGAGUUGGAAUUGUAUCGACCCCAUAUAACUAAAGCGUAUGUGCUAUUGAAGAAGGCAGAAGAAGACAAGAUAUUCCAACUCUUGUCAAGUCUCGAUGCAGAAUAUGAAGACCUACGAAGCCACAUACUCAUGAACACUGAACUGCCUUCCUUCACCAGUGUAUGUGCAACAAUCCAGCAUGAAGAAGUGCGAAGGAAAAUCAUGAACAUUGGUACAAAGACCAAUGUAUCUGAAGCUAGAGCCUAUCUAACCAACGAAAGAAAAUACAAAGGGAAGAAUCCACACUUGAAGUGCCAACACUGCAACUAUACCGGUCAUGUUAAGGAGACAUGCUGGAUUUUACAUCAAGAAUUAAAACCUGGUUUUAUGAAGGACAACAAGGGCUUUCAGAAGCUGAACCAAGCUACACACAGAGCCAACCAUGCAUCUGCCUCAACCUCAAAUAGGUCUGACACACUCAAAAGCUUCAUAGCAAAUCCGGCUGCACUCAUAAAUGAGUUUACAGCGUAUCUUUGAAGUAAGAAAUGAGGGAAUGAAAGUGAUCAAACGGUCAGUUUUGAAGAUGGAAACUCAACAGCUUUGCUAGGCAAGUUUGCUGGUUUCCUGGCAGACACCGAACACAUACCUUAAGAAGACUUGCAAUGUAUCAUGAAUUCAUUCAAAACUGCUCUUAAUGUAAAUAUGUUGCAUGAUUUUUGGGUUGUUGAUUCGAGUGCCACAUAUCAUAUGACCAACCAAGUUUCUACGUUUCAAAAAUUAUCAAAACCUUCUCAAGUGUUAACUGCAAAUGGUGAAAGUGCCGAGGUUUUAGGAAAGGGAAAAAUCAACUUAAUGUCGGAAAAAAUUGAGUCAAUGGCCUUAUAUGUUCCUUCUUUUCCUUUCCAACUCCUAUCUGUGAGAAAAAUCACCAAUACCUUGAAUUGUUUAGCCAUAUUCUCUUCUCACAAUGUCAUUUUUCAAGAUUGUGUCACCAAGAAGACGAUCGGUGAAAGGUUUUAUCUAGAUGGUCUCUAUUACAUAUCAAGGAGCAGUUCCAAAGGGUUUCAAGCCAAGUCCAAUUCAUCCCAAAAUAAUCAAUUGUGGCAUCAACGUCUAGCUCAUCCUUCUCAACCUAUUUUGUCUUCUUUGUUUCCAAACUUAGGGAAAGUUUUAAUUCCAUGUGAAACUUGUCAUUUAUCUAAGGCCACUAGAUUGCCUUUUAACUCAUCCUUAUCUAGGGCCAGUAAGUUGUUUGAACUUGUUCACUCAGAUGUAUGGGGACCAACGUGUGAAUCUUUUGACGGUUAUAAAUAUUAUGUAAUAUUUGUUGAUGAUUUCUCUAGAACCACAUGGUUGUACCUUUUAAAGUCUAAGAGUGAAGUGAUGGAAGUGUUUAAGGAUUUUAAUAAUCUUGUUAAGAACCAUUUCUCCUCUCAAAUUCAAACUUUAAGAUCUGACAAUGGCACCAAAUACAUGUCCCAUAUCAUGACACAAUAUUUGAGCAAUCAUGGCAUCAUGCAUCAAACAAGUUGUGUUGGCACACCUCAACAAAAUGGUGUAGCCAAAAGAAAAAAUUGUGACAUCCUUGAAAAAACUAGAGCAUUAAUGUUACAAAUGAAUGUACCAAAAAGAUUUUGGUCCCAAGGAGUCAUGGCUGCUGUCUACAUCAUCAAUAGACUUCCUAGCCGAGUCUUAGAUUUUAAAUCUCCUCUUGAGGUCAUGAAAGGAAGGAAAAUUGACAUUUCACAUCUUACAGUCUUUGGUUGUGUUUGCUUUACUCAUGUUCAACCACAUCAUCGAGAUAAAUUGGAUCCUAGAGCUCUUAAAUGUAUUUUUCUUGGUUAUUCAUCAACAAAAAAGGGAUAUAAGUGUUAUGAUCCUCAGCUAAGAAAAAUGAUUGUAUCUAAAGAUGUUCAAUUCCAUGAAACUAAUCAUUUUUUCAACAAGUCCUUUGAAACCAUAAGUCAGGGGGAGUGUAUCUUUGAUGUGUUUCCUCUACCAAGAAUCGGGCUCAAUAAUGCUUCAACAAGAAAAUGUUCCAAUAAUGAUGAACCACAUGCACCACCCACUGAAGGUAACAAUGAAGGUAUUCAUCCUGAUGGUUUUAUGCUUGAUGAUGACCGCGACAACCAAGAUAAUCUUCAAAGUGUGGCUGAAAAUUUGAACGAGUGUGAGACAACUGUACCAGCACCACGACGCAAUCCUAUGCAUAAUAGACAACCUCCUACAAGGUUUCAAGAUUUUGUCACAUACAAUCCCAAGCAUCCAAUCUCCAAUUAUGUGUCGUAUCAAAAGUUGACUCCAUCUCAUGCUGCAUUUCUUAGCACCAUCUCAAGUCACAGUGAGCCACAAAACUUUCAUGAGGCUAACAACCAAGAUGUGUGGAAAGAAGCAAUGAGAGAAGAACUCAAAACAUUAGACCUACACAAAACCUGGAGCAUUACCAAACUUCCAAAAGGUAAAAAGGCAGUAGGUUGCAAAUGGAUCUAUAAGAUCAAGUUUAAUUCAGAUGGUUCAAUUGAGAGGCAUAAAGGGCUGGUGGCUCGGGGAUUCACACAAACAUUUGAGAUGGAUUACAAAGAAACUUUUGCACCUGUUGCAAAAAUGAACUCAAUUAGGGUUCUAUUAUCCGUUGUUGUUAAUAAGGGUUGGUCCAUGUACCAAAUGGAUGUGAAGAACGCCUUUCUACAUGGUGAUCUUGAAGAAGAGGUCUAUAUGAAAUUGCCACCAGGGCAUCCUUAAAGCCAUGAGCAUGAUUUAGUGUGUAAAUUGCACAAAUCAAUUUAUGGACUGAAGAAAUCUCCACGAGCUUGGUAUGCCAAACUAAGUUCAGUGCUUAAUAGCGUUGAUUUCACAAGAAGCAAUGCAGAUUCAUCAUUGUUUGUUCGCACUGGAGCUGUGGGUAAAUUGGUUGUGUUAAUAUAUGUGGAUAACUUAAUAAUUACAGGUGAUAAUGCUGAAGAGAUUUCCAAACUCAUACAGUCACUUCAAUAAAGAUUUGCAAUUAAACAUCUUGAGGUGUUGAAGUACUUUCUUGGAAUAGAGAUGGCAACUUCUCACAAGGGACUAUUUCUUAAUCAAUGCAAAUACAUCCUGGACCUACUCAAGGACGCUAAAAUGAGUGAUGCUAAGCCUGCAAAUACUCCUCUCGAUAGCAAGCUCAAACUUGACUUGGGGGGCAUGCGACUCUCGGAUAUCAGCCACUAUCAGAGACUGGUUGGUAAGUUAAUCUAUCUAACAAUCACCAGGCAUGACAUCACAUAUUCAGUGAGUAUCGCCAGUCAAUUCAUGCACUCUCCCACAAUUGAUCAUUUGAACCUUGUCAAAAGGAUCUUACGUUACUUAAAAGGGUCCGUGGGUCGUGGCAUUAUCUUGAAGAAGAAUGAAAACACCCAAAUCAUGGGGUACUGCGAUGCGGAUUGGGCAAGAAAUGCAAUCGAUCGCAAGUCCACAACUGGUUACUGUAUCUUUGUCGGUGGAAACUUGGUCACGUGGAAGAGCAAAAAACAAACUAUCAUCGCAAGAUCAAGUGCCGAAGCUGAAUAUCGUGCAAUGGCAUCAAUCGCGUAUGAGCUGAUAUGGCUAAAGGGACUUCUAUGCGACUUAGGUGUGUUUACGACUCAACCUAUGAACUUAUUUUGUGACAACCAAGCAGCCAUGCACAUAGCAUCAAACACAGUGUUCCACGAGAGGACAAAACACAUUAAAGUAGAUUGUCACUAUGUACGUGAACAAGUACAGUCGCAGGUGAUUCAGACGCAUUAUACAAGAAGCUCCGAUCAAUUGGCCGAUAUAUUCACCAAACCCUUGGUCUCUCAUCAGUUUCAAAGGCUUCUGUCCAAGCUUGGAUCCGUCAAUCUUCUGGAUCCAAGUUGAGGGGGAGUAUUGGAAGUCUUGGACAAGGCUGUCUUUUAUUUUUCUUGUGUUUAGCAUUUCUUGUAUAGUGGUCAACUUCUUAAUUCAAGGAGCUGUUGUUAGCUUUCCUAAAGCUGACCUAAAGCUGCUGUCAGCUUUCCUAAAGCUGAUGUUAGCUUUCCUAAAGCCACUCAUUAUGGCAUAAAUUAAGGAAUGAGGGAUAGCCUCCCUAUAUUUGGUUGUAGUGUUACGUUGCAGAUAAGAAAAAUAAAUACAAAACAAUCUUUGAAAAGCAAUACCAUAACUCCAGGAGCUUUAUUUCUCCCCCGAGUCCAUCGUCAGUGAAACCGUGGUACACUAAAUGGAAAGAGGAUUCUUUUCGGAUCCUUUUGGUGGGGAUCAUAGAGAUCCUCAUAUCUUAACCGUUUGUCAGAUACUAUUUAUGUUUAAUUUUAAAUAAAAAAAUUCAAAUGAUUUCUAAUCGCAUGAUGUAUGAUGAAUGAUUAAGAUAUAAGAUUUUCACUAUUUGAAUCCGGAUAAGAUCCAAAUCCUGCUAAAGGAUAGGACGAGAUAAAAUUGUAUUGUGUUAGAGAAAGAGUCUGUCAGCUUUUGCUUUUGUUGCUGUCGAAAUAAUUUUAACAAAAACUCCAACAUAACUAUCAUGUAUAAUAAAACCAACGACAACAUCUUGAAGAAGUUAUUAAAAUCUCUUUAUUUGGGAGUUAUCCGACUGCUCAAAAUUUUGUUCAUUCAAUAGUUUUGAUUGCACGUGCGGGACAGAUGGGUCCAAACAAGUUUAUUCUAAAAGACAAAGAAAGAAACUGUGAAUAGCGCAUUCCCAAGGACAAAGAUAAUCUGCUCUUUCACUUUUCGUGCCCUCUCAUACGUUCUUGUUUUGUGUGAUCACGGUUAAGCCACGUCAACAUUUUAUAUUAUUUUUUUAUAGAGAUAAUAAGAUAAAAAUAAAUAGUAAUAUAAAAUAUUAACGUAACUUAUCCGUGACCACAUUAAUAGAAACGCACGAAAAAUAAGAGAGCAGACAAUCCUUGUCCCAUCCUUAACCGGUUUACUAUCGGUCACAAGUGAUCAUUUGCAUGUCUUACGAUGCUAAAAACAAACAAGAGUAAAUCAAAAAAACCCCAAAUUUUCAACAAUAUAGCGACGUAACAAUGCAUGGUUGCCUCUUGGUAUAUAAAGACAAACUACAGAAAAAAAUCUUGGAAUAUUCUCGAUCCCCAAACAUUAAAAAAACACGUCAUCCAUGACGAUAUCUGAAAAUUCAGAUUGCAACCAAAAUUUACAAUACAUCUUUUAGGGAUGUGGAUUCUCUCUCCUCCUAACAUCUCUUAUCUUUCCUCUUCUUCUAUUUGAAUGAUCACGGUUAAGUUAUGUCGUUAACAUCUUAUAUUGAUUGUUUUUAUAAAGACAAUAUGACAAAAAAAUAAAGUAUGAGGAGGGGAGGGAAGGGGAUGGAAAUACGAGGGGGGAGAAUCAUACUCUAAUUUUUAGCUUGUCUUUUGCUUGCAUAUCACGAAAAACACAUAUACACCUCACAGCAAAUGAAAUUUUAGCAUGUGUAUAUUCAUUAUGAAUACUACCAAAGAGUUCAAGAGGCUACAUGAAGGAUUUAACUAAGUUGAGCAGCUAAGCACUCAAAACUAGCUAAAGGGGAUGAAAGAAGGGGAAAAUGGUUAGGAUUAUGAUAAGUAAAUAUUGCAGUUCUUUUCUAAUGUCAUAAAAAAUAAAUACAAAAAUAGUUACGACUAUAAUAGGUAAAUAGUUCAUUGAUCAUUUUAUCGCGUAAACGACGGAUCCUUCGACACCUCAAUAAUCAAAUCUAAGCUAAAGGGGUAGAUGUUGUGAUUCUUCAUCAGUCCUAGCAAGGUUAAUGUGCCUAGAGGAAAAUAAUUUUUUUAUUUUGAAUGAAUGUUUUUAUUCUCGAGCAAUCUAUCUCCUACCUCCAAAUUUAUCAUAUUUUUUAUUUAUUCUUUCUAACUUACCUUAAAAAUAAUAACUCAUGUACUUCAAUUCAUUUCUUUGUACCAAAUGAGAUUGUAGUUACUUAAGAAAUGUUAAGGAAACUCUUUUAAAGUAUGACCUUUUAUGCACUUUACUGUUUCACAUCAAUUCUCGUAUCAACAUUUUAAAAUAUAAUUUUAAAAUAUAAGAUGACAAAUAAUCUAAAAAGGUUACUUUUGAGAAAGUUUAUUUAGCAUUUCUCAAAGGGGAAUCCAACUCGAUUACUAGGCACUAUAACUUGCGUAAAGGGGGAUGAAAAUGACUACUUAACAAGAAGAGGGCGAAGGAUAGUACCUUAUUAAGCCAUUAAGAUUACUGUUGUGUUUCUUUGAGCUCAUUUCGGAACAAAAGUGAACCUUUAUGGUGAGGUUGACGACUGUCAGUUCAUUCCAAUACCUUGGUCCUUGGUCGACACUCAAAUUAUUUUUUCCAAUUAAAUCCAAGUAAGUGACUAGACAGUAGAGUUCCUGCGGAAUUUUCUCUCUUAAUUUUCCUCUUUCUUUUUUUUUUUCAACAAGGGCUUUGGUUUCUUCUGUGAGAUAGAGGUUGUUGAUUGAUAGAUGUCUCUUACAUUUCUUUUGAGAGUAUUUGAUGCCAAUAAUUAUCCACUGAGGUUCUUUUUUGGAUAAAAUUUAUGGGGCCCCAAUUUAUCCAAUUUGAUAAAAGACUAACUGAAAUUAACAUUUGGUAUCUCUUGAAGGAUAAAUAUUUCAGUGUGUCAAAAACACGGUUAUGUAUAUCCAGUGUUAAUACAAAAGUGGUUGAAGUGUUUUUUCGAGGAUCUAACUACAUGUCUUAUGACAUUUUGUGUAUGUGUUUGGAUCCAAAAUUACACCAUCUGCCCAUCGAGACUGUUGAGUAAGCAUGGUUCUAGACCGUUGGAUAAGAAGUUAAGAUAAUUUUGUUUUGAGAUAAUGUUAUGGUUUUUAAUCAUAAUAAUUAUCUUUUGAUAAAUCAUCUUGAUUUUCUUAUACAAAAUAAAUGGGAUACAAAUCAUAGCCCCAACUCAGAAGCAAAAAGAACAAUCCAAAUUAAUUUGGAUUUGUUAGCAGUGCACCGUGUGAAGAGCAGCUUGGAUUGGGACUCCUAGCACUGAUGUGGUCAUGAUGGCUUUUGCAUUGCAGAUGAAAUAAGAAAAUAGUUGCGUGAUGCGGUAGAAGGUUAUUAUGCAUGCAUGGAUAGAUCAUUAAAAAGCCUAAAUAGGCCUAGCUUUUGGUGAUGAUGUGAUAAGCCUAGGAUUUGAUGGUCUUGAAUAGUGGUGAAAUAAGAAACCUAGGUAGGCUAGGCCUUUUUGCAUGGUGAUGGAAGUUAUCAAAUGAGUUUAAAGGCUUCUCAUGGAGGUUUUUUAUGAGAUAAGAAGCUUAAGUGGACUAGGUUUCUGAUGUGAUGUGAUAAAGCCUAGAUAGGCUUUAUUUUGUUUGAAAAGUCACGAAAUCUGAAGGAUAUGCCUUGGCAUUUGACACGGAUCAAUUUCAAUUCCGCGAGGUAGAGUUGCGGUUGGACUCUACAAAGUUAUCAAGCCGUGUGAAGCAAAAGACAGCCACUAUAAAUACAGAGUCGUAUGCAGCAUUGGGCCCUGCUCCAACUCAACACACAAACUGCUCUGCGCAAACCCUUGCUCUAUAUGAAACCUCUCAACAACCUUGAGAUUUUUAUUUUCCUUUUUCUCCAACACAUCUUCAGUUUCGAUAAACAGCACUGUGAAGAAAAUCGACUAACAUCUUUAGUUUGGAUAAACAGCACUGUUGCUGUAAAAUCAGCCGACCGCGAAACUACUUCAGUUUGGAUAAACAGCACUGCUACGAGGCCGACUGGUUAUCUAUCCAAGUCUCGGUCGAGAAGGAUUUUCAAAUUUUUAUUGGCAGAGGUCAUCUCAUUAGCCUUCUAGGUGAAGUGAGGUGUUACCAAGUUACUACAUUCGGCACACUGAGAGCCGAAUUUGAUAUUGAACUUCGUAGAACUAGCAUUCUUGUCUUCAGGCUCUAGAACCAUUCCUAGGAGAAGAGGAAGGUCCAUUCCCAGGUGGUGGGUGUUUUUGUUGCCUCUCUGGUGGAGCUCAGAGGUGAGAGGGAAGGUUUGUAGAGAAAGAGAGUGCGAGAGGUUUGAGAAAGGGAGAGAAGUGAGGAAGAAAGAAAGAUAGAGAGAGUGUGUACUAUGAGAGGGAGAACACAGGAGAGGGUAGAGAGGAAAGAGACCAGGAACCAAAAAGAAGGGGGGUCCCACCCGGCUCACUAUUUAAUAACCAAAAUAAUAUUUAAAAACGAGGGUGGAGUGUAACAUGGUCAAUGCAAACAUUACAGAUACAAAAAACCAAAGUCUUAUAGAGCUUCCUUAUACUAAUCACACAACAAAAAUUACGAACAACAAAACAUGAAAAAAAUGAAAAGGAUACGGCAAUGCAUCGUUGGUAGGAUCCAGACUAACAACUGCUAUUUUUCUGGUAACUAAAAAUGAUGAAAUGGUCAAUGCAAACAUUAUCGACAGAUUCAAAAACAAAAACUAAGGCCAAGGAAAAACUUGAAAACCAACAAAAACUCGAAAUCUUAUAGGAGUCCUAUCUUUCCACAGUUUUCCUUCUUCAAAAUAAGAAUAGAAACCUCUAAUUUGAGUGCCUACACAUAUAUACAUCGGAUAAAAAUCAAAAAUAAAAAAUUCGAAACACCACCAGAAAUAACAAAAAUGAUGAAAAAUAAACCAUAAAAAUUUUCAACAAAAAGUUUAAGACUUUAACUCACAGGAAAUCCUGUAACCAGUUGUAAGUGGAUGCACCCUCACUGGUGACCAAUUGCAAAGUGGCCCUUUUGCCCAGCUCUGUAACCAAUUGUAAAGUCGACUUUUUGCCCAGUUCACUACGGUUUCAUUUCAUUUAUUUUCAUUCGUAUGUAGAUAUAUUUGAAUCAUUGAUUGCUAUAUGAACUCUAGAAAGCCACGAAUGGGAGUUGGAGUAUUAAAGGACUCAACACUUACUAUUUAGUUUAAAUACUCUAUUUGCACGUCUGCAAGUAAGCUGAAUUCACAACCUAUGCCAAUUCAAGGUGUAGAGUUUCACCUUCUUCGGACCCAUAAAUGGUCGAAAAGUUCUAAAAUCAGCCAGAGAAAACUGGGAUCCUCAUCAGAAAAACCCACCAAGGUGCGCUUAUGGAACUCCUCGCCUUUUAAUCUGCAUUACCAGAACAAAAUGUAAAUUCACCAAUUAAAUGCGUAUAUCAAUUUCAUAAUGUAGUUUAUUACAAAGAUUAAGAAGCGAAAAUUACCAUAGCAGUAGUGGCAGCUCCAAAAAGGGCAAUGAGGGAUGGCACAGCUACUUGGCCAACUUAUCUGGCUAGGACUUCAAACACCAAAACCCCGUACAAUGCACAAAAGGAUGCUGCAAAAGAAUUAACAAAAGAAUAAUGAUCGCAAGAAACAGUUCAGUAUAACUUUAAAAACUUUGGGAAGUUGAUGGGGGCAUAAUCAUCAUAUACCAAUUGAUUCAUGUAUCGUGACCAUCCAUCCAAGCAAAGGCAUCUACAUACACUGCGGUAUGGUAGAUAUUUUAUGUGCUCCAGAUUCAUUAUCUGCAAAAUAUGCAUCUAUCGAACAACAUAGUAAGUCUUUAUCUUAACGGAAAAAAAGAAAUUACAAAAUUUAAACUUCGAUCUAAAAGUUAUUCAUUAAUUUCUUUAUAUAUAAGAAAUUAUUGCACAAAAUGAAUGUAUCCAGUUCACCACAGAGUAGUAAUCGAUUCUAAUUUGAUCUACAUGAUCGAAUAUGUGUGUGUGUACAUAUAUAUAUAUCUGCAUGUAUAUAUAUAGCCAUUGUAUGAAAAGCGCUAACAGAUUAAAGUGAUCUCUUAAAACUCGAUAUGGAGCAUCGUUCUCUUCCCAUGUUUGUAGGAUAUAUUACAUGGUUCCACUUCAAGCAUUCUGGCCAACAGCUAUGCGGUCCAUUAGACAAAUUAGAUGGUUUAGUAGGUCCUACAUCGUCAAUCUCUAGCCCUAUAUCAAUAUUGUGUAGUGGGGAACCUUUAUUUGAAUCAAGCAAUUCAUAGAUACAAAAAUUACUUAUAAAAUAACUUUGAAAGUAAGUAAAAAAAAUAUGUUCUAUGCCUAUUGCUUUUGCCGAACUAAAAAAAAAGUGGGAAAUGCUUGAAAUUGGCCAGAAAAAACUCGCAUCUUCAUCGGAAAACCCACCGCAAGCUGGGCUUAUUGUACUCUUCGAUAGAGGGGUAAAUUCGAACAUAAAAAGCUCGAGUCUUGUUGUUAGGACUCUUCUGAGUCCCGGGAGAACUGCGAGAGGAAAGAGAGAGAAGGGAUAAGGAAGAAUUAAAAAAUAAAAAAUAACAGUGCAUAUAUUAUGCGAUCCAGGGACACCAUUGGAAUAAGGUUAAAACUGUGAGGUUGAGACUCACCCAGAACUUAAGAAAUAACUGCAUAUAGUAUUAACACACAUAAAUGAUCAAUUGAAGAUCAUAUCAUGUGCAGCAAGCCAAAACAAACAAUUUGAAAUCAAACCAACCAAAACAAACAAAAGUCAUUUCCCAUGGAAGAUUAUCACAAAAUUGCAAGACCUAUACAAUCUAAAUAAAGUGGGUUCUACGGGGUGGAAGAAAGCAUAAAAGCUGCAGUGGAGCAAACCCGGGAAGGUAGGGUAGAGAAUACGCCACCGAGAGAACCUGAGAAUGGUGAAUGGAAGGAUGCAAAAUAUUGUAUACCAACAACAAAAUAUCGCAUAAACUUAGGAAUUGGAUCAUGCUUUUGAUUUUAUCUUUUACCUACAAACAAUCAUAUACAUAGUACUUUAUAUAUUUUUACCAAAAAACGUCCCUAAUAGGCUAAUAUAUGUAAUAAUACAUGAAAAAUAAUUUACCUACCAUGUAUACAAAAAUGUUAUUUGAUUCAAAAUAUAUAAUCCGGGUUUUCUAAUAUAUAUAUGGGUAAAUUACAUAAUACCCCCUCAGGUUUGAGGUCUAUUACAACCUCAUACAACAUCUUUAAACAUUUCACUUUCAUACAUCACCUACUAUUUUAUUUCAAUAUAGUACAUCCGUUACAUUUUUCAUUCAUUGAUCCGUUAAGAGUUGACGUGGUUGCCACAUUUGUGCCACAUGGCUGCCAAAUUUAUGCCACGUGGCAAAAAAUUAAUUUUUUUAUACAUUUAAAAAUAAUUAAUUAAAGAAAAAUUAUUAUAAAAAAUAAUAAAAUAAUAAUAAUCACUAGAACCCAUCUCCCUCUCCUGCACCCCACCCACCCUCCCUCCCGUCUCUUACCCCAUCCACCCUCCCUCCCUUCUCUUUCCACAGCCAACACCCAGAAGAACUCACACCCAUAAAAAUGACGCUCGUCUCCUCAGAUCCCACAGAGCCCCAUCUUUCUCCACAAUCCCUCACCUGCGUCAGAACCCUCGCCGGCACGGCCUCGUUUUGGCUUUUCUUCAACGCCGAGCACAGCGACAGCAGCUUCCGCCGUGUACUCCGUCACCCAUUCCGAGAUGGGUUGAGGUUCUGAUCUGGGUUUUUGAUUGGGGGUCCGAUUGAGAUUUGGAUCGGCUUGAAGUUAGAGAGAGAGAGAUGAAUGGAGUUGGGAGACAAUGGCAAAGAUCUGGUGCGGCGGGGGUGCACCACCAGCGGCAAUACUCUGAUAACUUCUUGGAGACUUCAUCCAACGGGAUAUGCUUCAGUCAGCUGGUCUUCAAUACCUUUCAUCUUCCAACUCAUUUGAUCCUCCUCCUCGGGUAUUUUUUUGCUUUCCCAAUCAAAUCUAUCCGAAUUUAAUCAAAACGUUGUAACAAAUCUGAAAUUUGGGUACAUUGUAAUAAUCAUUUAUUUUGUGGGAUAUGAGUAGGAGAGCACCAUUUUUAUGGGUGUGAGUUCUUUUGGGCGUCGGCUGUGGAGAGAGAAGGGAGGGAAUGAGGGAGGGUGGGUGGGGUGCAGGAGAGGGAUGUGACUCGGGGGGGGGAGAUGGGUUCUAGGGAUUUUUUUGUUUUUUUUUAAUUUUUAUAAUAAUUUUUCUUUAAUUCAUUAAUUUUAAAUGUAUAAAACAAUUAUUUUUUUUGCUACGUGGCAUAAAUUUGGCAGCCACAUGACACAAAUGUGACAGCCACUUCAGUUCUUAACGGAUCAAUGGAUGGAAAAUGUAACAGAUGUAUUAUAUUGAAAUAAAAUAGUAGGUGAAGAAUGAAAGUGAAAUGUUUUUAAAAUGUUGUAUGGGGUUGUAAUAAACCUCAAACCUGAGGGGGUAUUAUGUAAUUUACCCUAUAUAUAUAAUCUAGGUGUAGUGUAUAUAUAUAUAUAUAUUUAUAUAAUUGGAACAAAUUAAUUUACCUACCUACAAAUUAAUUUCCAAUAAUUUACCUACAAAAAAUUAUACCCCAUGUGUAAUAUAAUAUCUUUUUUUUCACUAAUACAUGGAGAAUAAUUUACACAAAACAAGAAGAAAUAUAUUUGAUGUAUUAUAUUGAAAAAUAUUAUGUCAUACCUAUAUUUAUACAACAAUGAAAUGUGCCUAAUAUAUGUAACAAUACAUGAAAAAUAAUUUACCUACAAGGUAGAUAAGUGUUAUUUGAUUCAAAAUAUAUAAUACGGAUUUAGUAUAAUUUUUUUUAAUAAUUGGAACAAAUUAAUUUACUUCCAAAUUAAUGCAAUAUAUAUAUCACAAAAAAGGUAAUUUUUUGGUAUGAUAAGGAUACAAUUAAUGCAAUACAACAGUUUAUAUAUUUUAUUUCACUUUUUCUACAACUUUUAAUUUAGAAUAAAUUUAGGGAUUUGGGAAAGUGGCAUGAGUGUAAAUAAAUUGUAUUAGUCGGUCAAUAGUGUUCCGAUGUGGCUGCAGAUUUUAAAUUUGGGCUUUUAUUGGACAUUUAUAUGUAUAUGAGUUUUUAUCUAGGAAUCAUGAAUUGUAAGGACCAAAAUCUAAAGCACCUUUUAAAAAAAAAAAAAUGAACUUGAGUGUAGAAGGGAGUGCACAUUAUUCUAACUAAUAUUCUUAUUUGCAAUAACAAAGGAGACAACUGCUCAUUUUAAAAGUAAAAAAAAAAAAAAAAAAGUACAUGUGCAUGCAAAUAUAUAAGACGAAAAAAAGUACAUGUGCAUGCAAUAUAUGUGAUGAACAAUACUUGGGUAUUCAAAGAUAAGUAGGAAUUUCUAUUCAAAAUUCUUAGUGUUUUAAUCACAGAGUUUUGUGCUUAUGAUCGGAACAGUUAAUACUAUGAAUCAUAUUGUAAAUAUCAUCUUUGCAAAAAAUAAAUAAAAACUAAGGUCCUUUAGUCAAUCUAUUGUAGUAAAUACAUAAACGGUUUAUAAUGCUUUUACCAAUACCGUUCAUUUGUUUUUAAAUAGUUUGAUAACUAAACAACCUUAGUUUUAAUUCAAUUUUUGCAAAGACGGUCUUUAUAUGAUGAAUAAUAAUAUGAAUAGUUCUGAUUAUAAACAUAAAAUUCUAUAAAUUGACAACGAACAAUUUUGAAAAUUUUUUAGUAGGAUUUACUACUAAUAGUAGCCAAGCAUUACAAUUCCAAAAAGUCGACCAGUUGUGUUUACGUGGCUGUCUAAAAUUCUACAUAUAUACACAAGCUACUACCAAACCAAGAAACAGAAAAAAGGACAGCCAUAUGUUAAGAUAACAUCAAUUUAUCCGAUCCAAGAAAGCCUUGAGAUUCUUGUCAGAAGACCCACCUUCACUCACAGCCUCUCUUGCCAAAUCUUUCCAUUUCUUAGCAUUCCUUCUCAUCUCUUCACCAAUCUCCCCACUUCCCAUGACCAACUCCAAACACCUUUUGAGCUCGUCACCCGUAACAAUCCCCUUCUCAUUUGGUGUCACCCUCAAUCCUGUCUUCCAAGCGUCCUCUAUCAACUUGGCAUUCGUUCCUUGGUCCGUCCACUGAGGAAACGCCACGACUGGCACCCCCGAAGCGAAGCUUUCCAAGCUUGAAUUCCACCCACAAUGUGUCACAAAGCAACCCAACGAAGGACUUGACAGAACCUCCACUUGACUACACCACGGCACUAUCCUCCCUAGCUCUUCCAAUUCCUCUCUGCAACUCAACAUCUCUUCUUCUUCCUUCGCCUCAUUAUCUUCUCCCUUCUUAUUGACUUUAUCUCUAAUAACCCACAAGAACGGACGGCCGCAAUCCAACAACCCUUUGGCGAUUUCCUCCAUUUGGGCCUUUUCCAACACACAAAUGCUUCCGAAGGACACAUAAAUCACCGACCCUUCCGGCUUCAAGUUCAGCCACUCCAGGUACGGAGAGUCCUUGGAUUUUUUGAGAAGAUCGCCUCCAAAUGACUUGUCCGAUGGAUCCUUGCCGUCCAAGAAAGUCGUCGGAAUCAAUGGCCCGACUCCAAUCAAAUUGUACUUUUCAGUUGCUUUUAAGGCUUCCGGCUCUAGUGCAUCGAACGUGUUCACUAGAAUGAUCGGGUUGGUUUCUCUCUCCAGCAGAUCCAUCUGUUCUUGAAACAACGGGAGGGCGAAAUUGUAGGGAUUUGUAUCCACCAUGAAGGAGGGAAGGUCUCGGCUUGUAAGAGAUAAUGGCAAACCUGGUAACUCUAUUGAACAUGGAAGGGCAUCGUUCGUACCAGAACUAGUAUUAUCCCGGAUGAGAUCUUUGAACCCGUUAAAGUAAUAGUAGUAGAUGUCGAAAACUGUGGCUGGUUGAAUCCAAAGCAGCACAUUUGGGAGGUGAAGUUCAUGCGCCACGUCCGCGGCCCAGGGGAGAAGUAUUGUGUAGACCAUGCAAGUGUAAGGGUGACCCUCGUUUUCACUUGAGACUACAAGGUCGGUGAUGGCUUGUGCUCCGUGGUGCCGCAACUCCGACAAGUAGUGGUCGAUGUUGUCUCCGGGCUUAAACCCGUCGUCGUAACCAUCAGAGAAGGGCGCAUAAGUCAAUCCAUCUGGAAUUGAGCCAUUGCCAAUGCGAUGAUGGGCUGAGAGACUGGUAAUGAAGGUGACAUGCGCACCUGUAGUGUUGAUAAGGCGCUUGGCGAAUUGGAGGGAAGGGUUGAUGUGGCCUUGAGCCGGAUAUGUGACAAGUAGAAAGCGGUGUUGCACCAUGGCAGCGUAUGCGAUUGCGGAGGUGCGCGGUGGAGCGUGGAGUUGUUGGAAGUAGAAUAAGUAGGUACCUAGUUUACUGGUGGAAAAUUUGGUGCUGUGGGCUUAUUAGCUUAGUGAAGUUGAAAUUCUUGUGGGAGUACGUAUUCAAGGUGGGGAAUGCGGUGAGAGAAUGGCAAGGCUUAAAUAGGGGUUUGGGGGCGGAAAUGUGACGUUUGUGGUGACGAAUUGAAGGCGCUGGUGACAAAGCAAAGAUGAGGACACUUGUGAUUUGUGGUCUUCUCGGUGCAUGCAUAUAAUAUUAUGGGUAAAGACACGCUCAUUACAUAUUUAUACCAUUAUUUGUAUCAUUUCUAUAAUAACGAUGCGAUCCACAUGUUUUGGUGGACUUUACCUCUGAGAGACUAUACAAAAUGUGAUAAGUGUAGCAUUAUUCCUAUUUAUAUCAUAUUUUGUAAAUCAUAUGAUGUAAUUGUUGAUGAUUUGAUUAUUACUUAAGCUUUGAUUAACGUAAUUAUUUUUUAUUAAUAACACAUCACAUAUAUAAUGUACAAAUUUAGUCUAAAGUUAAUCUACCCAACAUUACUCUUUUAAAAUUGGUUUCAUCAAACUUCGUAGCACAUCACAAAGACUAAAUCCAAUCUAAUGUGGUAGGAUAGACAAAUCAUCGAAAAACUGAUAAAUAUACUUGCUAGUGUUUGAAUUGUUAGUUUAUUAAUUAUUAUUUCGAUCUGGUUUGGUUGGCCGAAUAAUAUAUUAGGCCUCGUUAAGUCAGGAGUGAGGCCAUGAAUAAUUGGGUUCGUACUAAAGAGCCUACACGGUUCAUCAUGGAUGUGACCUUGAGGUCUUGUCUUCAAUACUAGAAAAAAACUCAGGACCAAGACACGAUCCGAUGGUGGCACGCUCCCGCACCCUAAAACUGAAGGGAAAGAGAUUAUUUCUAGAUUUCUUCCACCCAGUCUACCAAAUCCACUUAUUUGAAUUAUUGAAAUUUGAUCUAACAGUUAAAGUUAUUAUAACUUUUAAAGGGUCUUUCUGUUUGUAACCGUUGAAUCAAAUUUCAAUGGCUCGGAUAAGUGGACUUUGUGGACUUAGUGAAAGAGAUCCGGAGAGAAUCCCUUUUCCAAACUAAAGUCCUAAAACUAAAAGAAGGGCCAAAUUUGUUUCUUGUGAUCCUAAGCCGAAAGGAGACAUGUUAAAAUAUCUCACAUCGAUAUAAUGAAAGAGAAAAUAAGAGUUUAAAUAUUAUAAUUCUACUCCAACUAAUAUUGAGAUCUUUUGUGUUAAAAACCUCACACCUAUUAAACUGUGCAAGUGCUAAUUAACAAAUUGGAGACAAGAUCGAUAGUGUUGGAAGUAGAUCUUUAUCCGUUUUUUUAAUAAUUUGACAAAGCAAACAUACAUACGCUCCAUAUGUCGUAAUUUAGUACGAUAUGAAGCGUAAGAAAGAAAGAAAAAAAAAAAAGCAGCCAAAUAGUUUUGGUGAAAUGAAAUAUGAAAUAACCUCUACCGUGGGACUCAUACUCUAUUUUAUAUAGUCUAAUACUUUAGAUAUCUUUCAUCUUAUCAGUACAUUAUCCUAAAUUCCUAAUCCUGCUAAGAUUCCUAGUCAGACUAAACUUCCCUAACUAAGCUAGAUGGUUGUAGUAUUGUCUUCAAUCAAGCAUGCGUGAUGCGUGAUGAGUACAUAAUAAGGACUAGUAGGUUUGACGUGGUAAGAGAGACAAGGUGAAUUUAGUGACCACAAACUGAUUAAUACACAUACAAAUUUGUGAUUUCUCUAGGGCCCCGUUUAUCAUAUGCCGAAUUUGAUUGAUCCAGCUGCAUCACACUAAAAUUGAUUGGUCCAGCUGUAUCACACUAACUUUCGUUUGACAACAACGAUUGAUGACGUAUUUUAUAGGAGACGUGAGCAUGCCAAAUGUACAAAAAGUGUGGCAUGACCGUUGUCAUGCUUUUUGUAGAAUUUUUCAGAUCGACAGGCCAAAAGUCCAUUCCAAUAAUAUCGAUAUUGUUCCCACUUAACCGUUUGCACAAUCCUCAGGUGUGGGGUUUUAUCACAAAAUGUCUUGGUGUUAGUUAGAGUAGGGUAUUUCUAUUUAAAGUGCUUUCUUUCUUGGCUUUUAGUUCUACUCCAGCAACAGCACGCUUGCUUUGUGGCUAUUGCCUCAUUUUCUUGUACUGUUGUUGACCCUAAAAACUAUCAAACUUACGUGAUGUGCAUGCCGAGUAACUAAGAACUAACUAUGUCCUUCUUGUGGUUGAUGCGGGUGUGCCACCUUGCCGCCGAGAUGAAUUGGGCGAGUGCAAUAAGUGUGGUGGUGGUGUCAAUUGCGUAGCUGGCUUCUAGACCUAGGGUUUUGCUAACUUGAAGACAAUGUUGCUAAUCUCACAGUGAAGUUCAAUCAAGAUUCGGCUUUCGUUGUGCCAAAGGGGUAACCUAAGAACACAUCACUUCGUUGAAGCUGAUGAGAUGAUCUCUUGAGACAAAAGAAUAGAGAAUUCCUUGUCCGCCGAGACUUGAAUAGAUAACCAACAAGGAUAUGAGAGUUGUUUAAAGGUCUCUUCAGUCAGGCAUGUUCUACGCCUCCAAUGCUGUUUAACCAAACUGAAGGUGUCGCCGGUUGUUGAUACAGUGAUGUUUAACCAAACUAAAUAUUUGUCAACAGGGAGGGGUUAAUGAGUAAUUAGUAUUUUUUUUCAGGUUGUGGAGGGUAUCUCAUAAAAGCGUUGAUUUUUGUAUGAGCGACUACAGGCGAGGAAGGAAUGCCUCUAGACCUAGGGCUCUAGAACCUAAACACAAGGUUGCUUAAUUCACUGCGAAGUUGAGGAUAUUUUGCACCAGGUUCGGCAACUUCAACUAUAUCCUUGAAAAUAUAAGUAUGCCAAAUAGGUAUUAGGCUAUAAGGACAAAGAUACUCAAAUGAAAUGAGAUCUUUAUGGUGAAUGUUGUUCAGCAGUCUGAAUGUCGAACUUCCAAAUACACUUACAAGUAACUAAUCAUAGAACAUCUCACUUCGCUAGGGGAGCUAAUAAAGUGACCGCUUUCAGCGAAAGUAUCAAAGACUCAUCGUUGGCUGAGACUUGGAGGUAGCCAACUAAACCAGAAGUAGUACUGUUUAACCAAAUUGAAGGUACUCCUAGGCCGCCUAAUUCAAUGGCUCUAGUGACUUUUAGCCGAACUGAAUAUGUUUCCUAUUAGCCAACCCAAUGAUGUUUAAACGAAGUAAAUAUGUACUGACAGAGGGAUUAUGAUAAUUGGUAUUUUUCUGAAGAUUGUGAGAAGAGUUUCGGGAAGAACGAGGUUCUUUGCGUAACCCGUUUGAGCUGUUUGUUGAGUUGAAAGGGAAUUUUCACGUUGCAUAGCCUCUCAUAUUUAUAGGACGGCAAUGCUUCGGCUAACAGGUUCCGAAACCAAUUAGAACUGCAGCAUGCUCCUGGAGCUUUAUCCCAUUUUACUUGCUAACUAUCUGAUGCUUAAGUCCAGAUAACAUCUCAUGAGAAACAAUUCUCAUUUGGGGUCAUGUGCAUGAGGCCUACUUCCCUCCUAAGAUGGGACUCUAUCAUUAGUUACAUGGAAGAUAUCAUAUCCUUUGCCCCGACACGUUGCAUGCAUAUCCACAUAAGUUACAAAUAACAAACCUAUUUGAUGUGCUUCUCACCGUGCCCAUCUUAAUAGUCAUUUAUCUUCUUUGAAUUUGUAGAAUUGGAAAGCAAUCACACUGCUCAUAAACCUCAAAUGCAGCUCGUGCUGAAAGAGAGUCCAUAACUCCUGGAGCUUUAUUUCUCCCCCGAGUCCAUCGUCAGUGAAACCGUGGUACACAAAGGAAAGAGGAUGCUCUCCGGAUCCUCUUGAUGGGGAUCCUAAGGAUCUUCACAUCUUAACCGUUUAUCGUACGUUCAGUUUUCAUCAGGUACUAUUUGUGUUUGAUUGUAAAUAAAAAAAUUCAAAUAAUUUCUAGCUGCACGAUAUACGAUGAAUGACUAAGAUGUGAGGAUUCUUAAGAUUUCCACCAUUUGAAUCUAGAUGGAAUCCAAAUCUUACUAAAUGAUAGGAUGAGACAAAAUUGUAGCUGUGUUGGAGAAAGAGUGUCAACUUCGCUUUUGUUGCAUGCGGGACAAAUUGUGUAAUAUUGGGUCCAAACAAGUUUACUCUAAAAGACAGAGUGAAACUGUGAAUAGAAAGAGUGCCUCCUCAACCGGUUUACCAUCGGCCACAUGUGAUCAUUUGCAUGUCUUAUGAUGCUAAAAACAAACAAGAAUAAACAGAAAAACCCCAAAUUUUCAACAAGAUAGCGACGUAGCACUACAUGGUUUCCUCUUGGUAUAUAAGCCAAACUACAGAAAAAAUAAACGUCAUCCAUGAUGAUAUCUGAAAAAUCAGACUGCAACCAAAAUUUACAAUACAUCUUUUAGCUUGUCUUUUGCUUUGCAUAUCACGAAAAACAUAUAUACACCUCACAGCAAAUGAAAUUAUAGCACGUGUAUAUUCAUUCUGGAUAAUACGGAAGAGUUCAAGAGGCUACAUGAGGGAUUUAACUAAGUUGAGCAGCUAUGCACUCAAAAUUAGCUAAAGGGGAUGAAAGAAGGGGAAAACGGUUAGGAUUAUGAUAAGUAAAUAGUGCAGUUCUUUUCUAAUGUCAUAAAAAAAAUACAAAAAUAUUUACGACUAUAAUAAAUAAAUAGUUCGUUGAUCAUUUUCUAGCGUAAACGAUUGAUCCUGGAACAUCUCAAUAAUCAAAUCUAAAGCUGAAGAGGUAGAUGUUGUGAUUCUUCAUCAGUCCUAGCAAGGUUAUAAUGCGCCUAGAGGAAAAUCAUUUUUUAUUUUAAAUGAAUGUUUUUAUUAUCGAGCAAUCUAUCUCCUACCUCCAAAUUUGUCAUAUUUUUCCUUUAUUCUUUCUAACUUACCUUAAAAAUAAUAACUCAUGUAUUUCAAUUCAUUUCUCUCUGCCAAAUGAGCCUGUAGUUACUUGAGAAACGCUAAGAAAACUCUUUCAAAGUGAGACUAUUUAUGCACUAUCUGUCACUUCACUGUUUAACGUCAAUUCUCAUGUCAAUAUUAUAAAAUAUUAUUUUAAAACAUGAGGUAACAAAUAAUCUAAAAAAAUUACUUUUGAGAGAAUCUGUUUAGCAUUUCUUAUAGUAACUUAUUAAACCAUUAAGUAUCUUUGAGCUCAUUUCGGAACAAAUGUGAACCUUUAUUGUGAGGUCGACUACUGUCAGUUCAUUCCUAUACCUUGGUCCUUGGUCGACGCUCAAAUUAUUUUUUCCAAUUAAAUCCAAGUAUAAGUGACUCGAGCAGAGUUCCUGUGGUAUUUUCUCUCUUAAUUUUCCUCUUUCUUUUCUUUUUUCAACGAGGGCUUUGGUUUCUUCUGUGAGAUAGAGGUUGUUGAUAGAUAGAUGUCUCUUCCAUUUUUUUUGAGAGUAUUUGAUGCCAAUAAUUAUCCACUGAGGUUCUUUUUUGGAUAAAAUUUAUGGGGCCCCAAUUUAUCCAAUUUGAUUAUAGAUUGACAGAAACUAACAUUUGGGAUUUGUUGAAGGAUAAAUAUUUCAAUGUACCGAGAACACAAUUAUGUAUAUCUAUUGUUAUUACAAAAGUGGUUGGAGUUUCUUUUCGAAGAUCUAACUACAUGUUUUAUAACAUUUUGUGUAUGUAACUGUAUUUCUCUUAUAUUGAAAAAUCUAUCAUAUUAGUCUAGAGCCCGGAGCAUUAUCGGUAUGAAAAAAUGGACAAAGUACUACAAUAUUCUAGAGAAUUAGAACCAUAUCUUAUGGGUUUAAAUUUACAAUCGUGUUUUAAUUUUAAUUUUCUGUCAUUCAAUGGAGUAGUGGGCCUUCAAAUAAUAAUAGAGUUCUUGCUCAAAAAUGCAGAUUCAUUUAUUUUAGGGAGGCUUUAAAUUCGAUCUCCAGUCAUUAACACUCUUUAAUUAAAAUCUUUAUGGUAUAUAAUUUUUUUUUUUUUUUAUCAAAGUCCAUUGACUUUGUACACGUCGUUAUAUUACUAUUAGUAUGUAUAUUUCUAUAUGGGAUCAUGCUAGGGAAAUCAAAUUUUUAAACCAAAUUGCAAACCAAAUGAUGUGUCAUCUCGUUAUAUUCCCUAAACCAAUAAGAAACAAACACGUUAAUCGAUACUUAAUUAAUAAUUUAAUCAUAUACAACCACAUUGUGACAAACCGUCCCUAAUUUUACAAUUUUAUAAAUUUUAAAGGCAUGAUUUUACAAAAAUACCCUUAGAAGUGAGGGUGUUGACUUUCGUUGAUCAAUGUAUAGUGAGACAUACGACUUAUUCUUUCAGCGUAUUUUGCGUAGUACCUGUUGAUACGAACGCAUAGACACAAGCGGAAGUGAACUUGGAACUACGUUUAAAGUUUUACGGAGCUACAAAUCCGAAAAGUACGUUUCUAAGGAUUUCCAUUAUUUAUUAUUUUAUACUUUCAUAAGUAUUAUUAAAUUAGUUUAAGGUUAUCUUGUGGAAAAGAAAAAAGAAAAGAGAAGAAGAAGCUGCAUGAUGGUAGCGAGUAAAAUGAGAAAAAGAAAAAGGAGGAACAAAUCGAGGAGCUGCCCAAUCAGGAGAAAGGGAAGAAAGAGGGAGAGACCAAUCAGAAGAAGAAAGGAAGGGAAGGGAGAGAAGUGUGAUGUACAGGAUCGGAUUCCCGACCCAUUUUGGUUCGACCCAACUGGCAGUAGCACCAAGUGUCUAGAGCCAUUCAUGGCGUUUUUCGGUGGAUUGCAGACACCCACCAUCUAGAACCAACUCAUCAUCAUCUCCUCUUCCAUAUUCAGCCAUAAAUCAACACGAAUUGAUCACGUUCUUGUGAGAUAGCACUAGAGGGGUUCGCGAUGUACGGUGGCGAAAUCCACCAUUUCUGAAAUGAAUACCUUCUAUCUCCACCACUAUUAGACUCUCCUUAAGCCUUGGAACAAAGCCCAAUUGGUUGUAGGGGCGUCGGAACACCAUGGAAGGUGAAUCGAAGAACACCCAUUCUAGGGUUUCCGUCGGGUGCGAGCCAAAUUGGAGCCUUUCUCGGUCAAAUUGGGCUUGGCCACAGGCGAUGAUGGUUUGUGACGCCUCAAUAUUCGUGCUAGAGAAUUGUAGCGCGGACUUCAGGUGAGUGGGUCUUUUCUUUUUAUAAUAUAUAUAUAUAUAUAUAUAUAUAUAUAUAUAUAUAUAUGAUUGAUAGUUCCACAAAUGCUUUUAAAUUGAUUUAUGCAUUUUAUGUCAUGUCAUAUAUAUAUAUAUAUAUUUUAAAUACUAUGAUAUAGUUGAGUUUUAGAUUGCAUCAUGGCAUAUCUAUAUGCAUAUUACCUGCAUAUAAUUGUUGUCUUUGAAGUGCUAUGGUGAAUGCGGGACGCGUAGGUAAGUUCAGGUGAGUUUAGGGUGUUAUUUGAAAUGAUUGAGUUAUGGCAUGACUAUAUUUAUGUUUUAUGCAACUCCGACACUGUCGUACAGGUUGCAAUGAUGGGCAACUCCGGCACUGUCGUACAUGUUCCAAUGAUAGGCAACUCCGGCAUUGUCGCACAAGUUGCAAUGAUAGGUAACUCCGACACUGCGGCACUGUCGUACAUGUUGCAAUGAUAGGCAACUCCGGCACUGUCGCACAAGUUGCAAUGAUAUUGAUUUAUGAGUCGUAUAAGUUGCAUUAGGUAACUCUGACUCCUGUGUCAGCAUAGAUUGAUGAACACCUGAUUUUAUUAUGUUGCUGUUGAUAUGUAGUGAUUUGGAAUAUUUUUGGAUUUAUUGUUGUUUUGCAUUUGAUUUCAUACUAUAACGUAGUAUGACUUUCUGGAAACUAUAUGGGUUUUACAGCGAGGGGUUAUAAUGUUUUCAUAAGGUUUUUAUUAAAAUUUUAUUUUCAGGCCCACUCACCCUUGUUUUUUGCCCCUCCAGGUUUUAAUAGGUGAGCUUUCUUAUCGACGAGGAUUUGUGGCAAAUCUUGGUAUUGGAGAUUACCUUCAAUGGUAUGAUUCUCAAUCCACUCUACUGUACUUUACUUAUGCUCUGACGUCACGUGUGAAAUGAGUUCAUUCUCGCUCACAAUGCAUUCUUGUAUUUUGGCAGUUUUAGGUUUAAAUUUAUUCACAUUUUCCACAUCACUACACUUUAUGGCUUCGUCACCUUGUAGGUGUCGGCCAUUAUAGCUUGAUUCGGAGUCCUAGUGGACAUUUCGGGUCGGGGUGUGUCAACAUCAUUUGGUUUGCAAAUUUGAUUUAAAAAAUUUGGUCUCUCUAGAUUACCCUUCUAUAUGUUUGACAUUUUAUGAGAUUUAUGAUCCCAUAUUGUGUGUAUAAUAUGACAUACAAAUGUCAAAUUUAAAAUCCCUCUUUACAUUACUAUUAGAAAUGGCUACAAUAAAAAAUUUUCAAAAAAUUUGAUUGAAUAAAAAGUAACAACAUAACAAUACAAAAUAAUAAAUGGCAAAGGAAUGUAUUCAUAGCAUUAAAAAAUUGGUACAUUUUAAAUAUAAAAUUUUACAAAAAAAAAGGGUAUUUUUUACAUAACAAAGUGGUACAUUUAUAAAGAAGAAUGGGUACAUUAUAAAUAACUUAUGGGUGCAAAUAAAAGAUUAAAAAGUCAUGAGUACAAAUGAAAUUUUAAAAAAUAUGGGCUCAAAAAGAAAUUAAUAUAUGGGUACAAAUUAAAAUUAAAAAGAAAACUAGUACAAAUUAAAAAAAAAGGGCUGCAAAAUAAAAUAAAGUACAAAUUAAAAACAGAAAUAUAUGAUUUAAAUUUUAGUUAUAAAUUAAUAUAAUAUAUCAAAUGUAACGUCACCACCCGUCCCGAAUUAUUUUAUCGAUAACGUGGAAAUUCCUUUUAUACCCUUGAGCGUUGUGUGAUGUCGUGUGUUAUGAGUUUUAGAUGUGGACCAAAUAGGUUAAGUUCUAAUUGUUUGAACCCGAUUAGAACUAAGUUUUCAUUAUUUUUUAUUGGUGACAAGCUAGACCACACCCUCACACACACACAUAACUCACGUGUACCCUCUCUCUCCUCCCUCUCCUCCCUCUCUCGGAUUUUCUUACCAUUUUACAACUUAUAUGGAUAACCCUCAAAACCCUUUCAAACUUCACAGAUCGAGGUUGUGAUUGGUGUUUUUGGACUCCUUGCAAGCUCAGGAGUCGAAUGGUGGUGGUGGUUGGACGUGAAAACCUUGAAAACCCGAGAACCCAGAAUCUCAGAUUUUGAGCACUGUUCAUGCAGUCAUCAUCGUGGCCUUUUCUUCUAGUUUUAAGGUUCUAGAAAGCUUUAGGACAUCUUCACGAAGCUCAGGGAAGAAAGUUUGAGUGUUUUGGACGUCGAGAAGCUUAGUUUGAUGAGUUUCAAAUUUUGGCUGGAUUAUCGAGGUUUCUCCGACAAGGUUCCGUGGGAUUUAGGGCUUAAAAUUGGUAAGGUUUUGUUCUACUCGUUGUAAGCUUCAUUUUGGUACAAAUUUCAUGAAUUUUGGUUGAGAAAUGGAGAAGAUAUUGAAGUUCUAAGAUUUUUCUAGUUUCUGGCGAUUGCAGCAGUACCGGCGUCGGACUCCAGUGAACCAAGGAAAAAGGAGGAGAAUAUUCCGUCAAAGUUGACGAAAUAUUCUAACGCCGUCAGGUAAUUCUAACGGUAUAUGUUGUUUUUAACGGAAUAUUCCUAAUGCCAUCAGGGAAUCCGUUUGGUGUGACAGGCACGUGCUUGCGCGUGAGCCGCGCGUCUGGUCCUGCCUUGGCCGGCGCAUGAGGGCGCGUGGGUGUUCAGAAAUUUUUUCUAAAAAUAUGGGGAUGUUCUUGAGGUUGAGUAGGUUAUGGUGGUAUAUUCAAAUACCCCAUUUGAGCAAUGUAUGAGAAGUUAUUUCCUAGUUUUGUGUAUGUGCUUUAAAUAAUGUUUAUUUAGUUAUUUUGCAUAUAGGUGAGACCUAUCCGGAGGACGAGCGCCAUCAAUCGAGGCUCGGGGGCUACGACCCUUUGACAUAUCAGUGAGUGGGCUUUUGGUUUUCAGUAUAUACCUAUAUACUUGAGAUUUUUCCUAGAAAAUGAAUUUGAAUGAUUAUACGUUUUGAAAUGCCAUGCAAAGUAUCUGCCUAUUUUAUUUAUGCAUUAGUAGUUGCAUAUAUUUAUGAUUGGUGCUGCGGACGCACAGGUAAGUGCCAGGUAAGUUCAUAAAUUAAAGAUAAGAGAUUACUUCAGUUAUGCGAGAUAUGAUGUGAUGUAUUGAGAGCUCAUAAACUUGCACCCCGGUGUUAGUGCUCCCGCCCAUAGUUAGGGCACAAUCCUUCAUGUGAUUGUUCACCUCCCACACCAUAUGCUCACCUUGGAUCCAAGUUAGGUGCACAGGCUUGUCGUACAGACCACUUUAGGUGGUUCCGACUGGUAGGUGACCCGCGAUCAUUCACACAGUCUUCACGUGAUCGUAGCACUAAAGCAUAUUUAUUUUACACCUAGUCCUGUCGUACAGACCACUUUAGGUGGUUCCAACUCUUGUGCAUAAUUUGAUAUGGUUGAGAUUGGUUAUGAGAUAUAGACUCAGCCGUGCAAAUUAAUUGAGGGCAAUUCGGCUGAUAUGAUAUCUGACAUUGAUAUAUUUUAACUGGAUUACUUAUAGCAUUUCAUUGAGAUACUUUGGCAUGGUAUAUUUCUAUGGAUUUUUAUCCUGAGCAUAAUUUCUGAUAUAGCAUAUAUUAUAUUUCUGGGAAAUUAUACAGGUUUUACGGCAAGGGAUUAGAACUUUUGAGAAAUGAAAUGAUUUUGAAAAGCUUUGUUUUUGCCCACUCACACUUUCUGUUUUGCGCCCCUCUAGGUUUUAGGUAGAAGUGCUUUGGUGGCUCACGGGGAUUUCGGCGGUGGUUCUGACAGAACAUCACAAAUGUAGGAUUACCUUUGGGUGUUAUAUAUCUAGUACUUGUCCAGUGGGAUUGCACUUAGGCUAUUUACGCUCUGAUGAUGUAUUUCACACUUAAUCUCGCACUUGUACCUUAUCUUAAUUAGUACUCUAGUUGAUUUGAUUUUUGUUAAUUCGUAUUUCCUUAUAUCUUUAUUGCUUCCGUACUGUGCACAUGGCUACGUCAUCUUCAUGUGACGACCAUCAUACCUCGAUUCAUGUCAGGGUGUGUCAUAACGUUUCUAACACCAAAUGAAUAUAUUUUAGAAAUAAAAUUUAAUUAUGCUACUAUGUAUAUUUUAUUAUUGAAAUGAUGACGGUCAUUAAAACCUAAGAACCUUGAUAAAAAUUAAAUUGCAAAAAGAAAAAAAGGUUUUAUUCUCAAAAAAAUCAAUGAAAUAGAAAAAAGAGGGAUGGAAACCUAAUUUCUCCAUCAACUUACUUCAAGAUAAUAAAAUUGAAAACUGUGUUAACUAUGUUGGCAUGUGAUUUAGACUACUAAGAAUCAAAAUCAUGUGUUUUAAAAGGGAAAUGUUUUUGCACUCUAGAAAUCUUAUUCUAAACUCAUCAUAAAUGCAUUUUGCUUUCUAAUUAUAGACGAUUUGGAGUGUAAUAUGAGAUUUUUGAAGUGCCAAUAACAAUUCCCUUUUAAAAUUCUUUAAAUAGAAAUCACAAACUUGGUGUCAACUUCACCAAUGGACAGAAUACUUCAUUAAACAAAUCCAAAUAGACACAGUACAACUUGCAACUAGCCUUUAGAAAGGAUUGUCAUACAUAAAAGGAUGCCACUUUUGUAAACAAAGCAUGAGUAAUAGUUCUUCUCUGCAACAUUUACAAAACAGUAAAUAAAGGAAAUACGUAAAAAGGUUUCAACUCAAAAAGAAAAAUCCUCCUUAUAGGUCCAAGAGUGGCUAGUAGAGAAAACCUAGAGACCUAAUUGAGGGAUGAGAUGUUGUUGAUGCCCUAGAGACGACCAACCACCCACACCACCAAUUUCGCACCAUAAAAUAGACCUCUAGAUAGUAUCAUAUACAGACUUUCAAAAGCCCCAAAUAAUAAAAAAGCUAAACCACAAACAUACAACAUUAUAGCACCCAUCACAAAACUCAGAUUUAUCACCAAUUAACCUACUGUUCGAUUGGAGCAAAUUUGUAAGAAUUAGAACUUAAGUGCAGAUGGGAUAGCACAUUACGAUCUAAUUCUUAUUUGCAAUAACAAUGGAGACAACAACACAUUUUAAAAGUAAAAUGAAAAAGUAAUUUUUUUUUGUCGAAAAGAUAGAAAUUUAUUAAAGCCAAACGAUAAGGUUUACAUCAACUGCAAGAAUAUUAAAUAAAUAAUCCGAGCCAAUCUUAUCCCAAAGGAACUUGCCACCAUAAUUGGUAGCAAACGAAGCCACCUCAUGGGCAGCAAAGUUACUAUCCCGCGGAACAAAUCCAAACUUUACAAAAGUCGACCAGUUGUGUUUACGUAGCCGUCUAAAUUCUACAUCUAUGUAAACUACUACCAAACCAAGAAACAUAAAAAAGGACAGCCAUUUGUUUAAGACAACAUCAAUCUAUCUGAUCCACUGUUCUAAAAAUCCCUGCCUAGGCGCUAGGUGGCCGGCCACCGCCCCAAUUAAUGCUUAGGCAUUUGAAAAUUAAGAAAGGGCACCUAGACCUACUAAGGAGCCUGUCUAGACCGCCUAGCCCGCCCAGACCUGCCUAGGUUGCGACUCACUUACAGAAAAUAGAUAACUUUCACUUUGCAUUUUAUAUUUUCAAUAAAUUGUAAGAGACUUGUUGAAUACUUAAAUGAACACACAUUAUAUGCUUAUUCCCACUUUUCAUUAUGUUCCAACCGCUCAUAAUAGAUAUGUCAUUCUAUUUUGUUGUUUAUGAUGACAUCAUAUAUAUUUUAAGCAUAAACAUACACUUACUUACACGAAAUAUAAUAGAUUUAAUCGAAUCCGUCUAGGCGCCUGCCUAGACACCUAGCCGCGUAGUUGCCAGGCCCCAGGUCCUAGGCCGCCACCCGACUAGUGCCUAGCAUCUUUUAAAACCUUGAUCUGAUCCAAGAAAGCCUUGAGAUUCUUGUCCGAAGAGUCCCCUUCACUCACAGCCUCUCUUGCCAAAUCUUUCCAUUUCUUAGCAUUCCUUCUCACGUCUUCACCAAUCUCCCCACUUCCCAAUACCAAAUCCAAGCACCUCUUGAGCUCCUCACCCGUAACUAUCCCCUCCUCAUUUGGUGUCACCCUCACUCCUGUCUUCCAAUAGUCCUCUAUCAACUUGGCAUUCGUCCCUUGGUCCGUCCACUGAGGAAACGCCACCACGGGCACCCCUGAAACCAAGCUCUCCAAACUUGAAUUCCACCCACAAUGUGUCACAAAGCAACCCAACGAAGGACUAGAGAGAACCUCCACUUGACUACACCACGGCACUAUCAUCCCGAGCUCUUCCAAUUCCUCUCUGCACCUCAACAUCUCUUCUUCUUUCUUCGCCUCGUUAUCGUCUCCCUUCUUGUCGACCUUAUCUCUAAUAACCCACAAGAACGGAAGGCCGCAAUCCAACAACCCUUUUGCGAUUUCCUCCAUUUGGGCCUUUCCCAACACAGAAAUGCUUCCGAAGGACACAUAAAUCACCGACCCUUCUGGCUUCGAGUUCAGCCACUCGAGGUAUGAAGAGUCCUUUGAUUUUUGGAAAAGAUCGCCUCCAAAUGACUUGUCCGAUGGAUCCUUGCCGUCCAAGAAAGCGGACGGAAUCAAUGGCCCAACUCCAAUCAAGUUGUACUUGUCAAUUGCUUUUAAGGCUUCCGGCUCUAGUGCAUCGAACGUGUUGACUAGAAUGGUCGGAUUGGUUUCUCUUUCCAACAGCUCCAUCUGUUCUUGAAACAACGGGAGGGCGAAAUUGUACGGAUUUGUAUCCACCAUGAAGGAGGGAAGGUCUCGGCUUGUGAAAGAUAAUGGCAAACCUGGUAAUUCUAUUGAACAUGGAAGGACAUUGUUCGUACCAGAACUAGUAUUAUCCCGGAUGAGAUCUUUGUACCCGUUAAAGUAAUAGUAGUAGAUGUCGAAAACCGUGGCUGGCUGAAUCCAAAGCAGCACGCUUGGGAGGUGAAGUUCAUGUGCCAUCCCUGCCGACCAAGGGAGAAGUAAUGAGUAGACUAGGCAAGUGUAAGGGUGACCCUCGUUUGCACUUGCGACUACAAGGUCGGUAAUGGCUUGUACUCCGCGGCGCCGCAGCUCUGACAUGUAGUCGUCGAUGUUGUCGCCGGGCUUAAACCCAUCGUCGUACCCAUCAGAGAAGGGCGCAUAGGUCAAUCCAUCUGGAAUUGAGCCAUUGCCUAUACGGCGAUGGGCUGACAGACUAGUAACGUAGGUGACAUGCGCACCUGUAGUGUUGAUAAGGCGCUUGGCGAAUUGGAGGGAAGGGUUGAUGUGGCCUUGAGCUGGAAAUGUGACGAGUAGAAAGCGGUGUUGCACCAUGGCGGCGUAUGCGAUUGCCGGAGGUGCGCGGUGGAGUGUGGAGUUGUUGGAAGUAGAAUAAGUAGGUAUGUAGUUGAUUGUUGAAAAAUUUGGUACUGUGGGCUUAUAAGCUGAGUGCAGUUGAAAUUCUUGUGGGAGUAUACAUUCAAGGUGGGGAGUGCGGUGAGAGGAUGGCAAGGCUUAAAUGGGGGAUUGGGGGUAGAAAUGUGACGUUUGUGGUGAAAAAUUGAAGACGCUGGAGACAAAUUUGCCAAGAUGAGAAGGAUACUUGUGAUUGUCAAUCCAUGCAUAAUAUAUGGAUAAUGUUAGGGAAACCAUCUAUUUAAAUCAUAUGACGUACUUGUUGAGGAUU
rnacentral:lncRNA from 1 species